rnacentral:lncRNA from 1 species
GGGUUCUACCUACUUUUUUAAGUCGUCUGGUUACCUUUGAUUUAUUGCCAAAAUUGCAGUACUUGCGGGUGCUCUCUUUUAAUGGCUAUCGUAUAACUGAGCUGCCAAACUCAAUCGGUGAUUUGAGACAUCUACGGUAUCUUGACCUUUCCUACACAGCUAUAACUAGUUUGCCUAAAUCGAUAAGUACUCUUUACAACUUGCAGACAUUGAUAUUGGAAGGCUGUAAUGAUUUGAAGUCAUUGCCUGCAGACAUGAGUAAUCUAGUUAAUUUGCGCCAUCUCAACAACUCAAAUGUAUCUUCGUUGGAAGGAAUGCCUCCAAAACUAGGUAGAUUGGAGAAUCUCCAAUCUUUGCCCAAUUUUGUGGUGUGUGGUGGAAGUGAUGAAUCAGGGAUAAGAGAGAUAGGGCCCCUAUCGCAUCUCCGAGGGACAUUGUGCAUCUCAAGAUUGGAGAAUGUGACUGAUUUCGAGGAUGCUCAGAAGGCUGACUUAAAAUGCAAGGAGUGGCUUGAUUCUUUGGUUCUAGAAUGGUCUCAUUCAAGCGACACAAGAGAAACUGAAUCCGCUUUGCUUGACAUGUUACAGCCUCAUAGAAAGAUCAAGGAGCUCACCAUCAAGAGUUAUGCCGGAAAGGAAUUUUCAUCAUGGGUUGGAGGUCAUUUGUUCUCUAAUAUGGUGCUUGUGCGCUUAGAGGAAUGUAACAAUUGUUUAUCGUUGCCUCCUCUCGGACAAUUGCCUCAUCUCAGAGAACUUUAUAUUAUUGGAAUGAAUGCAGUGGAAAGUGUUGGUGCUGAGUUUUGUGGAGAGCGUAUGUUGCCUUUUCGGGUAUUAGAGACUCUUGAGUUUGUGGAAAUGCAGCAUUGGAAGGAAUGGCUUCCUUUCCAAGCCGAUCACGAAGGUGGUGCUUUCCCUUGCCUGAAAACACUCUUAGUAAAAAAAUGUUCUAAACUGGAGGGUAAACUGCCAGAGAACCUCAAUUCUUUAGCUAAGCUUGAAAUUGUUGAAUGUGAAGAAUUAGUGGUUUCAAUUGCCAACUGUAAACAACUUCGUCAGUUAAACAUUGACGGUUGUAAAGUGUUGGUGCACACAGCUGCUAAGGUUGAGUUUGAGUACUUAGAGUCCUUGUGCUUUUCAAACAUUUCGAAGGUGAUGUCUCUGCAAACAGGGGAAUUGUUGAAGAAGGGAUUAAGCAAGGUUAGAGAUUUGAAGAUCAGUGGAUGUGAGGAGGUGACGUCUUCACUGAAGAAUGAGGAGGGUAGAUUAUUGCAACAGUUGACUUCUCUUGGCAGUUUGAAAAUUGAAGACAACUCUCGUCUAGUUGAAGAAUUGGGAAAAGAAGCAGAGGAGUUGCAAAUAUCGGAAUGCAAGCUUGAAUUUCUGGAGUUAAAAAAGUGCGAAAAUCUUUUGAAGCUACCAAAAGGAUUAAAUCAGCUGUCGUCUCUUCAAGAGCUUCGCAUACACAAAUGUUCAAGUCUAGUUUCUUUCCCAGAUGUUGGUCCGCCACCUUCUCUUAAAGACAUCGAGAUUAGAGAGUGCGAUUCGUUGAUAUAUUUUGCAAAAUUCCAGAUUCCCCAAAAUCUCCGAAGAAUAAAGAUAACAUGGUGCAAAAGCUUGAAAUCACUAGUAGAUGAGGAGACUGUUGGUUCUUCUUGGUCGUCUUCUACUCAUACUUGUCUUGAGUACUUGAGUAUCAAAGGAUGUGAAUCUCUGACGUCGUUAUCAUUGAGUGGCCAGCUUCCCAGGACACUUAAACACCUUGAGAUAGAGAAUUGUGAACGACUGGGUUUAAUAGCACCGAACGGGUUCUUCAGCGACAACACCAAUCACUGCCUUGAAUAUAUUACCAUCUGGAAUUGCCAAAAUCUGAAAUCCUUACCGGAUGGCUUAUGCCACCUCAGCAAUCUUCAAACUCUAGGUAUUCGAAAAUGUGGAGGUCUUGUUUCCAUCCCGAGACUGAGUGAGGGGAGAAGACCCUCCAACCUGAGAAAUAUCGAGAUCACCGAUUGCGACAAAUUGGAGGCGUUGCCCGAAGACAUGCUCAAUCUCAACUCUCUUGAGUACUUGAGCAUCGACUACCGUGAAGGUUUGACUUUUCCUCCCAACCUAACAUCACUUAUAAUAUGGAAGGUCAAGAGUUGUAAGUCAUUGUGGGAGUUGGAGUGGGGGUUGCACAGACUCACCUCUCUUAGAGAAUUAUGGAUCAUCGGUGAAGACCCAGAUACGGUGUCGUUUCCACCCGACAUGGUCCGGAUAGAGACACCCCUCCCCAAAUCUCUCACUCUUCUCAAAAUAGAAGGCUUCCCGAAUCUGAAGAAACUGAGCAGCAAGGGCUUUCAAUUCCUCACCUCCCUUCAAUAUCUGGGACUUUGGAAUUGUCCAAAGCUAGCAUCCAUUCCAGAGGAGGGUCUGCCUCCUUCACUAGAGCAUCUUAACAUCCAUAAGUGUCCAGUGCUAAAAGAGAGAUGCCAACCAGGAAAAGGACGCUACUGGCACAAAAUAUCCCACAUCCCUGCCGUACAUCUGUUUUGAGAUGAUUUGAAGCUGAUGGUCCAAGUAUCAUCUCUCGAGGAAUGUUUUAAUAUUAUUAGUAUGGUUUUGGGGGUUGAGGAGUGGCUGCUUUGGGAGGCCUUCAAUUGGCGACAACCGGGAUAUUUCUCGGCCAACGUUUCUUCUUCCGGAUUCCUAUGUUUGCUUGCUCCCCUUUCACUUAUCUCUACUUAUUAAUGCAACCCCCUUUAUCAAUCAAAAGAGGGUAAAAAGAUAAUUUAAUCUUUUAUCACACACAAAAAAAAUGAUGGACAAUAAUGUAAUUUUAUAGGUCUAAAUUUUACUGUUUUUUAUUAAAGUUUCAUCCACAAGUGAUAUUAAAAUACCUUCAACAUUAAAAAACAAAAAUAAACAAAACAAAAAAAAACAAAAACAAAAAUCUCCCACUCCCCUCACGUUCUCUCUCUCUCUCCCUCUCUCCUUCUCAUUUUCUAAAAAAAUAUGUUCAUACACACAAAAGUGUGUAGGCAAAUGCUAGUUUGUAUUAUAAGUGUGCUACUCCUUCUCCUAACUUUAUGCCAACUAUGCCCCUUAAGUAUACUUAAUUCUUUAAUUUUCUUGGGUUAGAGUCAAGGUUAACAUGUUUUUGCACAAAACUAACUAAGAAAACACUCUAGUUACAUUAUAUUGUCAAAUUAUCGAAUUUGAUACUAAAGAAUUAUACAUAAUUAUAUUUAACCGUUCUUAAUUGAGAUUAACAGUGUAAUAAUAUAAAUUUAUCAUCCUUCAUGAUAAAAGAAAGCUUUCUUUAAUGAUAAACUGGUGUUAAAUAAUUGAUAACCGUUAAUGAAUAACGAGUCAUGACUUGCAAUAAACCUCACACACACCAUCAAAAAAGUUUGCAGUCGUGAAUAGACUUGGCAUACGGGUCUUAUUUGUCUCAUCCCGUUAUAUCUUCAUGGAUCUUAUCGUGUCAAACUAUUAUUUUAACAUGUUCUUAACAGGUGACCCUAUAACGACCUAAUUCGUUAACGAAUCAUGUCAUUUCUUGUCAAGAUAACGGAUCAUGCAAGAAAUUGAUAUAUCUAAUGUCUAGAUCAUGCAAGAAAUUGACAAAAUGCAUAAUUGAGAGUGAGACCCACUCCUCCAUGUUAUUAUAUUGACAAUAUGUUCCCUAACCUGGAAUUGGAUCCUCGCCGGAUCUAAUUGCUGGGGAUCCUAGGGAUCAACCCACGUGGGCCGUUGAUCAAAAAUCGUGCGGUCACAAUUAAAUGUUUUAAAAGUAAAACAGUCUCGUUUUGAUUGAAAAAUAUAAAAAAGAAAAAAAUUGUGGCCGCACAAUUUUUUAUCAACGGCCCACAUGGAUUGAUCCCUAGGAUCCCCAUGAAUUAGAUCCGGCGAGGAUCCAAUUCCCCCUAACCGCACAAUUUAUUAUAUCCAAUGUCCAGAUCUAGCAAAAGAUGUCUUAUCGAGUUUUUAAUGGGUGACACCUAAUGACCCGAUUCGUUAACGGGCUCUUAAUGGAUGACCUGAUUCGUUAACGAGUUGAUCAAAAACAUGUUAUUUUUUGUGUCAUUGCGUGUUAGAUUAAUAGUUGAUGCAAGAAAUUGACAAAAUGCAUAAUUGAGAGGGAGACCCACUCCUCCAUGUUAUUAUAUUGACUAUGUUCCCUAACCUGACCAAAAUCCACCAUGAAAUUCCAUAGCAUUGAAACAUGACGCCCCCAGCUCCCUAAUACGCUGUCGUUUUGAGAUUCCCCCACCCCGAAAAGUCCCUCAUAACCGUUGCUAACCCUCUCUCAGAACCCACGCGCCCAUUCUCCAACCGUUUAAACCCCACUCACUCCCACUCUCUCUCUCUCUCUCUCUCUCUCUCUCUCUCUCACUCACUCUAUACAUGUUCUCAGUCAAAAUCUCCAAGUCCUCUGCUUUGGCAACGAAAAUCGAAAACCCAUUUGUUUCCAUCCAUCAGAACUCGAAAUCUCCAUAUUCAUGUCUCCAAGAAAGCUUCUUGUUUUCUGGGUCGACGUCUUCUUCCUCAUAACUCUCUUCCUCCGCCGUGGCUCGGCCGAGAACGUCAACUUCUACUUCCCAUCUUUGAACUUCCGAAACCUCACCUUCCUCGGCGACUCCCACAUCCGAAACGGUGUCUUGGGGCUCACCGCGAGCUCACCGUCCCCUCCUCCAGCGCCGGUGCCGUCAUCUACAACAACCCAAUUCGGUUCUUCGACCCGGAGUCCAACAUCACUGCUUCUUUCUCCACAAAGUUCGCUUUCUCCAUCGCCAACGUCAAUCCGAGCUCCUACGGCGACGGCAUAUCGUUUUUCCUCUCGCAGGAGAACUGGACGCUGGGCAGCCCUGGUGGAUAUCUGGGUCUCGUCAAUUCCUCGCAAUUGACCAAGAACAAGUUCGUAGCCGUCGAAUUUGACACGAAGCUCGAUCUUCACUUCGACGAUCCGAACGACAAUCAGGUCGGAUUGGACAUUGAGAGCCUCAAUUCGAUCAAGACCGCUGAUCCGAUUUCACAGGGUGUCGAUUUCAAGGGCGGAAUUCGAUCACUGCUUGGAUUGAUUACAAGAACGACCAAUAAAAGCUUAAAGUGUAUCUGAGCUACUCGAAUUUCAAGCCUGAAAAGCCGGUUUUGAGCGUGGACAUCGAUCUCUCCGAGCAUCUGAAGGAGGUUAUGUUCGUGGGUUUUUCAGCCUCAACGGAGGGGAGCACGGAUAUUCAUCUGGUUGAGAAUUGGAGCUUUCAUACCUUCGGGUUUGUUGCGAAAAUGCCGAGGUUGUAGCCACACAAUGUGUCCGAUACUUAGGUGGCGGUGAGUCCGAGGAUUCCCGUGUCCGGUUCAGGGGAUAAGCAUCACCGGCGGCUCGGUUUGGGACCUGGGAUUGCUGGGCCAGCGUUCUUUUGCGUGGCGCUGGUGGUUUUCAGUUAUGUUUCCGUGAUGAAAUGGAUGGAGGUGAGAAAACAGAAGAGCUUCAAAGCAGAGCUGGUGGCAGGGCCAAGAGAGUUUAGUUACAAGGAGCUGAAAUCUGCCACAGGAGUGUUUCAUCCCAGUAGGUUGGGACUGUUUACAAGGCGUUUUUUGUGUCUUCAGGCACCAUUUCUGCGGUGAAAAGAUCCAAGCAUUCCCAUGAAGGUAAAACCGAAUUCCUCUCUGAGUUGUCGAUUAUUGCUUGCUUGCGUUACAAGAAUUUAGUUCACCUUCAAGGCUGGUGCGUUGAGAAGGGUGAAUUGCUUCUUGUUUACGAUUUCAUGCCUAAUGGGAACCUCGAAAAGGCGCUGUACCAAGAAUCUGUACAACGAACUUUGUUAGAUUGGUCUCGGAGACUGAAUAUUGCGGUCGGAUUGGCGUCUGUUUUGGCAUAUCUGCACCAGGAAUGUGAGCAGCAGGUCAUCCACAGAGACAUAAAGACUGGAAAUGUGUUGCUUUACGGGAAUUUAAACGCAAGGCUCAGUGAUUUCGGGCUUGCAAAGCUCAUGGAUCACGAUAAAAGCCCUGUUUCCACACUGACAGCGGCAACAAUGGGGUACCUUGCGCCUGAGUAUCUUCAAUAUGGAAAGCCACCGAAAAGACUGAUGGUUUUAGCUAUGGUGUGGUGAUCCUUGAAGUGGCGUGUGGAAGGAGGCCAAUAGAAAAAGAGCCGGGAAGUGAGAAGGCGGUGAAUUUGGUUGAUUGGGUUUGGGGGCUGCAUUCAGAAGGGAUGAUUAUCGAGGCGGCUGACAAGCUGCUGAAUGGGGAGUUUAAUGUGAAAGAAAUGAGAAAUCUGUUGCUUGUCGGAUUAAGUUGUGCUAACCCUGAUAGUGCGGAGAGGCCUACGAUGAGGAGGGUUCUGCAGAUUCUGAGCAAUGAGGCAGAAGUUCAAGCCGUCCCAAGGGUGAAGCCGAGUCUGAGUUUGUCUAGCAGAUUGCCUUUGUCCCUUGAUGACAUUGUUUCGGAUUGUGAGGAGGAUUCCAAUAGCCCUACAAGCUCGAUGUGUGAGAUCGUCAUUCACUGAAAAAUAUAUGCAGAUUUGAAGAGUUUAUAGAUAGUUGGAUUCUUCCAUUCUUUUAACUUUACCACUGCUUUUUUUUUUUUUUUAUCUAUCCUGUAGUUUGAAGAUUAGAGACUGUAUAGUCCACUGGCCUGAGUUCAAAGCUUUCUGUUGAACUGUGUGGUCUCUACUUUGUCCAGGACAAAAAAAGCUUCUUGCUUGAAUAUUUCAACUGUAAUGGAAGACUAAUUUCUGACUGGUUUACAAGUUGAAUGUUACACACGAACGAUUUCUAUACUAUUCGAUCUUACUGUUCUUAUACCGUUCUGUUUCUUGGGUAGUUUGAUUUGGUCUUUCCUAAUGGUACGAUACUGAGCAGUGGGUGAUCUGUAGAGUGAUUCUGUUUGCACCCGUAAAUCUGUUCGACACACACCCUCUCCCUCUCUCAGGCUAAAGUAGCCAUGGCAAAGGGAGGAGAACUAGGAAGGUUUUUGAGAGAUAGAGAGAGAGAGAGAGUGUGUGUGUGUGUGUGUGUGUGUGUGUGUGUGUGUGUGUGUGUGUGUGUGUUCUUUGGGUGUGAGAGUAAGAAGAUGCAGAAAGUAGAUAUAGCGAUGACAUUCAUAGAACUUACAGAUUCUGAACUUUUUUAAUCUCCCUCUAUGCCAGAAGAGAAUUUGAACUAUCUGCUUUGCAGAACUUGAGAAUUUUUCGGAUUGCAUCGCUAUCAGGAGAAAUUCUCAAGUUUUGGUAGUGAAGUAUUCAAGAAUAGUACACUGCAAUCCUUCUGUUUCAUAAUUGACCUCCUUUAUACACGCAGAUUUGAAGCUUUUCGCCAUCGGGAUAAAUUCUCAAGUUUGGUACUGAAGUGUAUUAAGCAGAUAAGUACGUGCAAUCAGUUAUGGAAGAAUUCGACCUGCUAUGCACAAACAGAACUAAGAAAGUGGACGAGUUCUUAUGAGCACAAGAUUUUGAAAUUUACCGGAUCCUUGCGUCUAAUUACCAUUGACAUUAUUCCAGUUCAACUCCUUUUUGAUGUACAGAUAAAAACUGUGUACCAGGCAAAGCCAAACCAGAACGUUCUGCAAGUAAGAACUCCGUGCUGGUCAAGUAAUCUGCCAGGCCCAGACUCAAGGCAGCAAGCUUGGAGAAAUGCUGAACCAGAAUAUGCAACAUCGUUCUUCUCCCCUGAAAUCGAAUUGUGCACAACAUCAGUGAAUUCUCGAUGGCCCUUUUUGUGGUCUCCCUCUCCGAUCCUGGUUUCGGAUCUUUGUUUUGCGAAAUAGGUCUUUACUGUUCCUUUCACGUCGACGAUGAGCCAGGAGUAUGGAACUUAAGAAGUAUCCCUCAUGACAAAGCAGAUAACCGUAUCAAUCACUAAGCGGUUUACAACAUCAAGUUUCCGAAGAACAUUUCAAUGCUGUACAAGACCUGCAAAUUAGCAGCAAACUGCCGUAGCUUAUCAAUUGUGACAGAAAUAAGUUAAACUAACCUUGUAUAUUUGAUCAAGAGCUUCAAAAUAAUUCAUAAGAUCUAAUAUUAAAAAAAAUGUAAAAGCAAAUACACUGAAAGAAAACACUUAUGGUGAAAAUAUUUUUGGAACCAAUUAUUUGUGAAAAUACAAGUAAAUCCUCGAAAGCACUUAAAAAAAUACAUUUCUAAAAGAAACAUUUCAAUCAUUUUGAAAAGCACUUCAACUUCUUCUCAUCAUUCUUACAAAAUAAGAAUUUGUACAAAACUGACAUAUACUUGCUUCAACUGAUUAUUCUGCUCCAAGAAUCAUCUGCAUAAUAUAAAUACAAAAUCCACGAGGAAAAUAGAGUUUCGCGGUUUACAUAGGAAUUAAACAAUAAUGUACACACAUACACAAUAUCCACAAAUUAAGUGAUUUCCCGAUUCACCAUAUAGAAUGUUGAGCUUGUUGCGAGUUAUACAUUAGUUAAAGUAUAAAUAGUAGUUUAUUGUCCCAUAUUAGUGAAGUACAUAUGUAAUAUCAAUUGUAACUUUUAUAUAUACUCCACUUUGGAGAUUAAUGAAUAUAUAAGAAAUUCACAAAUAUUAUCAUAUAUAUUUUUGGUAUUUACCAUGUUGAGUUUAAUAUUGCUAUUUACCAUGUUUAGUUUAAUAUGGUAUCAGAGCAAUUCGCUCUUGGUGACCAGUGUGCUUUAAUUUUGUGCCCACAUUUUUCGUGAUCUCCUAUGUGAAAAAAAAAAUUAGUGAAUAGUGUCGCGCUACAAUACAACGUUUGCUACAGUGCAUGAAUAGUGGUCCUCUACAUUGCCGUGCACAGUGAUUGCUACAGUGCCGUGAAUAUUCUCUGCUACAGUGCUGUGAACAAUGAUUGCUACAGGUUCUGGUAAAUUGUUUUCAUUCUGCUGCGUAUCUUUUGUGCCUUUAUUGUUCGUGAUUUUGUUCAAUGACUCAAUAUAAUCAUAGUAUUGUUAUGCAUCUUGGUGGAACAAUAAAUGGAUAAUUGAUACUGGGGCUACUGAUCAUGUGACUAGUGACCCUAGAGUGUUUGAUGAGUUAUGUGACUAUGUUUGUGAUCCGUAUAUUACUAGUGCAAAUGGAGCACUUUCCCCUGUGAAGGGUGAAUACACUAUCUCUCUAACUCCAACCUUAUCACUGGUCUGUGUUUUACUUGUUCCUGAUGUUAAGUGCAAUCUUUUGUCGGUAUGAAAACUUCUUGAUACCUUAUAUUGUUCUGCUUACUUCUAUCCUACGUAUUGUUAUUUUCAAAACAUUCAAACUCAGAAGAUAAUUGGUCAUGAUAAAAAAAUAGGGGGUUUGUACAUCUUGACUAUGGAGGAUACUGUUGUUUCCGGUUCAAAUAAUCAUCAAGUUUUAAGUGCUAAUGUCACAUCCCGACCCAUGGUCCACCACAUCCCGGGCUCGCUCCACCACCGUAACACGAUAUUGUCCGUUUUAGGCCCCGACCACGCCCUCACGAUUUUGUUUCUGGGAACUCACAUGAGAACUUCCUAGUGGGUCACCCAUAAUGGGAGUGCUCUCGUGCGCUACUCACUUAACUUCCGAGUUCCGAUGAACUCCGAACCCAGUGAGCUCCCAAAAUGCCUUGUGCUAGGUAGGGAUGGGAAUAUACAUUUAAGGAUCACUCACCUAGGCAAUGUGGGAUCUUACAAUCCACCCCCCUUAGGGGCCUGACGUCCUCGUUGGCAUACCACAGCCAGGGUUAGGCUCUGAUACCAAAUUGUUACAUCCCGACCCGGGGUCCACCAUAUCCCGGGCCCGCUCCACCGCCAUAGCACGAUAUUGUCCGCUUUAGGCCCUGACCACACCCUCAUAUUUUUGUUUUUAGGAACUCACACAAGAACUUCCCGAUGGGUCACCCAUCAUGAGAGUGCUCUCGUGCGCAACUCGCUUAACUUCCGAGUUCCGAUGAACUCCGAAGCCAGUGAACUCCUAAAAGGCCUCGUGCUAGGUAGGGAUGAGAAUAUACAUUUAAGGAUCACUCACAUGGGCGAUGUGGGAUCUUAUAGCUAAAGUGGAUGACAGACAUCAAAUUUGGUUGUGACAUCGACGAUUGGGACAUCCAUCAUUCAGUUAUAUGAAGCAUCUAUUUCCUUCUUUGUUUCGCACUUGUAGUGAUUCAGAGUUUAAGUGUGAAACAUGUGUCAUGGCUAAGAGUCAUCGUGCUUCCUUUCCUGUAAGUGAUUCUAAAGCUACUUUGUCAUUUGAUUUGAUACAUUCUGAUGUGGGGUCCGGCGAAAGUUACUUCUAAUGGAUUCCGUUGGUUUGUUACUUUUAUUAAUGAUUAUACUCGGUUAACUUAGGUGUUCUUGAUGAAGAAUAAGAGUGAUGUUCCGUUACUUCUUCAAGAAUUUUGUACAAUGGUGUCUACUCAGUUUCAGACCAAAGUUAACGUCUUCAGGUCUGAUAACGGAUGAGAAUGUGUAAAUCACACUUUGACAUGUUUUUUUCUCGUGAUUAUGGUAUUAUUCACCAGACUACUCCAUUUACACCCCAAAAAAAUGGUGUGUCCGAACAGAAGAAUCGUCAAAUAAUGGAGGUUGCUCACUUUUUGAUGUUGGAUAAAUGUGUUCCUAAUCAUUUGUGGGGUCAUGCUGUUUUGGCUGCUAUGUUUUUGAUCAAUCGUGUUCCAAGUAGGGUUCUUCAUUUUCAGACACCGUUUGAUGUGCUACAAAAACAUGUUUCUCUUGUUUCUGUAUUAAAGCUUCUUCCGAAAGUGUUUGGGUAUAUUGCGUAUGUGCAUGUCUACUCUCAUCAGCGGAGUAAACUUGAUGCAUGUGCUCUCCGGUGUGUCUUUAUUGGGUAUGCUAACAAUCAAAAAGGCUAUAAGUGUUAUCAUCAUCCGACUCAAAAAACUUAUAUUACCAUGGAUGUUACCUUGCAUAAGAAAAUUUUGUAUUUUAUGAAGCUCUCUUCCGACUCUCCACUUCAGGCGGAGAGGGGGAGUGAAAUGCAUAUUCAAAUAAAUGGUAUGGAUGAUGUGUUACAGGCAGAGUUGGGAACAUAACCUAUUAUGUUGCGUGAUACUAAUCAGUUGGCUACAGAUAAUGAUCGAUCACCUGUCAUUCCCGGAACUAUUUCUACUGAUGACAGAUCAGAUGUGCCCAAUGAAUUGCCUAUUAGUAUGUCUAACGAAUUACAUUCUGAUGAUCGGUUGUCUGUUGCUAAUAUGUCUAAAGAGUUGCCUGAUGAUGGUUCGUCCAGUGAUGAUUCUUCUAACAGUUUGGUACACAUGAAGUAAAUUCUGACGAUUCUUCUAUUUAUCAGUUGCCUCCAUGAGCUAAUCGUGGAAAACAUAAAGUACAAUAUGAUCCUGAUAUGCAUGCCAAAGCCAAAUAUCCUAUCAACAAUUAUCUGUCUACUCAUCGUUUGUCCAAACCAUAUGCAUCUUACAUAUGUCAGCUAUCUAGUGUAUCAAUUCCAAUAAAAUUGCAAGAUGCUUUGUCUAACCCUAAGUGGGUUAAUGCCAUGAAAGUUAAGAUGGAAGCUUUGGAAAAGAAUUCUACUUAGGAUUUGGUUCCGUUACCAAACGGGAAGAAAGUCGUUUGAUGUAGAUGGUUGUUUACUAUUAAGCACAAAGCAUAUGGUUCUAUUGACUGGUAUAAAGCCAUAUUAGUUGCUAAGGGUUAUACUCAAACCUAUGGGGUGGACUAUCAGGAGACCUUUACUCCUGUUGCCACACUUAAUACUGUGCGUGUUCUUUUGUCCUUAGCAGUAAACCAGGAUUGGCCUCUGUUGCAGUUUGAUGUUAAGAAUGCUUUCCUUCAUGGUGAUCUUAAGGAAUAAGUGUAUAUGGAUCUCCCACCUGGUAUUGGAACAUCUCCUGGAAAAGGUGUUGUAUACAGGUUACAAAAGGCCUUAUAUGGUUUGAAACAAUCUCCUAGAGCGUGGUUUUUGAGGUUUACAAGUUCAAUGAAGAAGUUUGGGUAUAUCCACAGUCAUUCAGAUCAUACUUUGUUUCUAAAGCGACAAAAUGGUAAGCUAACUACAUUGAUUAUAUAUGUUGAUGACAUGAUAGUGACUGGUGAUGAUCAGAAUGAGGAGAUACAACGCCUUCAAAAGUACCUAGCUACUGAGUUUGAGAUGAAAGAAUUAUGUGAAUUGAAGUAUUUUUUUGGAAUCGAGGUUGCACGAUCUAAGCAUGGUAUUUUUCUGUCUCAACGAAAGUAUGUUCUUGAUUUGUUAGCUGAAACAUGUAUGUUAGAUUGCAAACCUGUUGAUACUCUGAUUGAGCAGAAUCAUCGUCUGGGCUUAUUUCCAGAUCAAGUUUCUACUCAUAAGGAACAAUAUCAGAGGCUUGUGGGGAGAUUAAUUUAUUUGUCUCACACUCGCCCUGACAUUGCUUAUGCAGUUAAUGUGGUAAGUCAGUUUAUGCACUCACCUAGUGAAGCUCAUAUGGAUGAAGUAACCCGUAUUUUGAGGUACUUGAAGAUGGCUCUUGGCAGAGGCUUGGUUUUCUCCAAGAAUGGUCAUUUGAAUAUCGAAGGGUAUACAGAUGCAGAUUGGGCAGGUUCUAUCACUAAUCGGCGAUUUACAUCUGGAUACUUUACGUUUGUAGGUGGUAAUUUAGUUACUUGGAGAAGCAAGAAACAAAAAGUGGUGGCUAGGUCAAGCACAGAAGCUGAGUUUCGUGAUAUGUCUCAUGGUGUAUGUGAGUUGUUGUGGUUGAAAAAAUUGUUGAGAGAUCUUGGGUCUAAACCCAAAGGUGCUAUGAAACUUCAUUGUGAUAACAAGGCUGCUAUUGAGAUUGCUCAUAAUCCAGUGCAACAUGAUCGAACAAAACAUGUGGAGAUUGAUCGACAUUUCAUUAAGGAAAAAUUGGAUGCUAGAAUUAUUAUGUUUCCGUUUGUGAGAUAUGAAGAUCAACUUAUUGAUGCUCUUACUAAGGCUGUGUCUAAUAGUGUGUUUUCCAACUCGCUUGACAAGUUGGACAUGCGUGACAUCUUUGCACCAACUUGAGGGGGAGUAUUGCGAGUUAUACAUUAGUUAAAGUGUAAAUAGUAGUUUAUUGUCCCAUAUUGGUGAAGUACAUAUGUAAUAUCAACUGUAACUCCUAUAUAUACUCCACUUUGAAGAUUAAUGAAUAUAUAAGAAAUUCUCAAAUAUUGUCAUAUAUAUUUUUGGUAUUUACUAUGUUGAGUUUAAUAUUGGUAUUUACCAUGUUUAGUUUAAUAGAGCUAUAUAUAUAUAUAUAUAUAUAUAUAUAUAUAUAUAUAUAUAUUAUAUAUAUAUAUAUAUAUAUUUGUAGAUAACAAUGUUCCUUAAUUUUGUGAGAGAAUAUCUUACUUUGAGGUUAGAUCGAAGUAGAUCAGACGACGGUGCUGACAGAUGGGAAUGUAAGAGAUGAUGACAGAAGAAGAGAAAGCACACUCCCAGCAACGGUAAAGACUCUCCUUAGCCGAUGGCGGGUUGUGCUCUCUCUCUUCUGUCAACAUAUAUGAACUCUAACCUCAUUCCCCAUCUCAUCUAUACACCCUUAAUGCCACAAAACUCAUGCAUUCAUCCCUGCAGAGCAAACCAUCAAUUAAUAGGGUGAGGUAACGCAUUCAGGCUCAUAUAAAUCUGAUAUAUUGUAUACAAUGCAUAUUAGCAUGUCUACUACCCCUUACAUACAUACAUACAUACAUAUACAUAUAUAUACAUAUAUAUAUAUAUAUAUAUAUAUAAGCAUAUCAUAUGUAUAGAUACUGGCGCAGUUGUAGAAGAGGUAUUUAAUGGCACAAACCCGGUUUAGUGCAACUUUCGGUCUCGAAGUCAGAUUUUGGCCCAUGAGUUGCGGGGGACAAACAGUUUGUGCCGUGAAACUCCUCUUCUACUCACACACCAUACUCUGCAUAGAUAUAUGAUUUUAAAUAUCCGUUAAUUCAUUAUUAUAAGCAUAAUUUUUGCUAACAGAUAAAUAAUUAAACAUAAGAACUUGCCUCUAUAUAUAGCCAAAAAUUAACCAUGAUCUGGGAUUUUUUUUUUCAUCAAGCCAAUAAAUAUGUACUGAUCAUGAAACAAACUGAUCAAUAUCAACAUCCAUCACCAUGAAGGGGUAAUUUGUGAGUGAAAUCAAUACUGAAUUUAUAAAAUUUAUAUGUAUAUAUAAUGUGUUCAGAUAUGUAUUUAUAUAUACCUAAUGUAUGCAUAUGCAUCAAAAAUCAGAUUAAAACAAUAUAUCUACUUAUCACAGGAACUACUUCAUACAAAUAAAUAUAAUUUAUCAUGACAGUUUAAUCAAAACACUGGCUAAAAAUUGAGAGAGAGAGAGAGAGAGAGAGAGAGAGAGAGGAGAGUGAGAAUUUUACUCUUAGGGUUCUUCAACUUUUGCUUAGCUGGUCAUCAGAUACGAUUUUCACUGCAGAAACUACUAGUUUCUCUUCACUUUCCAUGAAAGAUAAAGAGGAAAGAAGAAAUAAAGAAGUAGAUAAAAGCAGAGAACAAGUGUGGGAGUGAGAGAUACGUAUAAGCUACAAAUUCUAUACCUCAAUGUAUCAGUUGUUGAUGAAUAGUGUUCAUCUUAUAGGGACCUGGCCGCUGACUAUAACCGGUGACUUGUAGUAUGAUUUAUGACCGUCUAGUGAGCGUAAACUGGUUUCGACACUAGUUUUUAUUUUAUGAUUUAGAUGUUGUAUUAAACAUUAUGGAUAGCCACCGUUUUAAAUAUCAAUAUGCGUGAAAAUAUCAAUAUGCAAAUUUAUAAAAAUGUAGGUGGACACGUCGAUAUCGGUUGCCUUCAUAAAUAUUAAAGAAAUUUGCAAUGUGUGAUAUAUCUCAUUCAGAUUUAGUUGAAAUUAAAAAAAAAUUCAUAAAAUUUCAAAAGUUUGAAAUUUGAAAUGAGUUCCCGCAAAAUAUAUGUAGUGUAUUAGUAAAUAUUGUAGAUAUUUAUUGAUUUUCUUUAUCUUGGUGAUAUAGGAUGAAGUUUGUAUUUUACCCCUUCUAUAUUGAUUCUUAAUUUUUUUUUAAUAUUUCAACGAAAAUAUUGACGAUUUGUAAAUAUUUUAAACACAAGGUAGUAUAUAGGAUUUCAAAUAUAUUCAAACCCAAACGUUACUAUUAUCCGGAAUUAAACUUACAUUUUAAUUAAAAACAGGCUACCUGAUUAACAUAACAAGAUAUAAAAUAACACUUCCUUUUUCUCGAGUCUGCAAGCUUAUCCGUUUGUACAAAUUUGGUGUUAGGACUUGGGAGAUUCUUUUCAAACGUGAUGAAACUUUUCACUGUCAAAGGACUCAAAGUCGUUAAUGGCACCAAUAAAAUUUAAAAUUUAAAAUUGUAUUUAAUAAAGAAGAAAAUGACGUUGAUAAAGAAUAAUAAGACCCGUGGUGUAAGCAACGUCAUAAAUGGGUAACCAAAAAUGGUGGGGGUGGAUGUUGACCGGCUAUUUCAGGUCGGCCGGAUCCAAGAAAGGGUCUUUGUUUCUCUCUCACCUCACCUGACAUCACCCGUGAUAACCGAUAAACUCGUCGCUUUCGCGACUGUGGAGAAUAUCGAGACCGUUGAGUGGUGCCACGUGGAGGACAUGCACGGGUGGUAGGCUGGUGAUUUGGGAUAUGAACAGUGACUACCUUCCUCUCAUGAAUUUUGCAUACUUUAGUUUAUUAUCUUAUUUUCCACGCCGAAACUUUAUAUUAAAAAAAUAAUACAUUUGUCAAAAGUGCACGAUAAAAAUUUUUAAAAUGCAAACAACAGUGUACUAAUUAUUAGAUCGGUGCCAUGCUAAUCUCUAUGAUUUAGUGAAACUCUUCGUAAUACAUUGUUAUUAAUAUACCAAAUCAAAUCAAAAUUUUCAUUUACAAUUCAAACAUAUUACUUUUACCACAUUUUCAUACUAUAUUUGUACCAUCUUUAUAAUAAAAAGGGGAUCUAUAUGUGUCGGUUGGUCCUACUUCUAUUAAAAAGUGGUACGAAUAAUAUGAUAUGAAAAUUAUAGUUAAGUGUAGCAUUAGACUACUUUUGCAGACGUUCGUGGUACUGAUUUUAAUCUUCUACUAUAAUACACCUAAACUUGUUAUUUCAUCAUGUUAUUUAUUUUUAUUUAAAUGAGAAAUAUUAUGUUCGAAUCUCAUGAUUGAUUAUAUUUCCCGACUAAUUACCCAGAUAGUUUAAAUAUCGAUCGUUGUAAUGUCAUUGUCCACCCUCUAAUUCAAAUUAGCAGCAUUAGGGAGGUCCAUUUAAUGGGGUCAUCAGCCAUGACAAGGAGCUUGAAAGAUUAAUAGACUCUGAGCAUCUUUGAUUGGUCAACACUCGUUAGGUCUUAUUCUUGUAGCUAUAAUUGGAGAGAUUUUUCAACAUAUUUGAAAUACGAGACUGUACAUUACAUGACACUGUACAAAUGAAAAGAUACUUGCAAAACUUAAAAUAAAACUUUUGUUUAUAUAUAUAAUGACAUAUUAUGUACCACCCAUGUUUCGAAUAUAUUGAAAAAUUACUCAAACUCAUGUGAAAAUGAAUGUUUUCCCUUUUCAGCCACACGUAAAAUAUAUGGUUCCCAUAAAAAUUCAAAAAUCAAGAGGAAGCCUGCAAUAUUGCUAUCAGAAAGCUCCCCUCAUCAUCUCAGAUGGUCCUGGGGAGAGGAAUCGAUGAAUGGAUCACAACCGUUGGAUCCAUUGAUUGAAAUGUGGGGCCUUCUGCCACGAGACACGUGUUCAUGCCCUAGAGAUGCAGGUGAAGUUCAUGCGCCGAUACAGAAGAAAAAUGAAAAGGCAUGCUGAAAAUAAUUCAGAUAUUUUGAUGCCUGAGAGCGACCGGAGACAUAUAUCCAUUGACGUCACUCGUCUAAUCGAUAUUUCUCAUACGUUAAAAAAGUGAACUAAUCGUUCAUCUUACGUUUAAACCGUGAAUCUGCUUGAUCGUUAUCACAAGUAAUGUAUAAUUUCCAAUUAACCUCAUUUGUGUUCAUAAAAAAGAGUGAAUAAUCGUAAGUGCCAAAGCCUUGAUACAAUGGAUUCAAGGCAAAUGAGAUUUGGAAACAACUGGCAAUAAAUCAAAUCAAUAAUUCAUAUAAGCAUCGGCUAAAAAAAUGCCAUUUUAGUACAGAUAAUUACAUUUCUUUUCUUCAUAAUCUCACGUUCCUAACAGCAUAACAAAAUCUCAGUAAAGUACAGAACCUGCAGAUUGCUUCAAGACAAUGUCACAAUAAGUAGAAACUGUAUGAAUUAGUUUGAAUCACUAAGUCAGCAAAACCUCCAAUCCGGGUACUAAUUAGUUCUGAUUCGAUCGCCUUCAGAAGUAAUUAAAGUGUCUAUGAUCUUGUAAUGUGAGAGACGCCCACGCAACGGAUCAUCUUGCGCAUUAUCUGUGUUACUUCUCAGUUUUUCAGACUUCGAAGCAGGAUUCAUAUCACUUUUCUCAUCGAAGAUCUCUCGUUUUAGGGUCUCUGAUGCUUCCUUGGAUUCAACCAAUUUAGUUUUCCAUUUAAUACCAACUGCCUCAGCCUGAUCUGCAAACAAGACUUUUGCGCUAGCUGAACUGCAGAUUUCUUUGUAAGUUUCAUAAUUAGCAGCUCGGGUGCUUCCACCUUCCAAAAGUCCCGUGAGGGGAUGCAAAACCGAGACUGGACCAUCACUUCUCUCUAAUGUUUCCUUCAACGCCAGAAAUUCAGAGACAAAUUUUUCCUUGCUAAACUGAAUGAAUACUGCAGUUUCAUCCAAGUGGUAGACAGACGUGACAGAGGUCGGGCCAAAGACUUUUGUGAUGCACUCCCUUAUAUCUCGUGCCUUGAGUUUUGAUGGGAAUCCCCAGAUUAAAGCAAUGUUCUCAAACAUAAUCUGCGCGUACCUCUUUUUGUGAUUAUUAUACCCCGAAGACAUUGCUUUCUUCUUGCCGGUGGUUAAAUCAAUAAUGUCUCCAUUACUCCAACUGAGGUAUAAAAGGUUGAUUUGCUUCUGGAGCUUCUCAUUGUGGGGCAACUUUUCAGAUGACAAACAAGCCUGAAAAUCAAUUCCGAGAUGACUGCAUGUCUGAGCAAAGACACAGCCUGUCAUAAAAGCAUCGUAUCCUGCUUCAUGUUUGGCUCCAGAAUUCCAGUUGGAGGACCUGCAAAUAGAUAAUCGUGAUAUGAAAGACUUAUUCCUUUGCUUUUCCUUUCAUUUGUAUAUAAACUGCCAAUUUUAGUUACAUUACUAAAACUAUCUUUCUCCAUAUGUAAUGGUUAUUCUUUUAACCAAUAUGUAAUGGUUAUUCUAUGAGAGAGAGCCACGUGGCAUGCACAAGUAUAUACAUCUCGUAAAGCAAGUAGAAAUAGAAACAAAUUGACAAACUUAUACGAACUUGUUAUCCGACAGAUUUCUAAAGUUGGUUGCAUCUAAAGAAUGUAAUGUGUAAUUAACCCCGGUCAAAAAUGUCAUGCCAACCUAGUCGUUUUCAGACAGAUCUCUAAGUGCCCUACGCCAUUAAUGAAAGUUAAUGAAAAUGCUCUCCUUCAUCUGUCGGGUUUCAACUCUAUAUCUUUUUCCAUUCAAACUGUGACAAUGGAAACCACUGAGACCAACUAAAUGAAUUGAGCACGGCCGAGAUAUCAUUAUGGACAGAGAAUGGAAAAAGCAAACCUCAAAUCAUCCACCUGAACUUCAACUUUGACACACAAUUGGACUUCUGAAUCAGUGCUUUUCUUCCCAAGAGCAAUUUGCGGGCAUAACAAAGCAAAUGCUGACGAAAGUGAUGUUCUGGACUUCUUCAUCCGUUGUUGGAGCACAUUAUCUGUAUUCAACAGUACUUUGGUGUCAAUGAUGUGUGGAAAAUACUUGUUAACAGCAGAGACAAAUUCCUCAGCAGUCGAAGGUAGAGGUCCCAAGAAUUUGUUGUAUAUAUGGGCAAUAUCUGUAUGACAACAAGAAGACAUCUUAGUAAUAUAUAAAAUCAAAUUGACCUUUUAUGAAAGUAACAUCAAUACUCAUACCAAGAAAGCAAUUGUGACCAACAAUCAACUUUUGUUCUGAGGAAAGAAGGUCAAUAACAUGACGAAACCCAACUGCAGCUUGAACUUUCACCUCUGCUUCCCUACGAUGUUCAUCCUUAACCUCUUUCUGCAAAAGAUUGCAUACAGAAAACUAUAAUUCCUCCUGAGGUGUAGAUGAUCAUCACAUAAUAACAAAUACACUGACUUCCUUUGGUGAUAAUUUCUGUUCUCCCUAAUGCACCAACAGCAUUAUGCAAAAUUUAUGCCCAGAUAGUAAUUAUCAUACACACUGCCGUUUGUUUAUUAACGAGAAAUUAACAGUGUUGAGACAUUUUAGUUAAGACUUAGAAGAAGAAGAGAAAGAAGAGUUUCAAUAUCUCUAAUGGUUGUUUCGAUGGCUACGAUAGAAAUCCAGAGAAAACUUGUUGAUUGACUUAUUGGAAUACUAAAAAGUAAAAACAACUCCAGGCCCAAACUCGGACCAUCAAGACCUUUAGAAAGUAAAUCAUUUUCAAUAAGAAAACAACCAAAUUCUAAUAACCGAAAGUCUGAAAACUAUUUCACAAAGUAAACAUCCUAAGUAGUCUUUCACAGUUGAAGAGCAUUUGAAAAUUUCACAUCAUAUAAACUGGAGGACACAAAUUACUUACCAGAAGCAAAUCCCUGUCAUCCUUGGAAUCUGUCCGCACAACUAGUUGCUGUUGACACGACUUUUCACCAUUUACCUGAACAUAAGAAAGAUCUUGGAAAUGCUUUCUCAUGACCUGCAAACGUUAAUUUUAAUAUUCAGCUUAACAAAACCAUGACUAAGAAGAAGAAAAAAUGUUUUUUACGCAUAUAGAGUACAUCUCUGCAUUAUUAUAAAAAGUAAAACAAUACUUUUUUUUUUUUUUCGUACCCAGUGCACAAGGCUCCCGCUUUACGCAGGGUCUGGGAGAGGUGAAUGUUGGCUAGCCUUACCCCCAUUUAUGGAGAGGCUGCUCCCAAGUAUCAAUCAAAUCAUUUGCUUGGCUAAAAAGGUUAAAAUACAAUAAAUAUAUUCACAUCCAAUUUAUGAGAUAUCAUGCAAAAGCAAAUGUGAAUGAUUACAGAAUCAUGAAUGCGAAUAAGAAACACAAACUUGCCAAAAAGAAGACCUAUUAUAGUGUGUCAAGAUACUCGCAGCAUAAAGUGUCAAGAUAACUGCAACAAAAUAUCCAUCCAAUGACUUAAGACUCAGAUCAAAGUCAAAUAAAAGUUGUUGCUUCAUAAUUUCCAAUUUCAGUUCCUUACCAGCCUCAGUGAGCAUUUCACCAAUUUCAAUCUCUUCCUAGAACUUUUAUACUUAUCUAUAACAAAAAUUUCAAAACCCGGUUUCGAGUUACUUUUCCUUGAACAACCAGGGAAAAGGCGAAUAGACAUAGAGUAAGUUUUUGAAUUAUUUGAGGCAAUUACUAAAGAAUACCUAGGAUCAUGUCAUGGAUCACAUGUCCAAGAUUAACUUGUUACAAGUGAGAAUCUUAUGAUAGAUGAUCAAAAUGUAAAAACCAAACCCACCAUUUGAAUCAACCUAAGCUGAUGAGAAGUGAAUCCCUUCAAACUAAGAGCUGGACGCAUCUUGAAGAAAAUGGUUUGUAACUGUUGGGAAUCAUUUGAGUUUUGCUGAAAUUGGAAUCCUCCAUUACUACUUCUCAAGUUCAACAAACCAUCACGCCAUUCAGUGAAUGUGUUCUUCAUCCGUUCAGCAAAGAGAGUGUCAGCAAUCUUGACCACUGGCAUGUGCACAGGUUCUUUCAAGUUUGAACAUCUAGUCAAUAACUCAUCAUCAUAUGUCAAGCUCAAACGUCUCAGUGCCUCACUUUCCUGCCCUCUGGAUAAAUAAGAUAUUCCUGAGAUUGUACAACCAUUUAACUUUACAAACUGAAACCAUCAUAAAAGAAAAGCCAGGGAAGUAACUUUCACACCAGUUACAAAACCUUAACCAUUACUUCAAAAAGAAAUCAAACAAUUUCACUACCUUCAUGUAUGCAGACAUUAAAAUCGAACUGGUAUUUAGCUAAGAAAUCAAUCGAUGUUGUCUGGCAAAGAAACUCAUAAGUGGGGCCUGCAACCGGAAGCUCUUGACGCGGAAAAAUGUAAAAAUUGUGCCUGUCAGCACACCCAUAGUAUUACACAAUAAAAACCACAUAAAAAGUUCAAAACGAAACACCAUCAUUGCACAAACUUAUUCAUCUCGGAAAUUGUGUGCCUUCGCAUUUGCUUCAAACAAUCCUAGACAGCAAACACAUGUAUAAUAUAAUUUACAAACCCGGCAAAGCAACCGAUUUUACGUAAAAAAUUUCAAAAUUUAAAUUUUUUUUCUCCUUUUAAAGUUCAACUUACUACAUUUACCAGAAAAUCCAGUCACAUUUAGCUUUUCAAUCCAAAUAUCAUGAUCAAAGCAAAAGACUCGAACUUUAAAUUUUAUCAGCUAACUAACACGUAAUUGCAAGAGAGAGAAGCAAUUGCCAAUGUUUCAAUAACAAUAAAAUCAAGCAAAAUCCCUAAUUUUUGUUCCUUACUUUCUUCCUCACUUUCUGGGCAGCCAAACAGAGCACAAACAAAAAUCAAGAAUGGAAAAGAAAAAGUCACAUACGGAUGAGCAAUGAAGGAGCGCUUGGAGGAGUCCCAGCGGAAGGGGCAAACUCCGAACUGAAGCACGGCGAACUUCUCGGCCGAGUCCUUGACCUUAAGGUAGCAGACGUCGGCGCGGUCGAAUUCCAGGGAGUCACGCCACGGAGCGCUGGUGAUUCCGGUCAUCUCGAGAUCGAUGGCCACGAAAUCGGCGGCGGCGACAUGGCGGCGCAGGUCGGCGAGGGCCGGCUCGAAGUUGGAUUUGGUCACGUUUUUUAGAGGGAAGGUGGAGGAUUGUUGUUGUACGGACGACGAAGAGGAAGAGGAGUGGGAUAGGGCACGUGAUAUCGCACGUGACAGUGCCCUCACCGGGCGGUGAGUGUUCAUUUUCUGAGCAUUUGCCUGAGCUUUCGGCCCUCGGGGGUUUAUGCAGAGAGUUUUCGACCCAAGGUAGAAGAUGAAAUGAUACCGCCUACGACGUCGUUUCUGCAAUUUUCAAUAAAUCUUUUCCUGGGGGAAUCGGGUCGGGUUAGCCCAACUUGAAAGCUAUAUAGAAAGGCCCAGCCAACCAAGGGAGUUCUGUUUUCUGCCCGGAGAAAUGAUUUUUACGCGUCAUUUUCUCUUUCUUCAAACGUUCACCUGGAAUGUGUAUAUUUUCCUUCUUGUAUGAUUAAGUCAUUUCUUAUUUUGAUUCUGAUUACGAAUUAACAAACGCAUACUUUUUGUGCUUAGAAUUUCUUGUUACGAUGAAACUCAAUGAAACUACACGUUUGAUUUACUUACAUUCAUAAAGCUCGAGUUAAACGAGCGGCUAAUGCGAGGGAACGCUUUGCUAAAGGGUUGGAGAAAUAGAGACGAAUAAUAAAGAGGACUCCCCUGAAAAAUUAACACACUUGAUGAUGACACACAAUCUAAUACAGACGGCUCUAUUAUUGUAUAUAAGACUCACUCGUUGUCUUAUUAAAAAUUGUGUCAGCAGGUGAAUCAAUUUUGUAUGUCUAAUAACAUUAUCUUUAUUCAGUUAGGGACAAAAGUAAGGACCAAGAACAAGCCAUUGCUAGAGCACGUCCAUAUUGAAGGUUCUGAGGUUAAUUUACAAGAAAGGAAUAACUUAUUUUAAUGGCAUACACUUUUUGUGCUCACUUUUUUCAUUGUGAUGAAGGGGAAAAGAUGUUUUGGGAAUAUGUAAAGUAACAAGAAACUUGUGGUUUGGUUGUAGAGAGCUAUACAUAUUUAUUGUCAAAUCUUUUUGUGUUAGGCACAUCUUAUUGACGAACAAUUUUUCGGUGUGUCGGAAAACGGCUCGAUACACUAAGCGUAAUAAUAUAAUUGAAUAUAAAUUUGAAAAAAAAAAGUUGCAACCAAUUGUAUUGAUACUUGACACGCCAAUCGUGCUUCGGACAUUGAAAAAAUUCUCUUAAUUGACGACUAGGACCAGAUAAUGUAUGGCAUGAUUCAUGGAUAUGUAAGUGCAACGUAGACAACACAAAAGUCUAUGUAGGGUUGGAGUAUUUAUAAUUUAAAAAUUCUCUUAGUCCAACUGUUUUGCCAACUUUUAUGUAACUUUCUUCCAUGAAAUGAAUUAUAAAGAAAGAUUUUCAAAGUAUAAAUUUUAUAUAAAACACUUAGAGGGAGUUGGAGAAAAAAAAACUUAAUUAGUUGGUAACUUAGAUGUUUUUUUUCAACUGGUUUUUAGUUGUGAAAUCUUCAGUGUCUUUAUUUAUGUCAUUCUCUAAUUUAUUAUGAAAUAGACUUAAAACUCAAGUGGUAAGACACCUAUUAUUGUGUUUAGUUCCCUCACCUCUUAAUAAAUAAGUCGUAAUUCACUAUUUUUUAAUACAAGUGGUCGGGGCAAAUUUCAAACCUAUAUUUCACACAACACAUCAUGUAUUCUCUCUUUGAAGUUGAUGAAUUACACGAUGGUGCCCUGGGGGAGGUUAAAAUGUCUAUGUGAGUCUUCUAGACUCUCAAAUAGUAGAUUGUCACAGCGAAGCGACCAACUGAUCCCCUUUAAUAAAAGAAACACAAUAAAGUUGAAGAUGAAAGGCUUGACCACAAAACAAUCCACUACUUACAAUGGUAAAUAAUUACUAAUAGUAAUAUUUUUUUUUAACAAGCAAUAGUAUUUACACUAAGGGGUGGGAGUUUGUCAUAAUAAUAUGGUUCAAUUUUACCUUUGAUGAGAAUCGAAUUUAAAACAUCUCAUAUACAAGCGAAAAUAAAUAUUACUAAUUUGAAAUACUAAGUGACACUAAUAGCAAUAUUAUUUACAAUCUUAUAUUUUCAUACUCUAUAUGCACUCAACUUCAUCCUUUUAUUCCUACAAUUGGUCAUCAUUCAACAAAGCCCCACAUGAUGACCCUCCAAAUGUCACCAUUUAGGACGUCCAAAUUGUGUCCAUGUUUCCAAUUUUGCUUGUUUUAUUUCAUCAAAAAAAAAAAAAAAAGCAUAUUUGGGUUCAAUGUUUUGGUUGGUCUUGGAAUAAAGUUGUUAACCCCCGGAAGCUCUUUUCCUUCGCAAUUAAGAAAGUCCCAAAAGUAGAGGGCCGAAACAUGCACGUACAUGCACUACUAGUCACUACUAGCCAUUUUCGAUUUUACCAAGGAAACACACAUCAUUGCUUCUGUUUUCCUUUUUCUUUUUUCUUCCCUCACGUAUCGGAAAGAGAUUUUUCAGUGUAUCAAAAACACAAUUCGGUACAUUAACUGUCAUAAUACAAUAAUUUGAAACUUGAAAAAAAAAUUUCAAUCAAUUGAGCCGUAUUCCUGGCACAUUGAAAAAUUUCUCUAUAGGAUAUAUACCAUUUUCACAAAUGCAAACUUGAUUGACAAUCUCGUUUGAAACUGUUUUUUAUUUUUAUUUUUUUUAACACUUCUAUUCACAAACACUUCUAGUAAAAUUGUUUUUAUUAAAAGCGCAUAAAUAAAAAUACUAAGGGUUAGCUUUUGUUGCCAAACAUAUCGUUAUGUUCUAUCAUCGAAGUUAGGAAUCCAAAAUAUAUAUAAAUUCUUACAAUAAAUCAAUUUUUAUGAAUUUAUUUGGUGGCCAUUUUAUGUGAUAAAUACGAUACAACCAAGUAUAAAUUCGGCCCAAAGAGAUUUAUUGGAGAAACUUAAAUUAGAUACGGGUGAUGUUAGUAAGAAAAUAAGAAACCAACAAAAGUAAAAGAUCAAAACAGAGAACAAAAGAUCAAACACCAUUUUUGGUCUGGAUUUAGCAAAUAUUUACUUAGAAGGAUAUUGUAGCAAAUUUGGAUUCAAACAUUGCUUGGUAAGAAAAAGAAUUAAUAUUGUAAUAUAAUUUAUUUAUUUUCCUGGAUAAUAAUAAAACAUAAUUUAGGAAAAUUAAGCUACUUAACAAGCUGGACAUAAUUACAAUUAUACUUUUUGAACAUCAAACAAGUUAAAUAAUAGAGACAUUAACACAAUAAUCUAGAGUCACAUUCAAUUCAAAUUAUCUUAUUCGUUGUAUCAGGAUUUUCAUGAUAGAUAUGUGUGUUAAGUCAAUGUGUUUGUUUGUCGCAUCCAAUUCAUAAUAGAUGAAUUUUAUAUGUGUUAGACUAAUUAUCUAAAGUACUGUGUCGUUUUGUCUCAUAUAAUUACAUUCUCACCAUGAUAAUAAAAUAGGCCCAAAUGGAGAGCACAAUGUAUAUUUAAUUAUUAUAUUUUAUUUUUUAUGAAAAACAAUUAUUUUAUUUUUAUCUCCUCCCUUUAUCUAUGUCUAUUUUUUUUUUGUUUUUCCGAAUUUUACUAUAAUUUCCUGCCCCCUCUAUAUAUACCACACUCUAGCUUCUUUCUCAGUUAUUCAUUUCUUCUCCAAUUCUCUGCUUCCCUUUCUGUCUCUGUGCGAUCCUCAUCAAAACCCUAAUCUUGAUCGCGAAGAAGCUCAAAUUUCCUCUUAUCACUCUCGAAAAAUCGAAGCUUGACGAUCCGAUCGUCGUCAAACAGCCGCUACAAAACGUUCCUCACUUCAAUUUUAGUUGCCGCAUAAUUUUAAUUUCCCCAAUUCAGUCUCUGCUCUUCGAUCAAUUCUUGGUUUUUUAGCGAUUGAUCGGGUACCAAUUCAAGGCGGUUCUCAAUCGUGCAAUGCUUUCAGUUCCAAUAUGAAGUUAAAGAGAAGGAGGGCGGUUGAAGUGGUCAGUAUAUUUCACCUGUGGAAUCGAUUAGAUUCUUGUAUGCAUACUGCGCAUAAUAUAUAUAUGUAUGUGUUUGUACAUGAUUAAAGUACUGGGUUUUCCCUAUGUUUUGAUUUCGAGAAGAAGUUGAUGGUUCUGGGUUAUGUUCUUUUUCUCUUUUUUUUUUUCUCAUUUCCCAGUGAGUGGCACUUUUGUAUGCAAUUGCUUAUAUAAUUCGUUUUGGGCAUCUAUCAAUUUGAUGUUUUCUUUGGUUGUUUAACUAGGGACUGAUACAAGAUAAGAAAGUUUAAUUUUUUUUACCUUAUUAUUGAAUUGUUUAUAUAAUUCGGAGUACGAAAAUGCAAACAUAUUCAGCUUAUGAAGUGAGGUUUUCAUUCUUGCAUGAGGAUUACAACCAGUACUAGGAAGAUCCUAGAGACAUGAUUAUACAUGAUUAUUCAUGACCAACCCAGUUGACUGUAUUAGUUUCGUUAUUGUUUCUUAGUUCAAAGAGUUAUUUUCUCCAUCGAAUGUCUAUAUGACUUUAUAUGUUUUUGUUGAAAUUGCUAGCAUUGAGAGAGAGAGAGAGAGAGAGAGAGAGAGAGAGAGAGAGAGAAGAAGAGGAGGGGGUGGAGGUUUGGUCGGUUCGUCAGUCUGUUUAUCAGUGUGUUAACGUUCAUGGAGCAAAUGUCAUGCAUGACAGAUUAUUUUGUCGAAAAAGAAGUUUUAAUCUUUUUAUAAGGAGGCAAUAUCUAGAUGGAACAAGAUUAAUUGGUUUUGACAUUUAUGCUUUAAUGUUUUGUAGAAAAUGUGUGGAAACUGGAUAAUUGUUACAGCAAGGUGAAGUUAGGAGUUCGUCGUUUUCUUUAAGACUUUCGCUAUGCAUUAAACAUGUGUGAAGUUAGGAGUUCGUUCGCUAUGCAUUAAACAUGUGUGAAGUUAGGAGUUCGUUGUUUUCUUUAAGACUUUUCUAUGCAUUAAAAUAUGUGGGACUUAGAUGUAUGAAUUGUUUUCAAGUUAUAAAUUUAGUACAUUCACAUCACACAGAAUAAAAUUUUGCUCAAACGGAUACUGCGCUUAGCUAAAAGUGUGAGAUGAAAUGGUGAGUGCGUGAAUGAUCUUAGUUCCUUAUAUGCAUCUCUUUGAAUAUGUCACUCUUAAGAUUUUCAGUAAUUAAAUUUUAUUAAGUGAACUUAACCAUAUUAUGUUAAGGUUCAUUAAGGUCAAUCCAAGCCACCUCAAUCCUUUCUUUAAAGGUACCAGACAAGUGUGGCACUAUUAACAACAUCUAUUAACAACAUUUUAACUUGUGUGCUUCUUGAAACUUUUUGACAUUAGUUUCAAUGUUGUUUAUUUCCUGUUAGUAGUAUGGAGACUUCUAACAAAGUGAUAGGGGGUAAUGUGUGUUAAAACAAAUUAUCUCUAGGAUAUGGUCUUGUUUGCACUAUGUUGUGUGUACCCUUCUCAUUGUUUGCACACCUUGAACAUCCCUUAUUGCACUUGAAGAACUUAUGUUUACAAAUAAGUCAUCUAUUUAUUGUUUAUUUGUUGUCUCUGUGGUACUGGGUACUAAUUUUAUAUAAAAGCAAUUUGGCGAGUCUGCAAAGUACUAACAACUAUUUGUUUGGUCUUGUUUUGUUUCAGCCCCCAAAAAUUAGAUCCUUCAUCAAUAGUGUCACUGCCGUUCCCUUUGAGAAUAUAGAGGAACCUCUGAAAGGUUUCAUCUGGGAGUUCGAUAAGGUGAUUUUAUUACCUUUAACUGUUACAUUAAUACAGUUAUUUACAUGCAAUAUGAUUUAUAUGCUUUUAUUUCUGGUGCAGGGAGAUUUCCAUCAUUGGGUUGAUCUUUUCAACCAUUUUGAUUCAUUUUUUGAGAAGCACAUAAAAUCCAGGAAGGAUUUGCAGGUUGAUGAUAAUUUUCUAGACACUGAUCCUCCUUUUCCGAGAGAAGCUGUUCUUCAAGUUCUCCGUGUAAUAAGGAUAAUUUUGGAGAAUUGCACAAAUAAGCACUUCUACAGUUCUUAUGAGGUAAAAUUUCCAUCAUUCACCUCUCCGUCGUUGGUGUGUAAUUUUCAGUUGUUUAUUAUUAGUUAGUUUUUAUUCCUUCUAGAUAUACAAUUAUACCAUUAUUGCUUUUUGGGUAUUGUAUAUGGGAUGAAGGCUUAUUUUUAGCUGGGUUGUGAUAAUUAACAACUCUGAUUAUUGUGCAUUUGAUUGUGUUAAUUUUUAUUCUUUACAUCAGUCAAUUUCAUUUAUUUUCAAUUCCUCCUUUUCCCAUUCAUUAGUUUUAUGUCUUUGUUUCAUAUGUUAUUGCAGCAGCAUCUUUCAUCUCUUCUUGCUUGCACUCAUGCGGAUGUGGUUGAGGGUUGCCUGCAGACAUUGGCUGCAUUUUUAAAGAAAACAGUUGGAAAGUAUUCCAUUAGGGAUGCUGCACUAAAUUCAAAGUUAUUCGCUCUUGCACAAGGUUGGGGGGGAAAAGAAGAGGGUCUUGGAUUAAUUGCUAGUGCAAUACAGAAUGGUUGUGACCCUGUUGCUUACGAGUUAGGCUGCACCCUUCAUUUUGAGUUCUAUGCAUCAAAUGAUUCAACAGGUGACAUCCCUGCCAACCAAGGUUUACAAAUCAUUCACUUACCCAACAUCAAUACUCAUCCAGAGACGGAUCUUGAGCUUUUGUGUAAGUUAAUUGCCGAGUACAAAGUACCCUCUAGCUUAAGAUUUUCUUUAUUGACAAGAUUGCGGUUUGCAAGGGCUUUUGGCUCUGUAGCUACUCGGCAGCAGUAUGCAUGCAUCCGCUUGUAUGCCUUCAUAGUUCUUGUUCAAGCAAAUAGUGAUGCUGACGACCUUGUUUCUUUCUUCAAUGCUGAACCUGAGUUUAUCAAUGAAUUAGUGUCAUUGUUGAGCUUUGAGGAUGUGGUUCCUGAGAAAAUUCGAAUUCUCUGUCUUCUUUCACUGGUUGCUCUUUGUCAAGAUCGAUCCCGGCAGCCUACUGUUUUAACUGCUGUCACAUCUGGUGGGCAUCGUGGAAUCCUGUCCAGUCUCAUGCAGAAGGCCAUUGAUUUUGUCACCAAAGAUACAUCAAAGUGGUCUGUUGUUUUUGCUGAGGCUCUAUUGUCUCUUGUCACAGUUUUGGUGUCAUCAUCAUCAGGUUGUUCAGCCAUGCGUGAAGCUGGUUUUAUUCCCACCCUUCUGCCUUUGCUUAAAGAUACAGACCCGCAACACCUUCAUUUGGUCAGCACAUCUGUGCACAUUUUAGAAGCUUUUAUGGAUUACAGUAAUCCUGCUGCUGCAUUGUUUCGGGAUUUGGGUGGUUUAGACGAUACAAUCUCUCGCCUACAGGUGGAAGUGUCUCAUGUAGAAAAUGGCUCAAAGCAUGAAGAUGAUGAUUCUGACAUCAUUGGGAGUAGUGCACAAGUAGCUGUAGGAACUUCCACAGAGCUAGACAGCAUGCAGCCUUUGUAUUCAGAACCACUGGUUUCAUAUCACAGACGAUUGCUUAUGAAAGCUCUAUUGCGUGCUAUAUCCCUGGGGACUUAUGCCCCUGGAAAUACUGCUCGUGUUUAUGGCUCAGAGGAGAGUCUAUUGCCACAAUGCUUAUGCAUAAUAUUUAAAAGGGCAAAGGAUUUUGGUGGUGGGGUAUUCUCACUUGCGGCAACUGUCAUGAGUGAUCUAAUACACAAAGAUCCUACCUGUUUUCCAGUUUUAGAUGCAGCAGGCCUUCCUUCUGCCUUCUUGGAUGCUAUAAUGGAUGGUGUUCUUUGCUCUGCAGAAGCCAUUACAUGCAUACCACAGUGUCUGGAUGCCCUAUGUUUAAAUACUACUAAUGGUCUUCAGGCUGUGAAAGAUCGCAAUGCUUUGAGGUGCUUUGUGAAGAUAUUUACUUCAAGAACUUAUCUGAAGGCCCUGACCAGUGACACACCAGGUUCGUUAUCUAGUGGAUUGGAUGAGUUAAUGCGCCACGCUUCCUCAUUGCGUGGGCCUGGAGUGGAUAUGCUGAUUGAGAUCUUAAAUGCCAUUUCAAAAAUUGGACAUGGGGUUGAUGCUUCGUACAUGUCAAUUGAUCCUUUGGGCUCUUCUACUCCUGUUCCCAUGGAAACAGAUGGAGAAGAGAGGAAUUUGGUCAUGUCUGAUAAUGGGGAAUCAUCCAAAACGGAGAGUUCAGAGCAGACUGUGGAACCACCUUCUGAUUCUUCAGUGGGGAAUGUUGAAUUAUUUCUUCCUGAUUGUGUGAGCAAUGUUGCACGUCUUCUUGAAACAAUACUUCAGAAUGGUGACACAUGUCGUAUAUUUGUGGAGAAGAAGGGGGUUGAAGCUGUCCUGCAGUUAUUUACCUUGCCUUUGAUGCCUCUUUCUGUUUCAGUUGGCCAGAGUAUUUCUGUCGCAUUUAAGAACUUCUCACCACAACAUUCUGCUUCUUUGGCUCGGGCAGUAUGUUCAUUCUUGAGAGAGCAUCUGAAAUCAACAAAUGAACUUUUAGUUUCAGUUGGAGGGACUCAACUUGCUUUGGUGGAAUCUGUGAAGCAAACUCAAGUUUUGAGACAUCUUUCCAGUCUUGAAGCUAUUCUGUCUCUGUCUAAUGUUCUGUUGAAAGGGACGACUACUGUGGUGUCUGAACUGGGUGCAGCUGAUGCUGAUGUAUUGAAAGAUCUCGGGAGCACCUACCGGGAAAUAAUUUGGCAAAUCUCUCUGUGCAAUGAUGUCAAGUCAGAUGAGAAGAUCAAUGCUGAACAAGAACCAGAGAGUGCUGAGGCAGCUCCGACUAAUGCUUCUGGAAGGGAGAGUGAUGAUGAUGCAAAUAUUCCAAUGGUGAGAUAUAUGAACCCAGUUUCUAUCAGGAAUCAGCCCUUGUGGGGUGGAGAACGUGAGUUUCUAUCAGUUGUUCGCUCUGGUGAAGGUUUGCACCGUCGUAGUCGUCAUGGUUUUACACGCAUAAGGGGUGGAAGGACAGGCCGGCAUUUGGAGGCUUUAAAUGUUGAUUCUGAAUCUUCCUCAACGGUAUCAGAGACAUCUACUUCCCAAGAUUUGAAAAAGAAAAGUCCUGAUGUUCUUGUGAUAGAAAUCCUCAACAAGCUGGCUUCCACACUGCGUUCCUUCUUCACAGCUCUUGUCAAGGGAUUCACAUCACCAAAUCGGCGUAGAGUCGACUCUGGGUCGUUGAGUUUGGUUUCCAAGACUCUUGGAACUGCCCUAGCUAAAAUAUUUCUCGAGUCUCUUAGCUUCUCUAGGCAUUCUACAUCAACUGGGCUCGAUACAUCACUGUCAGUCAAGUGUCGAUAUCUUGGCAAAGUUGUCGAUGAUAUGGUAUCACUUACAUUUGACAGCAGGCGACGUACUUGUUAUACUGCAACAGUAAAUAAUUUCUAUGUCCAUGGUACUUUUAAGGAGCUGCUUACAACAUUUGAAGCUACUAGUCAGUUGUUGUGGACACUACCAUACUCCGUGUCAACGUCAGGUAUUGAUCCCGAAAGGACAGGUGAAGGAAGUAAACUGUCCCACAGUUCGUGGCUGCUUGAUACUUUACAGAGCUAUUGCCGUGUGCUCGAGUAUUUUGUUAAUUCUUCUUUACUCUUAUCCACAACCUCUGCUUCUCAAGCACAGUUGCUUGUUCAGCAGCCAGUUGCAGUUGGUUUGUCAAUUGGGCUUUUCCCUGUGCCAAGGGACCCAGAAGUUUUUAUUCGUAUGCUGCAAUCUCAAGUUCUUGAUGUGAUACUUCCUGUCUGGAACCACCCUUUGUUUCCAAAUUGUAGUCCAGGUUUCAUUGCUUCUAUUGUCUCGCUUGUCAUGCAUGUAUAUUCUGGUGUUGGAGAUGUGAAGCAGAAUCGCAGUGGCAUUGCUGGAAGUACAAACCAGCGAUUCAUGCCCCCACCACUUGAUGAAAAUACUAUUACCACCAUUGUUGAGAUGGGUUUUCCAAGGGCUAGGGCAGAGGAAGCUCUUAGGCGGGUGGGAACAAAUAGCGUUGAAAUGGCCAUGGAGUGGCUCUUUAGUCAUCCUGAGGAUCCUGUGCAGGAUGAUGAUGAACUGGCUCGAGCACUUGCUCUUUCACUGGGAAAUUCAUCAGAUGCAUCUAAAGCUGAGAGUGUUGAAAAGCCUGUUGAUGUGCCGGCAGAAGAGGGUUGUGUGAAAGCUCCUCCUGUUGAUGAUGUCCUUGCAGCGUCGGUUAAAUUACUUCAAAGUAAUGAUACCAUGGCAUUCCCUUUGACAGAUUGCUUGUGACACUUAGCAACCAGAACAAAGGGGAAGACCGUCCAAGAGUUGUAUCUUAUCUUACUCAGCAGCUAAAGAAUUGUCCAUUGGAUUUUUCUAAUGAUACCAGUGCGUUGAGUAUGGUGUCACAUGUUAUUGCAUUACUUCUUUCUGAGGAUGGAAGCACAAGGGAAGUCGCUGCACAGUAUGGUAUUGUGACUACUGCAACAGAUAUCUUGAUGAACUUUAAGGGCAAAGAUGAGUCAGGCAAUGAGCUUCUUGUCCCAAAAUGUAUCAGUGCUCUACUGCUUAUUUUGGAUAACAUGUUGCAAUCAAGGUCCAGAAUUUCUGAAAAGGUUGAAGAUACUCAGACAGGGCCUUUACCUGAAUUAUCUGGAGAGCGUAUGUCAAUCCCUGCAUCAGAUACAGAGAAAAAACAGCUUAUGGAUGCCUAUGAAAAGGAUUCUGCCACAGCAUUUGAGAAAAUAUUGGGGAAAUCUACUGGUUAUUUGACUAUGGAAGAGAGUCAUAAAGUGCUAGCAGUUGCUUGUGACUUGAUAAAGCAGCAUGUCCCAGCAAUGAUCAUGCAGGCUGUUUUACAAUUAUGUGCUCGCUUGACAAAAACUCAUGCUCUAGCUUUACAAUUCCUUGAAAAUGGAGGCUUGGCAGCUCUAUUUGGCCUUCCAAGAAGUUGUUUUUUCCCGGGAUAUGAUACUGUUGCAUCUGCUAUUGUUCGCCAUCUCCUUGAAGAUCCACAAACACUGCAAACAGCAAUGGAAUUGGAGAUUCGCCAAGCCCUGAGUGGAAACAGGCAUGGUGGGCGCACUUCUGCACGAACGUUCUUGACAUCAAUGGCACCUGUAAUCUCUAGAGAUCCAGUAGUUUUUAUGAAAGCUGCUUCUGCAGUUUGUCAGUUGGAGACAUCAGGAGGUAGAACCUUUGUUCUGUUAUUGAAGGAAAAGAGAAGGAAAAGGAAAAAUCUAAAGCAGUAGGUGAUGAGGCUGGAUUAUCUUCCAAUGAGUGUGUACGGAUUUCUGAAAAUAAGAUACAUGAUGGAUCUGGUAAAUGCGCAAAAAGUCACAAGAAGAUCCCUGCCAAUCUCACUCAAGUGAUAGAUCAGCUUCUUGAAAUAGUCUUCAAAUACCAUUUCCCAAAUAGCCAGGAAGACUAUUCGAAUAACCCAUCUGCUAUGGAAGUAGAUGAACCCUCUAUGAAGGUGAAGGGUAAAUCAAAGGUUGACGAGACAAGGAAAGUGGAGUCAGAAUCUGAAAGAUCUGCAGGGUUGGCUAAAGUUACCUUUGUUCUCAAAUUACUGAGUGAUAUCCUUCUUAUGUAUGUACAUGCAGUUGGGGUUAUACUUAAACGGGAUUUAGAAAUGACUCAGUUGCGGGGAUCUAAUCAAACAGAUGGUCUUGGACAUGGUGGUAUACUUCACCAUGUAAUUCAUCGAUUGCUUCCACGCACCAUUGAUAAAUCUGCUGGACCUGAUGAAUGGAGAGACAAACUGUCUGAAAAAGCUUCUUGGUUCCUGGUAGUUCUGUGUGGUCGUUCCAGUGAAGGGCGCAGACGAGUAAUUAGUGAACUUGUAAAGGCUUUAUCCUCGUUUUCGAAUUUGGGAUGUACUUCCACCAAGAGCAUCUUAUUACCGGAUAAAAGCGUUUAUGCUUUUGUUGAUUUGGUGUAUUCAAUUUUGUCAAAAAAUUCAUCAUCCAGCAACUUACCUGGUUCUGGGUUUUCACCAGACAUAGCAAAAAGCAUGAUAGAUGGGGGAAUGAUUCAGUGUCUGACUGGUAUCCUCCGGGUGAUUGACUUAGACCAUCCUGAUGCUCCCAAAACUGUGAAUUUGAUACUCAAGACGUUAGAAAGCCUAACAAGGGCUGCUAAUGCUAGUGAGCAAUACUUUAAAUCUGAUGAGACGAGCAAGAAAAAAUCCACAGGGUUGAAUGGAAGUUCUGACGAUCAGGUAACUGCCCCAUCAGCUGAUACUACUGUGGGGGAUAAUCAGAAUGCAAGCAGUGAACAGGGUGUGAGAGACGUCGUACAGGUUGUUCAAGGGGAUCAAGGAAUUUCUGAAAGUGAAGGUAAUCCUGAAGUAAAUCUGAUCCAGUUGGUGGAACAAGAUAUGAGGAUAGAAGUUGAAGGACCAAUAGCUUCUAAUCCACCCAUGGAGCUUGGGAUGGAUUUCAUGCGUGAGGAGAUGGAUGAAGGUAAUGUACUACACAACACUGAUCAAAUUGAGAUGUCUUUUCGUGUUGAGAAUAGGACAGAUGAUGACAUGGCUGAUUUAGAAAACGACAUGGGUGAUGAUGGUGAGGAUGACGACGAGGGAGAGGACAUGGCUGAUUUAGAAAAUGACAUGGGUGAUGAUGGUGAGGAUGAUGAGGAUGAUGAUGAGGGAGAGGAUGAGGAUGAGGAUAUAGCAGAGGGCGGUGGUGGCAUGAUGUCACUUGCUGAUACUGAUGUGGAAGACCAUGAUGAUACCGGCUUGGGAGAUGAUUACAAUGAUGGGAUGAUUGAUGAAGAUGAUGAUGAUUUUCAUGAGAAUCGUGUCAUAGAAGUGAGAUGGAGAGAAGCCCUUGAUGGGCUUGAUCAUUUGCAGGUACUUGAACAACCUGGAGCUGGAAGUGGUCUCAUUGAUGUUGCUGCUGAACCUUUUGAAGGUGUUAAUGUGGAUGACUUGUUUGGUCUGAGAAGGCCGAUAGGUUUUGAUCGCCGCCGUCAGACAAGUAGGUCUUCCUUUGAGCGAUCUGUUGCAGAAGCAAAUGGAUUUCAACAUCCUCUCCUUUUAAGACCAUCCCAGUCUGGGGAUUUGGUCUCAAUGUGGUCAGCAGGUGGAAAUUCAUCCAGGGAUUUAGAAGCUCUGUCAUCAGGGAGCUUUGAUGUUGCUCAUUUCUACAUGUUUGAUGCUCCUGUUCUACCUUAUGAUCACGUACCAAGCAAUCUUUUUGGUGACCGGUUGAGUGGUGCUGCACCCCCACCAUUGACUGAUUAUUCAGUAGGUAUGGACUCAUUGCAGUUAUCGGGGAGAAGAGGGCCAGGUGAUGGUCGAUGGACUGAUGAUGGCCAGCCUCAAGCAGGUCCUCAAGCUGCUGCUAUUGCACAAGCAGUGGAGGAACACUUUAUAUCGCAAUUACGCAGUCUUGCUCCAGCUGAUAUCCCUGCUGAACGACAGUCCCAGAACUCAGGAGUGCAGGAGAAACAGCCAGAUCUCCCUCCUUUAAGUGAUAGUCAAGUAGCAGGGGAGUGCAAUGACAGCCAUGAAAGAAAUGAAGAUCAGCGUCAAGAUGGGGUUGAUGAAACAACACAUCAAGUUAACUCAAGUUCUGACACUGCUCCCUGUCAAGAACAAGUCAAUCCAGAAUCUAUAGUCGAAGGUGCAGGGGAGUUCUUACAAGCACCUGAACCAAUGUCAAUUAUGCCACCUUCAACGAACAGUACACCAAGCGAUAGCAUGGACAUUGGUGAUGGAAAUGGUGCUGCUGGUGAGCAAGUAGGGUCAGUGCCAGGUUCUGUCAACUCGUCUGCAGAAAUAAGUGCUGGUUUACAAUGUGAAGGGGGUUCUGUGCCUUCUAAUCCCCAUGAUGUUACUGUGGAGGCUGUGGGUUGUGAUAGAUCCUCAAGAGCAGAGGGUCAGGUUGGUAAUGUGUCGGCAAGUUUGGGUUUCAAUGUGCCUAAUCCAGGUGAUUCUCAUACUUCUUUGGUGCCAACAAAUAUUGACGUUGAUAUGAAUUACAUUGGUGAAAUAAAUGAAUUGGCCAUCCCAUGCCUACUUUUGAAAAUCGUACAGUUGAACCAUCAAGGGAAAACACAACUGUUGCUCCAGAAGCUAAUCAGGCUGAACAAGAUUUGAAUAAUGAGGCUGCUGGUGCUAAUACAAUUGAUCCGACCUUCUUGGAUGCUUUACCUGAAUAUUUGAGGGCCGAAGUUCUUGCUUCACAACAAGCUCAGCCGGUUCAACCUCCAUCUUAUGCACCACCUUCUGCAGACGACAUUGAUCCUGAGUUUUUAGCAGCCCUUCCUCCAGAUAUCCAAGAAGAAGUUUUGGCUCAACAAAGAGCACAAAGGGUUGCACAUCAGGCUGAGGGACCAGUUGACAUGGACAACGCUUCAAUAAUUGCUACUUUUCCUGCUGAUUUACGUGAAGAGGUUUUCAUCUGGAACUGCAUCUUUCAUGACCUUGAUUGUAAUGAUUAUUUGUCUUAUAUAUGUAAUUUUUCUCUUGGUCCAGGUACUUUUAACUUCUUCAGAAGCAGUUCUGUCUGGAUUGCCUUCUCCAUUGCUCGCUGAAGCCCAAAUGCUAAGAGACCGAGCAAUGAGUCAUUAUCAGGCUCGCAGCCUUUUUGGAACCAGCCAGAGGCUAAACAACCGGAGAAAUGGAUUGGGUUUUGAUCGGCAGACGGUGAUGGACAGAGGUGUUGGAGUCACAAUUGGCCGGAGGGCAGUUUCUGCUCUUGCAGACAGCUUAAAGGUUAAGGAAAUCGAAGGAGAGCCACUUCUGGAUGCCGAUGAAUUGAAAGCCUUAAUUAGGCUAUUACGAUUAGCGCAGGUAAAUUCAUAUUCCAAUUAAUGGUAAUUGGAGUGUUUAUAACUGGUUAUGAAAGUUUUAUGUUUCGUUGAAAUAUGAAUAUUAGGUUUUCUUUUUAAAAAAUCCAUAUAUGGUUAGAAAGUUUGGAGGUUUGAACAAAUUUAUGUGUACUAUAUAAGUGUUAAAGCUCCUGUUGAUGGGAAUAAUAAUGUGUAAAAAACGUCAUAUGAAGAAUUUUCGGUUGGCUGAAGAGUAGAAAACCAAGUGGGUUAUAUUUUCUCAAUUUGUGCUUUAAAAGACCUCAAAAUAACGCAUUAUUUGAAAAUCGCAUGUACACAUACAUGUACUACUUUUUUUUUUUUUUUUUCUACAUACUGUCACAUAAAAUCAUUCAUUAAAUGACUAUCUUCUGCUAACAUGAUCCAUUUAUUUUUUUGUGUGUGGUUAGCCCCUGGGCAAAGGACUCUUGCAGAGGCUCUUGUUGAACUUAUGUACCCAUAGCGUUACACGAGCAAUCUUAGUUCGUCAUUUGCUUGAUAUGAUCAAACCUGAGGCUGAGGGCUCAGUCGGUGGAUUAGCAGCUAUUAAUGCUCAAAGGCUUUACGGUUGCAAUUCAAAUGUUGUUUAUGGUCGAUCACAGUUGUUAGAUGGUAAGUCAUCUGACGCUCCAACAGUUAUCUGCAAUACAUUUGUUUCUUCUAUUUAUGGACUAACAAUUUGUUUGCUUUAUAUUCAUUUUCAAUAGGUCUUCCUCCCUUGGUGCUACGUCGAAUUCUUGAGAUCUUGACUUAUUUGGCCACAAAUCAUUCUGCUGUGGCAAAUAUGUUAUUCUUCUUUGAUUUCUCUGGUGUUCCUGAGUCAUUAAGCCCUAUCCAUAUGGAAACCAAGAAGGACAAAGGCAAGGAGAAAAUUGGAGAAGGAGGAUCUUCAUCAAAACCAUCUGGAAACACCCAGGAUGUGGACAUUCCCCUGAUAUUGUUCCUGAAGCUCCUGAACCGACCUCAUUAUGGCACUGCUCAUCUUGAGCAGGUACUACCUACUCUAUGGUUAACCAGUUUAAAAUGACCUCGUGGAGAGAUUAGCUGCUGUUUGUCUAUUCAUUUAAAAGUGUAGUGUGUAAAUCCCUUGGUAGUUGUUAGGUAUCCACAUAUUUAGUACUUCAACUUGAGAGCUUAUAUGAAUUUAAGAUUGGAGUAAUUCAAUUGUUUGUAAUGUUUGACUCGUUAACUAUUCUGGACAAAGGCUAGUACCUGCUCCAUAACUUUAUUUCUCUCCUUAAAAAUUAAGAAAAAAACUAAGUAUAUGGUAGAGAACGUGUGUAUUGCUUGCCGUAUCUCUAGUUGUACAUGUGGAGUCAUAAUCUUGAUUAUUUUAUUGCUGAAGCAUGUCCUACAGCAUGAUCCUUUCAAAAAAAAUUAUAAUUCAGCACCAUCUCAUGUUUUUAAUUUUUUUUUUUUGUGUGCUACAGGUGAUGGGCCUGCUUCAGGUUGUUGUGUAUACUUCAGCUUCAAAAUUAGAGGGCCAGUCUCAAUCUGAGAGGGCAGAUAAGCCUGUUGGUGAAGCUUCAGGAGAUGGUCAAAAGGUUCCUCCUUUGGAAUCAGAAUCUAAUCAGGGAGAGAAGCCUGUUAGUGGUGAAUCAUCAACUUCAGAUGGAAAGAGGAGUACGGAUACAUAUAAUGUUUUCUUGAAGCUGCCAGAAUCUGAUCUACACAAUCUUUGCAGCCUUCUUGGUCGUGAGGGGUAUUAUUAGCUCACUAAUUCUUAUAUGUUCAUUCUUUGAACGUAGAUGCAGUAUUUGUCAGAUUAACUACUCUCUUCUUUGUGCUACUAUAUGAACUGUGUUUUUAUGAGUGUCUAAUCUGAGUCCAUUUACUUGAUUAGGCUUUCAGAUAAACUUUAUAUGCUUGCUGGUGAGGUCUUGAAGAAGUUGGCCUCAGUUGCAGCACCCCAUCGAAAACUAUUUGUCUCAGCGCUGUCAGAACUGGCUCAUCGCUUGAGUGCCUCAGCUGUUGGUGAGCUUGUUACUCUCCGGAACACACAUAUGCUGGGUUUGAGUGCCGGAUCAAUGGCUGGGUUAGCAAUCCUACGUGUAUUACAAGCACUUUGCUCUCUCACUUCACCUAGGGCUAGUGAGAAUUCAGGAUUGGAGAAUGAUGCGGAUCAGGAGGAGCAUGCCAUCAUGUGGAAACUAAAUGUUGCACUUGAGCCACUGUGGCUAGAAUUAAGCAACUGUAUAAGUGCGACUGAAACAGCACUGGGUCAGAGUACUUUUUGUCGAACCAUGUCUAUAGUAAAUACUGGGGACCAUGCACAGGGUUCUUCUUCGUCUCCUCUCCCUCCUGGAACCCAGAGACUCCUGCCUUUUAUGGAGGCUUUUUUUGUUCUGUGUGAAAAGCUACAAGAGAACCUCUCUACUAUGCUGCAAGACCAGGCGAAUGUGACUGCAAGAGAAGUCAAAGAGUCCUCUGGAAACUCAGAUCCUUCAACUACCAAGUGCCACAGUUGUGGGGAUUCUCAGAGAAAGCUUGAUGGUGCUAUUACAUUUACAAAGUUCGCUGAGAAGCAUCGCCGGCUUUUAAAUGCUUUUAUCAGGCAGAAUCCAGGUUUGUUGGAGAAAUCCCUUACUAUGAUGCUGAAGGCACCAAGGCUAAUUGAUUUUGAUAACAAAAGAGCAUAUUUCCGGUCAAGAAUUAGGCAGCAGCAUGAGCAACAUCUCUCUGGUCCUCUGAGAAUAAGUGUUCGGCGGGCAUACGUUUUGGAGGAUUCUUAUAAUCAGUUGCGCAUGCGGCCUACUCUGGACAUGAAGGGACGAUUAAAUGUCCAAUUCCAAGGGGAAGAGGGUAUUGAUGCUGGAGGUCUGACACGAGAGUGGUAUCAAUUACUGUCAAGGGUCAUAUUUGACAAGGGGGCAUUGCUUUUCACCACCGUAGGAAACAAUGCAACUUUCCAGCCAAACCCUAAUUCUGUCUACCAGACAGAACAUCUGUCUUAUUUUAAAUUUGUGGGCCGUGUGGUAAUUCUUCUGGACUAUUAUUGACUUUUUGAAACUGACUUUAUAAGCUUCUUCCGUCUGUGUUAGAUUUUUCUUUAACUUUUGCUGCUGUGAUAAUUUAUUCAGGUUGCAAAGGCACUUUUUGAUGGGCAACUUUUGGAUGUUUAUUUCACUCGAUCCUUCUAUAAGCAUAUACUUGGUGUAAAGGUGACUUACCAUGAUAUAGAGGCUGUGGAUCCUGAUUACUACAAGAAUUUAAAGUGGAUGUUAGAGGUUAGCGUGCUUUUGAUCACACUCUGAUUUUUAAGAGUUCAAGGUUGGAUUGGAAUGGGUUUCGUUGUAGGUUUUUAUAUCUUUUUAACUGAUCUAAAAUGUGUCAUAUUCGUUAUUCUGAAAUUCUCUGCAGGAUUAAGACUCAGUUCCUCUAUUGCGUAAGUUUCUUUAAUUUGAUUUUUUUUCUCGUGUCCAGAAUGACGUGAGUGAUAUUCCUGACCUGACGUUUAGCAUGGAUGCGGAUGAAGAAAAGCAUAUCCUUUAUGAGAAAAACCAGGUAUUUGAAUUUAUAUGUUACUUUUAAGUUCUGUUCUUUAUUUUUGAAAGCUUUUGGGUUUUCACGUAGUGUUAUUGUAAAGUCUUUACUUAAAUGCCAAUCUGAUUUUCAUUCAAUGUUAUAACAUUAAAUUGAGCUCGCGGGUUUGACUAAUGUUGUACUUGUUUGUUGUGUUUUCCUUUCUUUAUACCUUCUUGAAAAGGUUACUGAUUAUGAGCUGAAACCUGGAGGAAGAAAUAUUCGGGUUACAGAAGAGACGAAGCACGAGUAUGUUGACCUUGUAGCUGAACAUAUCUUGACAAAUGCUAUCCGACCUCAAAUUACUUCCUUCAUGGAGGGGUUUAAGGAAUUGGUCCCGCGAGAGCUUAUCUCAAUUUUCAAUGACAAGGAGCUUGAGCUACUUAUCAGUGGUCUUCCAGAGAUAGAUUGUGAGUUGCAUUUAAAAUGAGCUUAUUACAUAAUUGAUAUGGUCUUUUGUUUCUCUUGUGAUAUCUGAAUGGUGGCAUUGUCCUUACAGUGGCUGAUUUGAAGGCCAAUACCGAGUACACUGGCUACACAUCAUCAUCUGAUGUUGUUAAAUGGUUCUGGGACGUGGUUGAAAGUUUCGACAAGGAGGACAUGGCAAGACUGCUGCAAUUUGUGACUGGAACAUCAAAGGUAACUGUUUGUACUACAAAAGAAAUAUGAAAAUAGUAUAUAUACUUCUCCAUAUCCGCUGGUUCACGACUAAAAGGGAUUUUGUAUGUGCUUUUGUACUUUCUGAGUGUAUGCGACCCCUCUUUUCCCUUGUCCCAUCCCUUUUUCCCAACAACCCAACCCCUCCCUUUAUAAUGUUCAUAACUUUUUUAAAGGGUCCGUUGAAGUGUGACUUGCGUUGAUUUUACCUUGAUAUCAUUUGUCAAUUUCAUUUCCUUUUUUUCACAGGGUCCGUUGGAAGUGUGACUUGCGUUGAUUUUACCUUGAUAUCAUUUGUCAAUUUCAUUUCCUGUGAACAUGGUUUUUCACAAUGCGCAUGUUGUCUCAUUGAACUUUGCCAUUGUAUAAUGAUUGGAGAUGGCAUGCGUAGCUAAUGAUUUAAAUGUAUGCUUGCAACAUGAUGCAUAUGUGGGGGCAAAUUUUUGUACUCGGUAAAACUAACAUAUUUGUGACUUUCAGGUUCCAUUGGAAGGUUUCAGGGCUUUGCAAGGUAUCUCUGGUCCUCAGAAAUUUCAGAUCCACAAGGCUUAUGGAGCUCCUGACAGGCUACCUUCUGCUCAUACAUGGUUAGUGUAAACAUAAUUUGAAAAAGUUAGUUUCUUUGAAAAAGUCAGUUUCUUUGUCCCCUUCACAUUCUCGUCAAGCUCGAUGUUUCUAAUGUAGUCCUAUGUCUUUUCCAGCUUUAACCAGCUAGACCUUCCUGAGUACACCACCAAAGAACAGCUUCACGAACGAUUGAUACUUGCUAUUCAUGAAGCUAGUGAAGGAUUUGGCUUUGGUUGACAGAAGGAAUCUCAGCAGAUAUUUCCCCAGCAUUCCAGUCAUCGGUCGUAUAGUUAGCAUGUACAUGUCAGUUCGACAUCUUUUUUCUUUCCUUAUUUCGAAAACCUUGGUUAAUCUUUUCUGAAAUCAACUUAAUUGUAAUUCGUUUGUUUCUUUCUUAUUCUCCACCAUUCUUUGCGCAGAUGAAAGAACCCGGUUCCUGAAUUUUGUCUUCCAGUAUUACAGCAACUUCUGAGGAAACCGAUGAUGGAUUUUGUAAAGAAUUCCGAAAGCAUUAUCUAUUGACGGGAGGCCGGCAAGCUUCUCAGGUGACAAUGGAUUGGAAUCUUAGAAAUUCUUUAGCGAAUUCUUUACAUGUCGGAAAAUUGGGGAUUCGGUACAGAUGGACGUGGAUAGAAAAUCUGUUUUGGUGUUCAUAGUAGAUAUCUGUUUUAGAUUAGUCAGUUUUCACUUUCUCCGACCUGAAUGUUUGGUAAUAAGCCUAGGAACAUAUUUAUGUAUAUGUAAUUCCAGAUGGUUUCUUUUGGGUUUCAAUUUAUUUAAAGGCGAGAAGGUGAUUCCAAUUUUGCUCCUUCAAUUUUAUUUGUGCACUCGGACAUGCUGACAUGCCCUCUUGUUCGUGGUUCUUGCGAGAGAAACUCGUCUGGCUUUGGCGGUAUCCUAAGCCAAACCGUGUUUUGUCAUUUGCUAAUGGCAAUGCAUGAUUAGCUUAGGAUACUGUAACAAUUACAUCCUCUUUCCUGAAAGUCCUCGUGAUUUGCCGGAUUCGUAACCAUUUUUCGACAAUGCAGUACGCAAAGGGGAGUAUUCUGGCCAAUUUGCCUGACUCGCGUAUGCACGACACCAUCCGUGUAGCCUUUUUGCCAUGAUUUUCUGUAAUUUUUCUUUGAACGUUCUAGAAAAUUAUGCUUAAAAAAGCUCCACACUUGAAAAUUUAUUAGUUUUCACGAAUGGAGCAAAAAUGCUUGAUUUUCCGUUGACAUUUGCUUUGAAAUACAGAGAAAAGAAGGGAUAAGAAAGGAAGGGUUUGUUCGACAUUGCCUUUGGAUGCUUUAGGCAACGUACAAUGUGGUUAGGAUUAUAAAAACAUUUUUUUAGUACUUUUGGGACAAGGUUCUUCGAUAAGUACUUCUAAAUGCUGUUCCACAAGAAAUUGGAUUCUUCAUGAAGAAAAUGGAAGUGUUGUUGCAUUCUCGUUUUCACCUCUACACUUCCACGUCCACCCCACCUCAGCCGUACAAUUGAUCCUAAUGACCAGUUUGGCACUCACCCCCUCCUACUCCACUGUGUUCCUAGAGCUAUUCUUUCCAGAAACGUCCCCAGUGAUCGCAAAGACGAGCGAAGGGAUGAGCAUUACUAUCUGCAUUAUGACAACCAUGCUUUUGAUUUGUACUGCAAGCUAGAAUUUCCAAUUGUUCCCAAGAUGAACGAAUCAAUUCGCGUGGUUGGCAUCUGUAAUGGGCUGGUGUUCCUUGCAGUUGCAGAUGAUACACUCACUUUGGCUAACACCUUCAUAAUAUUCAACCCAUCUAUGAGAAAGUCGGUGACCCUUCCUAAGCCGACAAUUGGUCGGUACCGUACUUGUAUUGGUUUUGGGUUUGACGCUGUGACUAAUGACUACAAAGUUGUGAGAUUUGUCACUGAUCGUCCGAAUACUUUUCAUGAGGAUUAUUCACUUGCUGGAGGCUCAUGGAGUAAUCCUCGUUCUUUGGAUCAUGUGUGCGAAGUUAUGGAUCCUCUCAAAUCCCAAGCUUUUGUAAAUGGGGCGAUUCACUGGGGGGCAUGGCGCCGCUUAACAAACAGUUAUGAAUAUAUCAUUUUGGCAUUUGACGUGGGCAGCAAUUCAUUUCACAGGAUCAUGGUGCCAAUGAGUUUCAGUAACUCAUGGACCGCGCAAUUGUCUGUUUCAGGUGACGGGAAAUCCAUUGCUCUGUUCCAGCCUUAUUUCAUCUGUAUUGGAGAGCCUCGUCUUAUUGUGAGUUCUUAUCCUCCGUUAUUGACUGUUUCGUUUUUGUUGUAUUUCCUCACUCACUCUGUGUCUACGAAAUUGGCAGCCGGGGAAGUGAAGUUUGAAGCAAUGGUUAGCAGUUUGCCCAAGGAAAUCGUACAUGAUAUCGACUACCUCCUAAAGCUUUGAUCAGGUGCACCUCGGUGUGCAAGCCUUGGAACUCCACGAUAAAAAAAACCCCCAGCUUUAUUCGCACCCAUCUCAGUCGUAACAUCACUCUUAAUAACCAGCUUGGCACCCACCUCCUCCUUCUGCACUGUGUUCGCGGAGACAAUCCAGUGCAGCAGAAUUAAUAUUUGCAUUAUGAUAACCCUGGUUUUGAUGAGUACUGCAAGCUACAAUUUCCAAUUGUUCCCAAGCGCAAUAGAUUCCUUCGCGUGGUCGGCAUUUGUAAUGGGUUGGUCUUCCUUGCAGAUGACAGACUCCAUUUAGGUUACACCUUCAUAAUAUUCAACCCGUCGAUAAGAAAGUCAGUGACCCUUCCAGAGCCUCACCUUGCCUUCGACACAAUUGGCCCGUAUUCCGCUCUUGUUGGGUUUGGUUUUGAUGCUGUGAUCAAUGACUACAAGGUUGUGAGACUCCUGACCGAUCAAUGCGAGGAUCCAAAUACUUUUUAUGAGGUUUAUUCACUUGCUAGAGGCUUGUGGAGUAGUCCUCGUUCUUUUGACCCCGUUUGUAAAGUUUUUGAUUCUCUCAAAUUUCAGACUUUUGUGAACGGGGCUGUUCAUUGGCAGGCACGGCGCUGCUUGGACGAUGGCCGUUAUCAAAAUUUCAUUUUAGCAUUUGAUGUGGACAGUGAGUUAUUUCACGAGAUAAAGGUGCCAAAGAGUUUUAGACAGGAUAAACCAUUAGAUUAUCACCUGUCUGUUUCAGGUGAUGGAAACUCCAUUGCUGUGUUCACGAUGCCGCGGGGUCGUAAUUGUACUGAGGAUUUUCUUGACAUAUGGGUGAUGACAGAGUAUGGCAUCGAGGAUUCAUGGGCCAAACUGAUAACUCUAAGUCCACCGGAUCCAGAAAGCAGGGUGCCCUACAAGCCCUUAUGUUUUAGGAAGAGGGGUGAAGUAGUGUUGGUAUCGACUGAUGACUAUGGCAAUAUGCAUGAAUUAGUUUCUUUAGACCUUGUGAGCAAACAAUUUAAAAAUCUUGGGAUUCGCGGAUAUGGAUAUUACUAUGCUGAACCUUAUGAGGAGAGCCUCGCCUUACUUGACAAUGUCGAUGCAGUUUCUUACAGAGGAGCAGAUCAGGUAAUGUUAUAUCUAGCAUUGGUCUUCCUUUUUGUUUGGAUUUUCUUCUUGUUAUAUAUUUACGUCCAAGGUUCCAACUGUGUGUGACAUGAUAUGAGCUUUAACCCCAGAACAAAGUUAUAUGUGUGUUAAUUUGUUACUUGAUUUAAUUACGCAUAGCUUGCUGAAGUGUAAUCGUUGACAUCAUUCAUUCGCCCUUCGUGCAGGUAGAAAAAGAUGAGGCAGAUAGAUUUCAAGUCCUUGACGAUGCCGUUGUAAUGAAUGUGCUCAAUCUGCUGCUCAGUCAUCGUUUAUCUUGACUAUAUCACUUGUAUUUUGACGUCGACUAGUAAAAAGACGUCGCAUGUGUUGUGCUAGGAUAGCACCAAACCCGUUGGAACCAACUCAAGCUAACCCACAGGAAAUUUAUCAAAUGAAAAUGCAAGAACAAAAUAUUAAAGAACACCAAGAUUUUAACGAGGUUCCUCAACAGUCAGUGUAACUGGAGUACGUCCUCGGAGCAGUAGGAGCUCACCCAAUAAUCCACUAUCAACCAAAUGGGAGUUUACAAAGUGUUGGCAAUCUCACAACCCAAAUAACCCAAUACACCCAAUAUCUCUCACACACCAAAGAAACAAAUAGAAGAAGAAAUAUAAUGAAUAAGUUAUUCUCUAUACAUAUAGCUCAAAGCUAUUACAACAACACCUAUUUUGGUGGAUGAUUACUAACCAAAUGAAGCAGCAGCUUCUUCUUCCUUUUGGGCUCUCUGCAGAAAAAAACUCUAACUUCUCUCUGCAGCUCUCUCUUCUCUCUUCAGCUCUCUCAACUGAAAAAUGAGAGUUGCAUCUCUUUUCUUCUAUCCGAAACAAACCUCAAUAAUUAUGGUUAAUAAAAAAACCACAAAAGAAAAAAAAACAUCAUCAUGAUGUCUCCUCAUCAUGAUGUUUCCUCAUCAUUUUGUCUUUCUUUUUCUUUUGCUUUUUUUAAUAGCCGAAAGUAUUGGCCAUAAUUCAACAAUCUCCACCUUGGCCAAAUUUCGAAAACACCAUGAUAAGCCACCAACACAAUCAACACAAAAAAAAUCACUCCCAAACACUAGCAAGAGAACAACUCAUGCCGAGCCAAAUGCUCCAAAACUCCUACUACUCAACGCCUUCUUUAUAUAGGCAAAAUGUGAGCCAAGUUCAAACAAUGAACAAACUUGGCUACACCAACAACCUUAGUCAACAUAUCAGCGGGGUUGUCUUUAGUUGGAAUCUUCUGGAGAAUGAUUUCCCCUUCACCAACAAUUUCACGAACAAAGUGAUAACGCACAUCUAUGUGCUUGGUCCUCGCAUGAUGAACCUGAUACUUAGCCAAAUAAAUGGCACUCUGACUAUCACAAUGUACCUCCACCUGCUUCUGAUCAACCCCCAAAUCUCUAAUCAGCCCAUGUAUCCAAAUGGCCUCCUUUAUAGCUUCAGCAACUGCCAUAUAUUCAGCCUCUGUAGUAGACAAGGCAACAGACGACUGCAAAAUAGACCUCCAACAAACUGGUCCUUUAGCCAUAGUAAACACAUAGCCUGUAGUAGACUUCCUACCAUCCAGAUCACCUGCAUAAUCUGAAUCAACAUAACCAACUGCAAAAUGACCAAUACCAGAGUCAUCUCUCUCAAAGCAUAAACCAACAUCUUGAGUACCAUGGAGAUACCUCAAUAUCCACUUAACUGUUUGCCAAUGCUCUUUACCUGGAUUAUGCAUAUAUCGACUCACCAUGCCAACUGCAUGAGCAAUAUCCGGUCUAGAGCAUACCAUUGCAUACAUCAAACUACCAACCAAAUUUGCAUAUGGUAUAUUUUUCAUUUGCAGCUUCUCUUUAUCAGUUUUAGGACACUGUAAAGAACUCAAUUUAAAAUGAGGAGCCAAAGGGGUACUAACCGGUUUGGUUGAAUCAUGAACUCCAAAUUUCCGAAUCAACUUUUCAAGAUAUUGUCUUUGAUUCAAACUGACCAAACCCUUCUCUCUAUCUCUAGUGAUCUCCAUGCCAAGGAUCUUCUUCGCUUCACCAAGAUCCUUCAUCUCAAACUCAUUCUUCAUUUGCUUCUUCAAUUUCUCAAUCUCUUCAACAUUCUUUGAGGCAAUCAACAUAUCAUCAACAUAUAUCAACAAAUAAAUGAAAGACCCAUCUUGCAACUUCUUGAAGUACACAAAAUGAUCAUAUUGACUUCUAGAAUAAUUUUGGCCUCUCAUAAAUUUAUCAAACCUCAAAUACCAUUGCCUUGGAGAUUGCUUCAAGCCAUAUAGUGAUUUCUUCAAUUUGCAAAACAAGUUCUCCUUCCCUUUCAUUAUAUACCCAUCCGGUUGACACAUAUAGAUCUCUUCAUUCAAAUCACCAUGUAGGAAAGCCGUCUUCACAUCGAGUUGCACAAGCUCAAGAUCAUAUUGUGCAACAAGGGCUAACAUAAUACGAAUUGAGGAGUGCUUCACAACUGGAGAAAAUAUUUCAUUGUAGUCAAUGCCCUCCUUUUGUGCAUACCCUUUAGCAACUAAUCUUGCUUUAAAUCUCACAUUGCUUUUCUCAUCAUCAUCUUCCUUCUUGGCAUACACCCAUUUGCAACCAAUAGCUUUCUUGCCCUUAGGCAAUUUAGCUAACUCCCAAGUCUUGUUCUUCAAGAGAGAAUUCAUCUCAUCACCCAUGGCAUUGCACCACCUCUUCUUCUCCUCACUCUCAAUAGCUUCCUCAAAAUUGGAUGGAAUCUCUUCAGUGAUAAUAGGAAGAGCAAAAGCAACAUAGUCACUAUACCGAGCUGGCUUGGUAAUUUGUCUCUUUCCUCUGUUCUUGGCAAUAGACUCUUGAGGUGAAACUUGCUCUUCAACUUGAAUAGAAUCUUCAAGUUCAACUUCUUCAACAUCCUCAUGGUCUCCAACUUCCUCACUUGUAGUGGCUUCGACAUCAGCGGAAAUAGGAUUUGAAGUACCAGAGGCAACUUUCUCAAGCUCCACCUGUUGGACAUUUUUCACAUUCUUCUCAGAGCCUUUGUACAUACUUUCUUCAUCAAAUGUCACAUCUCUGCUGAUUACAAGUUUCUUCAAUUCUGGGCACCACAACCUGUAACCUUUGACACCACUACUAAAACCAAGAAAGAUAGCCUUUUUGGCUCUAGGAUCAAGUUUAUUUUCAGUUACAUGAAAAUAAGCAGGUGAACCAAAAAUAUGAAUAUGAUCAUAAUCAGAAGAAGGUUUUCCAGUCCAUACCUCCAUUGGUGUCUUACCCUGAACAGCAGCUGAGGGUAACCGGUUGAUGAUGUGACAUGCAUAAUUAACUGCCUCUGCCCAAAAUGACUUGCUUAAACCCGAUUGAGACAACAUACAUCUAACCUUCUCAAGCAAGGUUCGAUUCAAUCUUUCUGCAACUCCAUUUUGUUGUGGAGUUCCUCGAACACUGAAAUGUCUCACAAUUCCUUCCUCUUUGCAAACUUUAAAGAAAGGAUCGGAUGUGUAUUCACCACCAUUAUCCGAUCUCAAAAUCUUAAUCUUUCUCCCAGUCUGAUUCUCAACCAUUUUCUUCCAACCCAAGAAAAUGCACAACACCUCACUCUUGUGCUUCAUAGUGUAGACCCAAGACCUUCUUGAAUAAUCAUCAACAAAUGUCACGAACCAAUGUCUACCACUCAAAGAGGGAGUCUUUGUAGGACCCCAAACAUCCGAAUGCACAUAAUCAAGAAUGCCCUUUGUCUGAUGUACAGCAGUACCAAACUUCACUCUAGUUUGUUUCCCCAAGACACAAUGCUCGCAGAAAUCAAGCUUACAAGUCGUGGCACCUUUUAGAAGACCUUGUUUCACAAGCCCUUGUAGAGCUUUCUCACCGGCAUGGCCUAAUCUCAUAUGCCACAGUCUAGUAGUAUCUGAAUCAGAUGUGCCCAUAUUUUCAGAGACUACAGAUGCUUCACCUGUCACAGUGCUUCCCUGCAAUAAAUACAAAUGACCACAUCUAGGAGCUUUCAUCACAACAAGUGCACCAUAAGUAACUUUCAAUGUCUGUCCAUCUGAAUGAAACCUGAAACCCUUGGAUUCCAAAGUACCCAAAGAAAUAAGAUUUUUCUUCAAAUUCGGUACAUACCGAACACCUGUCAACUCUUUAACCAUGCCAUCAUGCAACUUCAAACGAACUGUACCAAUCCCUUUUGUUGUGCAAGGAUUGUCAUCUCCCAUGAACACAACGCCACCAUCAAACUCUUUCAAGCUUGAAAACCAAUCUUUGUGAGGAGUCAUAUGAUGAGUACAACCCGUAUCUAACACCCACUUAGUAGCACAAUCAAAUGAUGAGGAAGUGGUUAAAGCAAAAUCAGAAAAAUCUGUUUCAACCUCAGCAACAUUAGCUUCAGAACUUUCUUUUCCUUUGGUCUUCAACUUAGGACAAUCUUUCUUCCAAUGGCCCUUAUUAUGACAAAAGGCACAUUCAUCCCUUUCUAAAUGUUUUCUACCUUUAGAGUUUCCUCUAGGUCGAGACUGUGAUUUUUUCCUACUAGUAGAGGACCUCCUCUCCGAUGAUCUACCUCUAACAAAUAAAGCUUCAGAGGUACUAUCAUGAUUUUUAUCUCUAUGCCUCAUUUCAUAAUUCAUCAAGGCAUUUGACACAUCUUCAAAUUUCACAGUUUCUUUACCAUGCAUAAUAGUGGUAACAAAAUGCUCAUAAGAGUCCGGCAAUGAAUUCAACAAUAUUAAGGCCUUAUCUUCAUCCUUAAUAUCCUCAUCUAAAUUUAACAAGUCGGCAAUCAACUUAUUAAAAGCAUCAAGGUGUCUAAUCAUUUUUGUACCUUCUUUGUAUUGGAAGCGGUAGAGCUUUUUCUUCAAGUGUAGCCGGUUCUCUGCAUUCUUCGUCAUAUACUUGUCUUCCAAUUUUUGCCACAACACACUUGCUACCGUCUCCCACAUCACAAAAUACUUCUGAGUUUUUGCAAGGCACAACCGAAUUGAAGAGCAAGCCCACAAAUUUAAUUUCUCCCAUUCCGACUUCGACAUAGCUUCCGGUUUUUCUCCCAAAACGGCAAGUAGAUCUUGUUGAGCCAACACAUCUUUAACCUCACAUUGCCACAUCCCGAAGUUGUUUGUGCCAUCAAACUUUUCCACUUCGAACUUUGCAUUUUGCACCGUAGUUCUUGCAAACCCGGAGGUGCUUCCAAAAGGAUUUUCAUCUUGCCCAUCUGACAUCUUUGGCAACUAGACAGUACCCAAGAGCAACCAGUGCUCUGAUACCAAUUGUUGUGCUAGGAUAGCACCAAACCCGUUGGAACCAACUCAAGCUAACCCACAGGAAAUUUAUCAAAUGAAAAUGCAAGAACAAAAUAUUAAAGAACACCAAGAUUUUAACGAGGUUCCUCAACAGUCAGUGUAACUGGAGUACGUCCUCGGAGCAGUAGGAGCUCACCCAAUAAUCCACUAUCAACCAAAUGGGAGUUUACAAAGUGUUGGCAAUCUCACAACCCAAAUAACCCAAUACACCCAAUAUCUCUCACACACCAAAGAAACAAAUAGAAGAAGAAAUAUAAUGAAUAAGUUCUUCUCUAUACAUAUAGCUCAAAGCUAUUACAACAACACCUAUUUUGGUGGAUGAUUACUAACCAAAUGAAGCAGCAGCUUCUUCUUCCUUUUGGGCUCUCUGCAGAAAAAAACUCUAACUUCUCUCUGCAGCUCUCUCUUCUCUCUUCAGCUCUCUCAACUGAAAAAUGAGAGUUGCAUCUCUUUUCUUCUAUCCGAAACAAACCUCAAUAAUUAUGGUUAAUAAAAAAACCACAAAAGAAAAAAAAACAUCAUCAUGAUGUCUCCUCAUCAUGAUGUUUCCUCAUCAUUUUGUCUUUCUUUUUCUUUUGCUUUUUUUAAUAGCCGAAAGUAUUGGCCAUAAUUCAACAGCAUGUACUCCGGAUUUUCUCCGGAUGCCUUGUGAUAUAUGCCGGAUGCUGGCUAGAGGAGAACAUUUUUCCUUCAGUUUGUCUGCUAAUUUACAGUCCUAGAAGAAGUUACUUAUCAUAACAUGUUGCCAAUGUUCAUGGAUAUAUACCGUUAUAUUAAUGAGUUUCUUUGAAAUUGUUUGUGAUAUUUUCGUGCCAAAUAGGACGAGAAGAAAAUUGCAUAUCUCAGUUUUUUAGCUCUCAUAAAGAUUUAUGUCUCUCUCGUUGCGAAACUUAUACUAUAAUUUUUGCUCCUAUGGUCUAUCAAAAUAAUAAUAUUUCAGUAGAUACUUAGUAGUUUAUUACCGUAAAUUUUGUGUUCAACUGAAAGCAGGGAGAACAAUGUGUACCUUUUUCUUUUCUUUUUUCCCAAUGAAUUUUUUAACUUCUUCCUCUACAACUAGGGGUGGGCAAUUGGAACCGAAAACCGAAACCGAAACACGAAUCGAAUCGAACCGCACCAAACGGUUUGGUUUUGCGGUUUUGAAACGGUUUCGGUUUCAAAACCAAACCGUGGCACACAAAACGGUUUGGUUUCGGUUUUGGGUUUUCAAAACCGCACCGAAACCAAAACCGCACCGUAUAAUAAAUAAUAAAACAAAUGUUAUAUAACUUAUAAUUUAAACUUUUCAACUAGGUUAUAACUUAUAGGUUUGGUUUUGCCGUGGGUUUGCACUUUGACUUAACUGCUUCUGCUUGCAUCUCUACUUCUGCCUUUGCAAUUGCAUUUUUGUUGCAUUAUUUUUUAGUGCAAUUUUGUGCAGUUUUGGUGCAGUUUUUGGUGCAGUUUUGCUGCUGUUUUUUAUGCAGUUUUGCUGCAUUUUUUUGGUGCAGUUUUGUGCAGUUUUGGUGCAGUUUUUGGUGGUGUUUGGGUGCAGUUUUUGGUGGUGUUUUGCUGCAGUUUUUUUUCUUCAGUUUUGACUCUUUUUUGCUGCAAUUUUACUGCAUAUUCAUUAAUUAAUAUACGAGGAAAAUAAGACCGUUUUAUGCAUAAAUAGGUGUAUAUUUUAAAUUGUACAUUUUUUUUCUCAAAAACCAAACCGAAACCGUUUGAAACCGCACCGCACCGAACCAAACGGUUUGGUUUUAUUUCGGUUUUGGCUUCAAAACCGCACCGCAAAAUGUUUCGGUUUCGGUUGUGGUUUCACUCGAAACCGCACCGCGCCCACCCCUAUCUACAACCCUUGCAUGUAGGUUUGGCAGUAAAAGAAGAGUUUCAGCGCAAUUAAAAUAAGGUUUUUUUAGCCAAAAUGGUCCCUGAAAUUUCAAAUCAAUAGAAGUGAUCCAUGAGAUUGUCUACUAUCCAUCAUUUUGGUCAUUCCGUUAAAAACUCCUUUAAGUGUCCCGGAGCUGUUGGCCGGAAGUUUUGGCAAUUUUCAAAGCUUCGUAACUCAAUCGUUUCUUAACCAAAUUUGACCCAUAAUAUAUCAAAAUGAAGAUAGGAAAGUGUAGAAUAAGAUUAUAACUAUUUAGAAGCCCAAUGGUUGCCGGAGAUGGUCGGAAAAUAGCCUCAAAGUUGACUGGUCCGAGGGAAAACUGGAAAACUGGCCGGAAACUGGGUAAACUUUAAAAGUUCAUAACUUCUUCAAUACUCAACGAAAUCAAGUGAUUCAAAAACAAAAAUCAUACUUCUCAAUGAGACAAAGAGAAUGGAACCUUUUUCAAUGGCUAACUCGCAGUGGUUUGGCCGAAAAACGGCUCAAAAUUGGCUAACUCGAGCCUAAGGCAGCCACUUUCGAGCCGUUUUCCGGCCAAACCACGGCGAGUUAGCCAUUUCAAAAGAUACCAUUCUCUUUUUCUCAUCGAGAAGUAUGAUUUUCAUUUUUGAAUCACUUGAUUUCGGUGAGUAUUGAAAAAGUUACGAACGUUUAAAAUCUACCCAGUUUUCCAGUUUUUCCUCGGACCAGUCAACUUUGAGGCUAUUUUCUAAUCAUCUUCGGCAACCAUUGGGCUUCCAAAUAGGUAUAAUCUUAUUCUACACUUUCCUAUCUUCAUUUUGAUAUAUUAUGGUCGAAUUUGGUUAAGAAAGAUUGAAUUACGAAGCUUUGAAAAUUGCCCAAACUUUCGGCCAAGAGCUCUGGGACAUUUAACGGAAUUUUUAACGAAAUGACCAAAAUAAUGGAUGGUGGCCAAUCUCAGGGACCAAAGUGAGGAGUUAUACAAAUCUCAGGGAUCAUUUUGGCUAAAAAGCCUUAAAAUAAUGGCGAACUAGUCUUUCGUUUUUUUAUGAACAAUAGGAUAAUCUACACUAAAUUAUUUUUUCGUCUUUUGUUAAAGGAUACAUUAAUUGAAAAAAAAAAACUUGAAGUGUUUGGGAUCAUUUAAAUUCCAAUUUCAAUAUAGCUAUUGGUUUAAGUAACAUAAUUUUUAGUUUAGGUACCAAUGAAAAAAAUCAACUAAAAUAAUUCUAUAAAUACUAUUAUAAUUCAAAAUAAUUAUAUAAUUGCUACGUUUUCCGACCAGCCAACUGUAUUCGCAACCACCUCACCCUUACUGUCAAUCUUAAUAACCAGGUUUCGACUAACCUCCUUGUACGGCAUUGUGUUUGCAUACAUGAGCCAAGGGAGGAGCAUUACUAUUUGCAUAUGAUAAAUAACCAUGUUUUUUAUGAGUACCGUUGGCUAGAAUUUCCAAUCAUUCCGAAGGGAUAAUCAAUCAAUUGCUUAUUAAAUAUUAUUUUCUCUAUUCUUAAUGUAAAUUUUAUAAUGACCGAUUUUAUUAUGUUAAUUACUUUAAUUAGUUUAUUAGAGGUUUCUUCUAGUAUAAUAUAAGAAUAUUUAUUUAUUUCCAAUAUUUAACUUUCCUUUUAUCAAUUUAUGCAUAUAAAUACAUUUAAAACGUGUAAGUCGCGCGUAGCACGUCGUGAUUCAAAAAAUGUCCUCUGCAUAAAGGCUAGUAAAGAGAAAGUAAAAAGAGGAAUCUGUCUUUUUGGGCAGAAAGAGGAAGACUUGUUAUAGUCUUUCAACACCUAAUCAUCAUCGCAAUUUGAAGAGCCUCGACUAGAUAAGAAGACGUCGCAUGUACUCGGGAUUUUCUCCGGGAUGCCUUGUGAUAUUCUGAUAUUGCUGCUGGAAAUAAAUGUUGGAACUUGUGAGUGGGACUUAGUCCCACAUCGCCCAAACACAUGGUGGAAGUCCACUUUAUAAGUCUUUUCCUUCCUUUAUGGUUUGAAAAGAAUUGGUCCAAAGCUAUGGACAUUGGCCUUACAAAUGGAGGUUUGAGUGUAUAUAUUAAGGGUAAAAGACUGUUUACUACCCUAAUGUUUCGUGGUUUUCAACAUUUAGUACAUCAUGUUUUUUUCGUCUCAGAGUCAUACCUAAAGUGUAAAUUUUGGGACAGUCUCAUACAUCCGUUAGUCAAACUGUUAAGUUUUUCGUUAACUGUGACGUGGCGCACUGAGUGGGCGUCAUCCACGUGUCAUGUUUUUUUUUUUUUUUUUUUUUUUUUUUUUUUUUUCUUCUUCUUCCUUCUUCUUGCUCCGACUGCAACUUUCUGUUUUUUUUUUUUUUUUUUUUUUUUUUCUUUCCUUUUCCUUCUUCCUUCCUUUUUCCUUUUUUUUCUUCCCCUUCUUCCUUCUUCUUCUUCUUCUUUCUUCCUCCGAAUUCUUUUUUUUUUUUUUUUUUUUUUUUCUUCUUCUUUCCUUCUUCCUUCCUUCUUCCUUCUUUCUUCUUCUUCUUCUUCUUCUUCUUCUUCUCCGAAAUCAGAUUCAUUUUUCUUUCUUUCUUCUUCCUUCUUCUUCUCCUUCUUCCUUCUUCUUCCCUUCUUCGUUCUUCUUCUUCUUUUCUUUUGGGGGAAGAUGAAAGUGUUUUUUUUUUUUUUUUGAGGAAGAAGAUGAAGAAGAGAAAGAAGAAAGAAAAAAAAGAAAAAAAAGAAAAAAAAAAAAGGAAAAAAAAAAAAAAAAAAGAAUGAAGGAAGAAAAGAAGAAGAAAAAAAAAAAAAAAAAAAAAAAAAAAAAAAAAAAAAAAAAAAAAACGAAAAAAGUGGAUGACAAAGAAAGAAACGAAGAUGGGUGAGAGCAAAACUAAAAAAAAACAAAAAACCACGGAGGAAGAAAAACAACUGUAAAAAAAUAAAAUUACACUUUUGAUCUCUGAGACGAAAAAAAACUUGAUGUACUAAAUGUUGAAAACAAAACACGAAAAAUUAGGGUAGUGAAAACAAACUCAGUUCUUUUACCCAUAUAUAAUAAAUAAGAAGGCCUUGGAAAGGAUAAAACUGAAAUAUCAAAGAUGGGCCUUGGAAAGGAUAAAACUGAUGACGAACAGUUCCAACCGUUCUAAAAACGGUACACUUGACAUUUGAUUUGUUUUAACAAUAAACAUUUUUCCUUCAGUUUGUCCGUUCUACCUAGAAAAAAGUUUGCAGUUAUCACAACAUGCCAAUAUUCAGUUAAUAUACUUAAUGAGUUUCUAUGAAAAUGUUCUUGAUAUUUUCGUGCCAAAUGGUGAGUGCAUUAUCUAUUUGUUCUAGCCUUGAUUUCUAGUUGCCCUCCAACCAUCAACGUUGCUUUUGCUUAAUUGCCAACCUUUCAUCUCUUAUUGUGCUUUCUUCUCAAUAUUCUCACACCUUCGUAGGACGAGAAGAAAAUUGUAUAUCUCAGUUUUAUAGCUCUAAUAAGAUUUAUAUCUCUCUCGUUACAAAACUUUUACAUUAAGUUUUCCUCCCAUGGUGUAUCAAAUAAUAAUAUUUCAGUAGAGACAUCUAUUACCAUAAAUUUUGUGCAAUUGAAAGCAGCGAGAACAAUACCUAUUAUUUUAUUUUAUUUUAUUUUUUCUCAAAGAAUUUUUUUGGUCAUUUUCCUCUGCAACCCUUGAGUUUCAAUCAACCCACACCCACUUUAUUUAUAAGAGUAAGGAGAACAAAUUUUUAAACCAAAUUUUGUAAAUAAAAUGAUACAUUACCAAUAGAAAAUAAGUACGUUAAUUAAUACUUGAAUAAUUUAGUCUCUCUAGCAUUAUCUUUAAAAUAAUGGCAAACUAAUUCUUUUGUUUUUUUUUUACGAAUGAUAGAAUAAUCUAUAUUAAACUAUUGUUUCGUCUUUUUUUCUUUUCUUUUUGUGAACGAUAAGACAAUAAACAAUUGAGAAAUUUUAUUUGAACUCAUACUUUGUAUCUCAACACUCAACUUACUUUUUAUAUUCACAUUGUAUUUGAUUUAUCUAUCAUUAUUUAUUUACACCCAACAUUAUUUUCGAAAUCGCCCUUACUUAUCAAAACCCAACUCAAUCAAACUUCUUUUUACACCCAACUCAAUCUACUUAAAAAUAAAAAAAAUUAAAACUCUAACCAGUCUAUCAUCUUCAUGGAGCAAAUCCCCUUCUCCCUCUUUAAAAAUCCUUCCAUCUCCCAUGGUUGUCAUUCUGCACCCCCAUCUACUUCUCCGUAGUCACUAUUUGGACCCGAUUUUAUACCAUCGGCCCAAGCGAUCGAGGCUGUUGAGUGAGCAUGGUUCUUAACCGUCAAUUAAGAUAAUUUGAUAUUGUUAAGAGAUAAUAUUAUGGUUUUUAAUCAUAAUAAUUAUCUUUUAAUAAAUUAUCUCAAUUUUCUUGUACAAAAUAAAUGGAAUGCAAAUCAUAACCUCAACGUAGAGGCAAGCAGAACAGUCCGAGUUAAUUUGGAUUUGUUAGCAGUGUACUAUGUGAAAUUAGAGCAGCUUGGCUUGGACUCUUCACGUGGCAUAACAUGGAUCUGCAAGUUUUGGAUAAUGGUGAAUAGAAAACCUAAGUAGGUUAGGUUGUUUGAUGAAUGUUGUCAGACGGAUAGGCUUUUGGAUGGGUGAUGGGUUAGGUUUUUAUUAGCUUUGAAAAGUCAACCAUUUGAAGAUAGGCUUUAAGCCUAUGUCACGGAUCAGUUUGAGUUUCAGUCGGUUUCUUCUUAUUAUCCAGGCCGUGCCAAACAGAAAAUAUGUUCAUAUAAAUACAGAGGUAAUUGCAACGCAUAGAGGACCUCCAACUCAACACACAAACUGCCAUGCGUAAACCCUUGCUCUACGCGAAACCUUUCAAACAUCUUGAGAUUUUUUAUUUUCUUUUUCGCCAACACAUCUUUAGUUUGGAUAAAUAGCACUAUGAAGGCAACCGAUGAAUAUCUUCAGUUUGGAUAAACAACAUUGUUACCGUAGAAUUAGCCGACCACAGAGCACCUUCAGUUUGGAUAAACAGCACUGCGUCAAGGCCGACUGGUUAUCUAUCCAAGUCUCAGUCGAGAAGGAUUUUGGAAUCCUUAUUGGCAGAUGUCAUCUCAUUAGCCUUUUCGGCCAAGUGAUGUGUUACAAGUUAUUACAUUCAGCACAUUGAAAGCCGAAUUUGAUAUUGAACUUUGCAGAACUAGCAGCCUUGUCUUCAGGCUCUAGAACCCGAAGGCUAAGAGUGUUCCUUCCUCGGCCGCAGUCCCGAGAUUCAAAAGUCAGCAGCGCACCCAACGUAACAUCAACAUAUUUUACUCCUCAGCCGAGCUCGGCCGACGAGUUGGCACGCCUCGCACACAACUGAAUGACGUAGUUAGCUUAUUAAUUACUCGGCUUGCGUGCCACAUAGGCUUAGUAGUUUUUAGGGUCAACAUCACCUAAACCUCUUCCUCUUCCUUUUCUUCAUCAUUUGACAUCUCUAAAUUUCUAGAGCACUAAUUAGCUUAAUAAUCAGUAUGAGCUUCUGGUUAGAGUGUUUAAUGAGUUUGAUAUGUUUCAAUUAAAUGACAAUCUUCUAGCCUCUAUAUUCCUAUAUGUGGUAGAAAAAUGGGUACGUCCAUAAUAACUUUUGGUAGAUCAAUGAAUAUUUUAAAACGUGGAUAUUUAUUAGAUACAAAAGUUGCUGACAACAAUUCACAUUACAUUGAACUGUGGCUAAAAAGUAUAUCGUCUUAGCAUGUUUUAUAGGUGAACUCAUAGCUAAACAGUUUUUAUUGUAAAGCAAAACUUUGGGAAUUGAUCUAACAUGGAUGUGUAAUUGAGUUUAUGCAUUUUAACGAUUAAAAUGAUAAAUAUUUCGACUGUAAAUGGAUUUAAUAUCGUAGUAUCUUUUAGCCUCUAUAUGCCACAAAAGUUGUGGACAAAAAUUCACAAUACAUAGAACUGUGGUUAAAAAGUAUACUGCCUUUGCACGUUUAUAGGUGAACUCAUAGGUAAGCAGUUUUAUUGUUGACCAAAACUUCGGGAAUUGAUCUCACUUGAAUGUAUAAUUGAGCUUAUGCAUUUUAAUGAUUAAAUUCAUAAAUAUCUCAACCACAUAUAAAUUUAAUAUCGUAUUGUCCUUUAACCUCUAUAUUGGUAUCUGUGACAAAAAAAUGGGUACCUCCAUGAGAAAAUUUUGUAGAUCGAUUAAUAUUUUCAAUUUGGAUAUUUAUUAGAUACUAGAAAUUAUAAGUCUAUUUGCGAAAGUCUAAGUCAAUGCCACGUACAAUAUUUGUUAAGAUAUAUUUAGGGAACUGUUAUUAGCACUCCAAAAAUCUCAUUCUACACUCCACACAAGUGUAUUUUUCUUUCUAAUUACAAAAAGUUUGGAAUGCCAAAUGAGAUUUUUGGAGUGCUAAUAACAAUUUUCUAUAUUUAUAUACAUUUUAUUUUUUGGUCGACUUCCCUUUUUUUUUCUUUCUUUAUCAAGUUAGGAGUAUCACUGAUUUUGAACUUGUGCAACUAGUUGUUGAUUCGUUUUGAAUAAUCAACAUUAUUUUUGACAAUGUCUUGGGCGUAUGAAUAAUAGAAAGAAAAUGGUCAUGAUACAAGUUGAAUAGUAGUAAUACUAAUUAGUAAACAAUUUGUGCAUGAUGUUUACUUAUAACCAAGUGGCAUGAAGGGACAAAUGUGUAGGUUUCAUGCAUGACUUGAAAUCGUAUUAGUAAAUGCAUGAUGUUUGCUUAUAACCAAGUGGCAUGAAGGGACAAAUGUGUAGGUUUCAUGCAUGACUUGAAAUAAUAUUAGUAAAUGCAUGAUGUUUGCUUAUAACCAAGUGGCAUGAGGGGACAAAUGUGUAUGUUUCAUGCAUGACUUGGAAUAGUAUUAGUCGUCGGGAGAUUUUGCAUCAAUUUGUUUUUGUUUUUUUUAACCAAGUGGCAUGAAAGGACAAAUGUGUAGGUUUCAUGCAUGACUUGGAAUAAUAUUAGUAAAUGCAUGAUGUUUGCUUAUAACCAGGUGGCAUGAGGGGACAAAUGUGUAUGUUUCAUGCAUGACUUGGAAUAGUAUUAGUCGUCGGGAGAUUUUGCAUCAAUUUGUUUUUGUUUUUGUUUUUAAUAUGUAUAUAUUAAUAUCUAUUUUAAUGGGAUUGCUCUCCACCCCUAAGUUGUGAUAAUGCCUUUAUUUAUCGUUAUUAUGUGAGUUUAAUUAAAUUUUGAGAUUGUGUUUAUCCACUACAUACAUUUAGAAUAUUUUUUUUUUAGUCGAGCGACAACAUUAAUAAGUUAGAUGUUAGAUUAGUCACCGAUAGAAUUCGAACUCACGCCAUCAUGUAAGAGCACAACACUUUUUCACCAUUGUGGUAAAUGGCCACUUGCCAACAAGUUGAUUGGCCUGUGUGACUUUACUAAUACUACUCCAAGUCAUGCAUGAAACAUACACAUUUGUCCCUUCAUGCCACUUGGUUAUAAGCAAACAUCAUUCACAAGUUAUUUGCUAAUUAGUACUACUCUUAUUCAGCUUGUAUCAUGACCGUUUUCUUUCUGUUAUCCAUACGUCCAAGACAUUGUAAGAAAUAAUGUUAAUUAUUCAAAACGAAUCAACAACUAGUUGCACAGGGUCACAGUCAGUGAUAUUCCAAACUUGAUAAAGAAAGGAAAAAAAAAGAAGUCGACUUUCAAACUUGAUUAUUCUACAAAUAUUACUAUAUAGAAUUCAAAUAAUUAUACGAUUGCCAUUUUUUUCGACCUGUCAACUGUAUUCCCAACGACGUUACCCGCACAAUCAAUCUCAAUAACCAGGUUUCCACUAACCUCCUUGUACUCCAUUGUGUUCGCAUACAUGAGCCAAGGGAAGAGCAUUACUAUUUGCAUUCUGAUAAAUGACCAUGAUUUUUUUUAUGAAUAUUGCAGACUAGAAUUUCCAAUCAUUCCCAAUGGAGAAUGGUUCAAUCAUGACAUCAUGAGCUAAGAAUACAAUUUUGAGUUUAAAUUUCUCUCCACAUACAUCACGUUAAUUUAGUUUUUUUUCUACUUUCCUAGCAUGUUCUCUUUCGUGCAUUUUAAAUAGUGACUUAAUAGUGAAAAAACAGAUUCAUAUAGAGAUAUAAGUCUAAAAUUACUUGUCACUAAUUCAGUCACCAAGCUUAAGUCGUCUAUCUUUAAUCUUCAAAAUUAACACAAUAAGCUAGUAAUUUCACUUCAUCAAAAUAUUGCUCAAUGUUGUUUGACUUGUUUCCUUUCUUAAACUUUUAGAUGCUCAUUAAUUAUAUACUAAAAAACCUUGCUCUUCAUCUUCAAACGGAUCAUAAUCCAAUAUAGCUCUGUUACUAAAGGCUGGUUUGGUAUUGCUGCGCUUUGAAAAAAAGCUGUUGUGAGAAUAAGUGGCUGUGCUGUGAGAAUAAGCGGCUGUGAAAUAAAUCAGCAGAGUGUUUGGUAAACUUUUUUGUAAAAGUGCUUUUGGAAAAAAAAAACAGUCUGAUAGUGGGUCUUUUCAUUAAAGGAGCACUGUAGCUCUGUGUGCUUUGAAAAAAAGUCAGUUUUCCAAAGCUGCAAAUAGCAGCUUCAGUUUUUUCCUUUGAUUUCAGCUUAUUCUCACAACAGCUUCCAAAAUAAGCCUUUUUUUUUUUUCAGUUUACCAAACACCUAAAAGCCUCAUAACUUUUUUUGAUAGGUGCCUUUUUUUUUAAGCACCUCACUCCCAAACCCAACCUAAGUAGCAUAACUACAAGUCUGCAAGAUGGCAAAAGCAUAAUCCAUUGUAACUUUGGUAGAUCAGGUGUCGGCAGGAUCAUUUUCUUCUAAAUUCAAGUAGCAUAACUACAAGUCUGCAAGAUGGCAAAAGCAUAAUCCAUUGUAACUUUGGUAGAUCAGGUGUCGGCAGGAUCAUUUUCUUCUAAAUUCGGUGACGGAUGGAUCAUUUUCUUCUUGUUUCAAGUGUUGUGUGACUCAGGUUUUUUUAGAGUCUUUUACAGUUUUAAAUUGAUUGUCUCUACAUCAUCUACUAUGGCCUACAAACAAUUGAAACAAUCACCCUCCCAAAAUAAUAUGAUCGGUGUUGCAAGGGAUUGUAGCUUAGUUGUGUACAAGCAGAUGUUUUUUUUAGUAUAUCGAUAUUUUUUAUAUUAAGGAAGAGAAGAAGUUUGGAUGAGCCACACAAUAGAUAGUCUAAUUUGAUAUUAAAUUUUUCAUUCACGAGAUUCGAACAUAAGACCUCUACUUCUAAGUGAAGAGGAAUAUCACUAGAUCGUAGUACUAAGUAGCGCAAUCAGUCAUUUAUUUGUUGAGAAUAAAUCUUAUAUUAAUGAAAUGAGAGACUUUGUAUGUGCUUAUAAUAAGUAGUUGAGGUACUCUUCCUAUAGUCAAUUGUUUUUAUGGUGGAACUUCAAUCUCUUUUUCUUGCUAUCAAAACAAGUUGUCUCAUGUAUGAAGCAUAACGGCCUCACGUGAUCCACAUCUUUCGAAUUGUAUUAUCCACAUGUUAAACUUGAAAUUUGUCAUACGUAAUGGAAUGAAUCUCAUAUUAAAAAAAGAAAAAAAAAAGAGACUUUGAAAUCUCAAUUUUAUUGUAUUUCCAUCCAAAGUUCUAUAUUUUGAUUUCCCAUCUCCAAAAUCGCUCUUAUAAAGAAAAAGAAAAAGUAUAACGAACGUGUAGGACUUUGGAGAUAAGAAAUCAAAUAAAAAGACAACAAUAUGACCCCACGAUAUGACCCCACGAAAAGUACAGAGAGAAACGAGGAGUCCUUUGUGGUCCGAAAGGUUACAAGUCUUUCAACACCUAAUUAUCAAAAGCAAAUUGCAGCGUUCGAGAGUAGUCUGGAUUAGGGCUGGCAUUUUGAACCCGAUUCGUUAAUCCGAUCCGAUCUGAUCCGUUAAAACUAGUAUUUGGGUGAAUGCUUAACGGGUUAGGUUAUUAACGGGUCAACCCGUUAGUCACCCGUUAAGUAACGAGUUAUUUUGAGUCAACCCGCGAAACCCAUUAGCACCCGUUAACACCCGUUAAGAAGGACUUAUGUGUAAUUUCAUAGUUGGAAUAGAAAACCUAGCUCUCUCUGUUCUCUCACAUUCGAACCCGACUGAGUGGCUGCUGUUCUCUGAGAACUUCUCUCCCUCAUCUUCUUCCUCAAAUUUGGCUGCCGUUCACUAAGUUUGUCAUCCUCUCUCUGGUAAGUUCCGAUUCCCUUUCACCUCUUCUUCCAUGGCGAUUACUUUUCGUUUUUGCAAAUUAUAUUUUUUGUCUAAUUCUCAGUUUUCGCUUGAGCUUGGUUUGAGGUGGUAUUCUUCAGAUGAGCUUCAAAUUAAUUUGGAAUUAGUUGAUUUGUGUUUGAUGAUUUCAAUUGCGAUUGUGCUUUUGUUGUGCAAAUGGUGUUUUCUGUGUGUGAUUGUACUUUUGUUCUCUUCCUUCUCAAGUUAGAUAGAGAGAGAUCUUCCCACUUCUCCAUCCCAUCACACACUUGAUUCAUACACACACACAUACAUACGUUAUUCUUCUAUUAUGGGUUUGAUGGUGAUUGAGGAGGAGAAGCAGGCGGCGGCCAAGCCCUUCGACGAAUUGAGUUUUGAUUAGAAUUGGGUUUUGAUUAAAAUAUGUGUUCUUUUGCCUGAAACAGACUCUGGAUCUGUUGAUUUUCAUAAUCCAUGAAAACAAGUCCCUUCAUCUUCAUCUGAAAACUUCUACGUAGUAAGUUCCUCUUGCAACUAUAUAUGCGAAACUCAUUAUUUAUUAAAGUAAACUGUCGAUUUACCCCCUGAACUUUCACCUCACUUUCGAUUCCCUCUUGAACUUUUCAAUUGGAAAAUUAAGGACUCAAACUAAUUUUUUUAGCCAAUUUGCCCCCUACUGUUAGUUUUUCAUAUAUUCUAUCUAUAUUUCUGUUAAGUGAGACCAUAUGCACAACAUGUGAGGGUAGUUAAGUCAUUUCACUCUUAAAAAUGAUUAAAAAUUUGAAAAUAAAAAAAAAACAAAAUUUUCCCUCUAUUUUUUUCCGCUAAUUCCUAUCAUCGAUUUUAUUUUUCCCUCUCAUUCUUAUGCAUGAGAAAUGACAUAUGGUGUUAUUGUCUACCAUUUUUAUUUUCUCUAACAAAUUAAUAAUUUGACAAAUGCUAAUGGUGCUAUUGUCUCCAAAGCAGUUCAUUAAUAUAAGAAACUCUAGUCUUUUUUAUGGACAUGUUUCUUAUAUUAAUGUACUGCUUUGGAGACAAUAACACUAUGAGCAUUUGUCAAAUUAUUAAUUUGUUAGAGAAAAUAAAAAUGGUAGUACAUGCUUCAAGAAAAAGAUUAACUUAGCUACUUAUGAAGACAAUAACACUAUAUGUCAUUUCUCAUGCAUAGAAAUGAGAGGGAAAAAUAAAAUUGAGGUUAGGAAUUAGCGGGAAAAAAUAGAGGGAAAUUUUUUAUUAUUAUUUAUUUUCAGUUUUUAAUCAUUUUUAAGAGUGAAAUGACUUAACUAUCCUCACAUGUUGUGCAUAUGGUCUCACUUAACAGAAAUAUGGAUUGAAUAUAUGAAAAACUAACGGUAGGGGGCAAAUUGGCUAAAAAAAUUAGUUUGAGUCCUUAAUUUUCCAAUAGAAAAGUUCAGGGGAAAAUCGAAAGUGAGGUGAAAGUUCAGGGGUAAACCGACAGUUUAUCCUUAUUUAUUAAUUAAUUAUUUCAUUUUUCUUGAAGUUUGUAUAUUUAAUUAGAGAUUUCAUCAAUAACCAGCUAUAUAAUUUGUGCGGUUUUCAGCCUUGAUUAUUCCGUCAUUCGGUCUGGAUUUGUUGACUAUAAGUGCAAACAAGUGCCCUCAUGACCUGACAGACUUCCACCGCGUAACUGCUGCUUGCUUCAGAUCAUGUCCAAUAUUCGUGCAACGGUGCAAGUUUCGAGUCUUGAAGCGUAGGAUUGCAAGAAUCCCCCUGCAGUUACGGGUAAUCCCAAAACUGCCCCAUUUUUUGUCCAACAGGUUCAAAUUUAAGAAAAAUAAUGUUUACUGGUAUAUGAUUUUUGCAAGCUUCUGUUUUUCUUUUUGCUCGUCUUUUAAAUUGAUAUGGUGUGUUUCAUUAAUUAUUGUGUUUUAUGUCAUCUUAAAUGGCAAGUGAAUCAAGUGAUGUACACAAUUAUUCAAUGAGAUAAAUUUAUUAAUUGAUGUGACAUAUCACAUCAAAUUGUACGUAAAUAUGGUAUAAACAUAUGUGAUUUCCUAACAUUUUCGGAUUUUCCUAGUAAUAUUAUAUGGCGUGUUAUUGUGCUUUAUACAUACAAUAUCAAGUUUUUCUUUUUCUUUUUUAUUGGAACAUACAAUAUCAAGUUAUUAGAUUAUUUUAUGGUACUAUAUUAGGGACUGUAUACCUGGCGGUGGGACGGUUAUGAUGUAGGCAACCUUGAUCUGAAUCCGGCCCGUUGCCAUCCCUUGCUAUUCCCAAAUUGUUAUCUCUAGAUAUGCUUACUAGGAGUCCAUUAAUUGAAUAUUAUUUCAAUUUUACUAUAAAUUUGUAUAGGUAAAUGCUAGGGACAUUAAAUUAUUACUUUAAUCUAAAGUACGGUUUGAAAUUGGCACUAUUCAAAUGAACAGUGUUUCAAUUCGAAUUUCAGAUUAAUUACCACCAUGCCAUUGGUUUUUGUGUUGGUUUUGGGUCAGCAGCCCGUCCCUCAGCCAGGCCCAAAUGUGUUGGCUUUAGCAGGGAAGACCGGCCCUCAGUGAGGCCCAAAUUAUUUAAUUACAUUUUUGCCCAUCAAAGAUUACAAUCCGACGGUGGGGAUGGUGUAUUACGAAGGGCAAUUUUGUCCUCUCCGUUUUGGGCGAGUAGGGGGUCACCGGUUGGUAUCAUUUGAUGUCGUUCAAUUAGGGUUUCGGGGAGGUCUGUGAGAGAGAGAGAGAGAGAGAGAGAGACAGAGACAGAGACAGACAGAGACAGACAGAGAGAGAUGGCGAUGGAAGGAGAGCGAGGGGGAGGGGUAGGGGUCUCGGCACUGUUGUUGCAGAUGGGAGGGUCGGUAUGGUCAGAGAAGACCAUAUGGGUCGUCGGGAUUUUGGGGAGACGGGGUAGGGGUCAUCUGCAAACCCUACUGAGAGUGGGGUGUGCCGGAUCUUGUGCUGCAUGCCUCGAAUCCAAAGAUAUGUUUUGGGGGAUUUGUGAUCUUACAGAGAGAGAUGGAUAGGGAGAUAGAGAUAGACAGAGAGAGGAGAAAGCAUGGCUGUGUGCAUUUUUUGGGGUUAAUUAAUGGGUUAAUGCGCAGGGUCAGUGAGGAGAGAGUGACAGAGGGGUGUAUGGCAGGGUAUGGGUUUUCAGUUUUUCCCUCUGAUUCAAUAAGUUAUGCACUGUUUGAAAAUAAUUGUUUAUUGUUUUGUUUUCCGUUGGCUUUGUUAAAACCAUCAUUUGAAUUGUUUGGUUUCACUGUGCUCAUUUCUGGGCUUCUUCAAAAUUUUCUGGUGUUUGCUUCUCAUUCCCCUGUUGGUUGAUUUUUUUUUUCCCAUUUCUUGGUUCUUUAUGUAUUCCUUGGUUCUGUCUAAAUUUUUGCUGUGGGAUGAUGCUUGCAGGUGAACUAUAUGCACGGUUUUUUGAGACGAGUUAAGAAGAUCCACCUGAAAACAACAUACAAGAUAGAGAACUAGUAUGCUGCUUUGUCUUUCUGUUGGAUUUUGAUGUUUAUGUUCUGCUACUAAGAGGAUUUUAUAGUGUUCUAAAUCUGUUUUGUAAAUGUGCUUAAAUAUUGGACAUGUUCUUGAAUAUUAGCCAUGUUGUUUGAAUUGGAUAUGUGAUUGAAUAUUAGGUAUUUAUUUUGAAUUGAUUUGGAUAUGUGGUUUAUUGAAUUAGAAUUUGGAUAUGUGCUGAUUUGAAUUGGAUAUGUUGAAUUAGAGAUGUGCUACUUUGAAUUGGAUAGGUUGAAAAAUGACAAGCGAUGGUAAAAUAUGUUUGGAAUACACUAGAAAAAUUAGAUAGAGGCUUGAAAGGACUAGAUCGAGUACAUUUGAAAGAACUAUCAGUACAAGACAACUUUGUUUAGUGUUUUUGUAGUGGUGUUCUAAUUGCAGCUUCAUAGUUUUAGUCUAAUGUUUUUGUUGUACAGUUUUUAACAACCGAAUCUAAAAUCCCUCUGUACUUUAAAGUCUCUCCUCCAGACAUCACAUUAGAGAAUUAUAACUAUUCAACAUUCUUGGUGCAUCGGCAUAUUAAUGAUUGUAUCACAGAAUUUUGGCAAAGUUCCUUGAAUUAUUGAACAGUUAAUGCUUUCCAAAUGUUUUACUUUGAUUCAUUGUCUCACAUUUUCCAUGGUACAAGUUUACAUGAUUGCAAGCCGAUAGAAAGAGAUAUAUGUAGGGAGAAGCGGGAAUUGGGGAGAGAGAGAGAGUGAGCGAGGGGUGCGGUUGCUUUUUAAAGAUAUCUUUGAAAUUGUUUCUGCAGUUUUUUUUUUUUCUUUUGGGUGAAUUUUCUUGAGUUCUUUCUGUUUGUUUGGAAUUAUUCCAUUUUUACUGAGAUUCUUUUGGUCCCUGCCACUAAACUCUGAUUUCUGCUAUUAAUUGCUGUUGACAUGUGACUUUUGCUAUUAAUUUUGUAAAUUAAUUUAAUUAAGAUGCUCAAUGUUCCCUUAAUUGUGAUUAAGAUGGUCACAAUCCUACCAUCCUCUGUAUGCUCUGCCAUGUCCGCCGCCAAUGUUUUAUUUUUACUUUUUAACCCUUUCGUACAACAUUUAAAUAAUCAGGUGGAAAUAGUAAUUCUAUUUUUCGACAAACGAUAGUGUUAGUAGGUUAAAUUGUUAGUUGUUAUGAGAGAAGGAGAUCGUUCUAGAGAUCAAACUCUCAUAAAAAUAUAUGAUGAUUUCUGCAAAUGCGAUCAGCAGUUGCAUAUUACAAUAUACAGCUUCAGUUGGCAUCAGUUUCUUAAUGAGUGGCAUGUGAAUUCUUAAUUUAAUUUCGGAAAGAAAUGCGUUUAAAUUUGGUGGUAUGUGAUGAAGUUAGCAUUCUGUUUUUUAUUAUAUACUGGUGAUGGACAUUUUUAGCAUAUUGGAUUUAUCAUUUUCUAUAAAAUGAAGCUUCAUUCUCACUAUGUUGUUGAUGUUUUUUGUGAUUUCAGUUUAUAGUGCUUCUAAAUGCUGUUUUAAUUUAGGAAUUUGAAUAAUUGUUUAAAUGGGAUUGGAGGGUGAUAAAUAUUUCUAGCUAGGGAAAGGUCACAUCCAUGUGUUGGUCGAAUUGAUGGAUGUAAAAAAUGAAUAUGGAUGAACGUCUAGCUACUGCAUGUAGAUUCAGCUUUCCUUUGCAUUUGAGUGAGUUGGAAACCGAGUGGAACAGUUUGAGAGAGAGAGGGAGGGAGGGAGGGAGAGAGAGAGAGAGGACGAUGUUGGGAUUUUGGUAAAGAUUUGAGCUUUAGUUGUAAGCAUGCUGAUAUGAGCUCACAGUAAAACCCAACAGUAUGUAGAUUGAAUUGAGUUGGGAACUGAGUGGAAAAAUAUUAGAGAGGAUUGUGUUUUCUGAUGCGUCUUUGAGCCACUGACCAUAGGUGGAGUCUUAUACUGCAAUAUUAUGUGCUAAUCUAAUAAACCCUGCAACUUAUUCAUCUUUGUCAUGAGUAAUUUUUGGUUUUUUUCAUUGGAAUAGGGAUUUAGUGGAUGGUUGUUUUUAACGCAUAUUAGUUAAAAUGAGUUGAGUAUUGGGUGCUAAUCCCAUGUCUGCAAAUCACAGUACCCUAAGGAAGAAACACUGUCUGCACGAUCUAUAAUACCUGUUCAAGCAAGAAUCUUUUCCCAAACUAAAAAGCUUACAUAUCAAAACGUGUAAAGGAUGUGCCACUAUCAUCUUACUUUUUCAAUACCUAAACCAUGCAGUGAUGCAUGGGCUGGAUAUUGCUCCUUUCAAGUUUCAAAUCAUCAAAUGCUAAAGGUUUCUAGAUAAAUCAUCAUAGAAGUCGAUUCUGCAGAUUCCUUCUUAGUUACACUCAGAUGAUAAUGUAUUUAUAGUCCUUGACAUGUUUUUAAAGUUUGCAUUUUCAAUGUAUAUAUCAUUAACUAAGCUUUAUCAGCAGAAUAUCAUCGCAAAUUUGUUACGGAAAAUGCUAUUGCUAGAUUCUGAUUUAUCUACUUUAGUUUUAAGGAUUACACAUUGUUUUACGAUAUAAAAUAGAUGUUCUGCCUUGAUUUGAUGCGGGGGUAUGCAUUAGCUAACAUUAAUUCUGUUUAGUAUUUCUCAAAUUCAUUUUGGGUUAAAAAGUUGGAGCUUUGGAUUGGGUUUUUUCUUUAUUCAGCUAUCAUUUUCUGCUUAGGAGACUCUCUUAAACUGUCUGAAACUGUGCUCAUUAGGCUGGGCAGAGCACUGACAAGCUAAAAACAAAACAAAAACAAGCAGAAUUAUCACAUGUAGUGCAGGAUGUUGAAUGUCUUUUCCUCAUUGCAAAUCCUAAACGACCCAAAUCUGGAUGGUAAAAUACUUCGAGUUGGAAUUAAUAGGAUCGAUUGAAACAUGGAUUUUUUUUAUUAGAUUGGUAUAUCUGACUUAAUUAAGAAGUAGUUUAAGACAGUCAUUAGGGAAUUUCUGUAAUUGAACGUAGUUGUUUUCAUGAGGUUGAUAAAUACAAUAAGGUGCUUCUAUACCAAUAAGUGAUUUUAUACGGACACAUUGUAUGAUGUAAAAUGGUAAAAGGAGUACCCAUUCCUGUCCAGUCUUAUGUUUUCCGAGUCUUGCUUAUUUUUCAUUAGUCAUAUGAAAGAUGCUGCAAUACCGUGGGAUCAUAAUAGCUAAGAAACUGGACUUGGACAUCUUUAUUCUAUAGAGCGUUUGUAAAAGUAAUUUAGACUUUAUUAAGUUUAUAUUAAUCCUUCACUUCUGUUCAUUCAUUGUAAUUUCUAUUUGGUUUGUCUGCAUUUGUCUUAGGAGACUCUGUGGGGCUGCUUAAAUUUUAUAUAUUCAAUUGCAUAGAGUCGGCAUGACAUGCACAGAGAUUGUCAGAUUGCCACCCUUAGUUGGUGAUAUUAUCUUUACAACACAUUCAAAUUGAGGAUUUAGAAAAUCUAAUAAUAAAAUUGAAAUAUAUGUUCGAUGCUUUUUGUUUUCAUUUUCGGUUAAAAGGUUUCAGCUUUGGAUUGGUAUUUACCUUUAUUAAUCUAUAAUUUUGUGCUCAGGACACCAUCUUGGGGGUCUUAAUAUGAUUGUUCUUCUAUUUCAUAGACUCAAAACGUGUUUAGUGUCUCAUUUAAUUGGUGUACCUUUGCUCAUUUAACUCAAAUUUAAUACGAUUUGGUCCUCCAAUUUCUCUAAAUUGCUAACGGAUUUAUUUUCUUUGGAAAUUUCAGGAACUCUGGUUGUGGUAGGAACAAGCCGGCUCCUUGCUAUUUUUAGGUAUAUGAUUAUGUGCCUUGAUUGCAUGUUCAAAGUCUAAUUAGUUAUAUAAACUUUUAAUUUAUCUUUGCAAAGCUUUUGUACUUGGAUUUUAGAUAUGUGAUUGGUUUUUGAAAAAUUAAUGAGAAGGCUAAUCAUGGGGACAUUCUUAUUUCUGAAAUUUUCUCUUCAGCAUUGUUUCUUGAAUAAAUUUGGAUUGGUAGAUGUAGGGGUAGAGCAACACCCGUGGUGUAAAUAAAAGGUAUAGGCGUAAUGAUUUCUAGGUUUAGAAUUCAUUCAAAAAUAUGAUAUAAUGCUGCGUUCUCUAAUUUUUUUUUUUUGCUGUUUGCUGUUCUAAACUUUUGAACUCCUUUUUGGAUUGAUCUUUGUUAUUUUGUUUUUGGGGGUAUCUGAUAGGUCAAGGUUGCCUAAUCUUGGUUGUACUUUUUCCCAAGACAUGGCACAUUUGAAACUUUGAAUUCUUGAGUUUAUAUUUUAAUUCUCAUUAGUUAAUGCGUAAUAUUUGGCCUUUUAUUUUGAGAUUAGAAUGAAUACGUUUGGCCUGAAAGACAGUAAACUGAAUUAAAAGCUGGCUUAUUUUCCAUUGGCCAUCAAUUAGGGUGAGAAAACAUUGAAUUGAGAUCCUUAAACAGCGCUCAUAUAGGGUACUAUACCAAAUGAGCUCGAAGAGGACUCAGCAAUUGAAGAACAAUUGAUGGGCAUACACCUUGGACAUGAUUAAGUUAGUUGAACAUUAUACUAUAACAAGUACAUAUUUCUGCUAAAGGACCAUACCAAAUAAGGAGUCAGGUUCACACACAGACACGCACACACACAUCUGAUGUAAAGUUAUUCUAUUAGAUGGUUUCCAGAUUGACCCCCCCUUGCUAAAUCUAUUUCAAGGCUGGAAGGAGAGUUAAAACAUAUGUUAUUGUCUUAUAUGUUUGUAUUUGAAUGGUAACGAUGUUGUUCUUCUGGUGGAAAAAUUUUCCUUUGAAUCCAUUUCAGCUUAGGCUCUACUUUUUUAUUUCAUUUCAACGUCAUUUUCAUGUUCAUCAUGCCCUGUUGGUAUGUGUUUUGUGUUGGCAUUGGAGGGUGGUGGGUUGUCGUUUUGUUUUUCUUUUCUUUGAUUGUAAGACCUUCUAACGAUUGAAUUUAUUUUAUGCGACUCAUUUUGAUCCCCUAGUUUGAGUUUUUCAGUUACGUAUCAAUACUUAACUGCUGGAUUUUUCUUAAGGAAAUUGGAUAUAGGCUAUAUACUAUGUGCAAAAUUCAUGGAGAUCAAGUUUUUGUUGGGUUUUUGACUCAAAAUUAGGAUGAUGCAAUAAAUUAGGUUUGUGUUACCUAUUUGGUUUUGGUGUCCUAUUUGGGUUUGGUUUUGACUUCUUAGUUAGUUUCCUUGGUGGAGAGAUUUUGUUAAUUACCUAUUUGAUUAGGAUUUGGAUUUAUUUCCUAUUAGGAUUCAUAUUGUAACCUAAGUCCUAUGCACUAUAAAUAGGACCUUAGGGUUAGUGUAUUUAGUGUGGCUCAUUCGUGUGGCAAUUUGGUGAGAGUCAAGUUUCAGGCCCUAGGAAGUGGGAGGAAAGCUAAAGCUUUGUGGGGUUGUCUGGUCUCGGCAGUUUUUUGGAACAUUUGGCUGGAGCGUAACAAAAGAAUUUUUGAGGAUUAUACAGGUGUGGGGGUAGAAGUACUUUGGGGAAGAGUAAAAUAUUGGGCAGCCCUUUGGGCUUCAGUCUCAAAUGUUUUUAAUAAUUACUCUAUUUCUCAAUUACUGUGGGAUUUGUUAGCAGCAGUAAAGUGAGUUAGGUCUAGCUAAUGUUGCUGUAGCCAAAUCCUAGUGAGAGUUUUUUCUUGUUUCUUGUUAAUGGUGGAUUUCUUAUCCACUCCAGUGUAUUUCUCUUUUCUUCUAUAAAAUGUUUUGUUUCUUCUCAAAAAAAAAAUUUGUGAGUUUGUGAGUUAGAGAGCAAUUUGGGAGAAUCUUCUCCGUUAGUUUUGGGUUCUCUACUCGUUUGGUUUAGGGUUUGUAAUUUGUGGGAUUUGGGUUGUGAGAGUUUAAACACUCUUUUGUAAGCUCCAUUUGUUUAGUGAAAUUCCUCGCCGUGCUUUGCUCGUGGACGUAGACUUUACACCGAACCACGUAAAUCUCUUGUGUUAGUUUGAGAUUGUUUGUUUUAGCUUUCACCUACGACGUUGAUAUUGGUACUUUGUUAGAAUUCGCUUCCGUUUGUGCAUAAAAGUACAACAGUUUUGUGCUUUCAUUUGUCACAACGCAGUUUUUUGUUUUCAUAAAUGAAGUUUUGUGCUUUCAUUUUAUUUAUUUUAUUUUGUCUUUCAGUCAGUUUUUCGUUUGAAAGAACUCUUAAUUUUCAUGGAAAUAUAGUUAUUUGUGAAUAUGGAAACUUGAUACUGUGUAGACAUCAGAGUUCGUAUGUUUGUGAUAUGAAAUUUAAAUACAAGCUUCCCAAUUUGUUUUUGGAAUUUUAACUAAACUCGCGUUAUAGGUAGAUCAUGUAUUAAGAUAACAAAAAAGAUAGGUAGAUUUGUGUAUGCGAUGAGUUGUAGUGAACAUUUGGCAGUAAUAGAAAUGGUUUAGGUGUGCUCAGUUUUGGCCUAAAUGGUUAUCACACGAGCGUAAAUGUUUGUUUCAUUUGUGAUUGAACUUGAAUUCGUUGGAAAGCUUUUCAAUUUAUGAAUAUGGAAAGCUUUUCGUCUUUACUUUUAAACUUAUUUUCUGUUUGGUUGUUGAGAAGGUGAUGGAAAUAUAGUUAUCUGUUAAUAUGGAAACUUGAAUCUGUGUAGACUCCUUGGGUUGUCUGUUGGGUUCAGUGGAGGUUUAGUGUUUUAAUUUUGAAUGAUUUGUUUUUCGUUUCAUGGAAAUGACCUAUUAUUUGAUAUUAUUUGAUUUAACUGAGUAAUUUAAUGGAAGUAUAUUCUCUUUUUUUCUUUUCCAUAUUUCAUUUUGUCAGCAACCAAACGAGUUAAGGAACUGUAAUCUUUUUAAUUACUCUGCUAUCUCCGUGAGUUAUGAAUAUCAGACUUUUUGUUUUAUUUCUAUAUAUGUAGUUCCGAAGGAAUCAAGUGCCAAAAUUAGAAUAAAUAUCCUUUAGUCACGUUACACACUUUUCCAUAGAAUGUUUGGUUCAGGGAUCCCUUAUACAAGCACAAUAUUCUUAUGUAUUUAAAUCAUAGUUGACUGUCAUGGUUUAAUAAGUGUGAAAACUGUCUUAACUAUACCAUUGGAGCGUUACAGUUUUAGUUAUUUUAUUGGAUCCGUUUGUUAGCACUUUGAAUUCUUUUGAUUUCUUACUCUGAAUCUCACUCAUUUUUUGCAGUUUAGAUUGGACUCUCAUCAUAGCAUUGUAAUAUGAUCUUGCUGCUGCGAUUAAUCUGACAGUUCUGAGGCGUUGCAUUUGAAUCAAGACUUUGGUAUGUUAGCUGAACUUCAAUGCAUUCUUUUCCCAUUCUUUCUGUUUGAGGCAGCGCAACUUUAUGAUUUUUUUAUUGAUUGUUUGGGUUGAUCGUCUUAUGUUAUCCAUUUGCUUUGUGCUUUGUUUUUCAUUCUUGGUUGUCUCUGUGAUCGUCUCAUUGUCCAGAUGUUGGAUGGUUUUUUAUUUUAUUUUUUUAUUCUAAUUUUGUUUGAAGGUCCGUGCUAUCUCUGUGAUUCUGGUUUAACCCAGUGCUCUUAAUUCUUUAUCGGAUGUUGUUGGCCAUUUUAUCUCUUUUAUUAGUGGGAAAAGGCUUUGUUGUUGUUGUAUUCUGUUAUUGGUUGGUUGGUGUUUUCGUUUGGUUUUCUGAUAGUGAACUAUCUCAUCCUCCCCAAAGUGUUUUAACAUGUUUUGUUGAUAACUGCGCUCUCUAAACGACCUAGAUAUUUUUUUAGAAAAAUCACGACUUCCAUAUUUAAGAAAAUGAGUGGCUUUUUAGCAAAUGCAUGAAUGCAGCUAGAUGUUCAGAAAAAUUCACGGAUAUUUACAUUCAAACCACAAGUAUCAUUAACUUAUAAAUAAUUAAGUUAUGUAUUUUCUUUAUCGGCCAUCACUUCAAAAUUUGAAUUAAAACACUGUCAAAAUGCUUUUUGAUUGUGUUUUCUUUAUUCAUUAUGUAAGUUUGGCAAAUCUUCUACAUGCUGCAUAUUUUUUUGUUUGAACAUCUAUGGUUGACGAGUUACCUGCUCAAACACCACUUUUUCUGUGUUUUGCUAACUGCUAAGUGAGGCAUGUAGGUUGCAGAGCAUAUAUUUGGCCGUCUUAACUAUGUGUAAACUGCAGCUUCCUUCUGUUUCUUCAGUUUCAUAUGGAAACAGGCCUUCUGUUUUUUUGGCCUUUGAACAAUUGUGGUUCCAAAAUUAGCUACUUGAACAAGUCCUCAACACUUUCUGUUUUACAUUACCUGUUGAACUAGCUGCCUACACUGCAGGACACAUGUUAUUUGUGAACUAAAUGUUUCUUCUGUUUCUUAAGUAAACAGAAAUUUUUUGGAAACCAUCUCUUUCUAAUCAAACACGUACAAUUUCUUCCCACUCAUUGUGCAUUGUGUUUAUAUGCCAACUCACUUAAAUAUGUAUAAAAGCAAAAUUGCUUAUCUUACCGGCCUCAUUCACUCAUGUAUCCCUCUGUUUGUUUGUAAUUGUGUUGAAUUUAUUCAACUUAAAUGUGUUUUAUCCAUCUGAUUAUGUCUGAAACAGUGGUUCCCGCAGCAACGCGCGGGCGUAUUUUCUAGUUUUUAACUAAAUUUUGCAAACUAAAUGACAUGAUUGUUGAUGAGUGGAUUAUUAUUUUAGUGUUGAUAAACAUGCUUAUUUUCUAAGGAAAACUAAUGAAAAGGGCUUGAAAACUUUGCGUUUUAACAAUAAGGACAAAAUAAAGGGUAAAGUGAAUAGUAUCAUGAUUGACUUUUUAGUGUAAAAAUAUGGUUUUUCGUUAAAGUGAACAGUACCAGGAGCUUUUCAUUAACGUUCCCUAUUAUCUAGUGGUGACACAUCAUUUAGUUUAAAAUUUUAUUCUCCUUGGCAUUACCCAUUUGUAUAUGAUUGCGGAAUCAAUAAUUAGUUCUCACCAUUUGAAUUUGUGCAGUUGUGACAACAGAUCAAGCUUCCAAAUUUCCAAGGAACUAGUCUUUGACUGUUGAUCUUCCCUUCAUUGAGUCUGUAUUUGUUGAUCACAAGCGGAGUCAGAUUUGAACUUCCAUGUAAGUUCUUAUUAUUCAACUGAAUAAUACAUUAGUUGUUUCUCAUUUUAUUUGAACUACUUUUUAUUCAUUUGUUUCUUCACUUAAUUUGUGCAGCUCUGCACCUCAAUAUUGCUCAAGAGCGGUUCAGUCUUUCUUUGAUUGCUUGGAGUAAUCCUCGCUCUUAAUAUGGUACUGGGAGAGGUUUUUCUUGGGGCGUUUCUACAGGUGCUGCUAGACAGGUUGACCCCUCGCGAGGUUCUCAACUACUUUGGAAACUUCCGGGGCCUUAGAAAGAAGCUGGAGAAGUGGAGGGCCACGUUAUCUACAAUCGCAGCGGUGUUGAGCGACGCUGAGGAAAGACAAGUGACUGACCAUCCUGUAAAACUGUUGCUUGAUGAUCUCAGAGACCUCGCUUAUGAUGUCGAAGACAUGUUGGACGAAUUUUCCACUCAAAUGUUGAAGCGCACAAUAGAGGGACGUGAUCAAGCUAGCACGAGCAACAAGGUGCGGAACUCAUUUUUCAAAAUUAAAUUCAAUUGGGAUAUGAGCUCCGAAAUGAAGAAGAUUACGGAGCGGUUGCAAGACAUAUCUGAACGGAAAGAUAAGUUUGGCUUGAAAGAUACUGGGACGUCUGCUAAGGAAUCGCGACGUCUACCUAGUUCAGACGUGUUAGAUGAAAAGCUUGUUGUUGGAAGAGAUGGUGACAAAGGGAAGAUUAUUGAAUUGUUGUCAAGAAAAUACGAGCAUGCAGGUGCUGUCAAUUUUGAUGUAGUUGCUAUAGUUGGCAUGGCCGGAGUUGGGAAGACGACACUUGCUCAACUUGUAUUCAACAACAAAGAUGAUGCCAUGAAGGAGUUUGAGCUCAAGGUCUGGGUAUCUGUGUCCGAUGACUUCGAUGUGGUGCGAGUGACAAAGGCAAUUCUUGAAUCAAUCACAUCCCGACCCGUUAAAGUGCAGGAGUUUAGUAAAAUGCAGCAUAAUUUGAGUGAGCAAUUAAGAGGAAAAAAGUUUUUAAUCGUUUUAGAUGAUAUUUGGAACAAAGGCGACUAUGAUCUAUACGAUCUCUGGACAAGACUUCAAUCCCCUUUUGGCGUCGGAGCAGGAGGAAGUAAGAUAAUUGUGACAACCCGUGACAGGAAUGUUGCAAAGACUACGGGAGCCGCUGGAGUUCAUAAUUUGGAGUGUAUGGCAGAUGGUGAUUGUUUGGAAAUAUUUGAGCGACAUGCGUUCGGGGAAAUUAAUAAUGGAAAGCCGGUAAAUUAUGAUUUAAUUGGGACAAAAAUUGUUGAAACAUGUCAUGGAUUACCAUUAGCUGCGAGGACUCUCGGUGGUCUUCUACGUUGCAAAGAAAAAGAUGAGUGGGGAGAAAUAUUGAACAACAAGUUAUGGAAUCCAGCAGAUAAGAGUGGCAUUCUCCCCGUACUAAAGUUGAGCUAUCACUAUCUUCCAUCACAUUUGAAGAGGUGUUUUGCCUAUUGCUCCAUUCUUCCAAAUGACUAUGAAUUUGGGGAGAAACAGCUCGUCCUUUUGUGGAUGGCAGAGGGUUUGAUUCAACAAAAACCUGACGACAAUAAACAAAUGGAGGAUUUGGGCCGCGACUACUUUCGAGAGCUAUUAGCAAGGUCGCUGCUUCAAGGAUCAAGCAAAAACAAUUCACGAUAUGUAAUGCAUGACCUCGUUAAUGAUUUAGCACAAUGGGCAGCAGGAGAAAUAUGUUUUAGGUUGGAAGAUAAGCAAGGUGAUAACUUGCAAAGCACUUGCUUUCAAAGGGCUCGCUAUUCGUCUUUCAUUGCUGGUGAUUUUGAUGGAGUUAUGAGAUUUGAGGCCUUUCCAAAACUUGAACGCUUGCGAACAUUCCUGCCACUUUCGCUUUCAGAUUCCAGGUGGUGGUGGAAAUAUUUGUCUCGUAAGGUUAUUUUCGAGUUAUUACCACAGAUGAAAUACUUACGAGUGCUCUCUUUCAAUGGCUAUAAAAUAACUGAGCUGCCAAAGUCAAUCGGUGAUCUGAGGUUGUUACAGUAUCUUGACCUUUCCUACACAGAUAUAACCUGUUUGCCUAAAUCAACAAGCACUCUUUACAACUUGCAAACAUUGAUAUUGGAGGGUUGUUCUAAAUUGAAGUCAUUGCCCACAAACAUGAGUAAUCUAAUUAAUUUGCGCCAUCUCAACAACUCAGGUGCAUCUUCAUUGGUAGGAAUGCCUUCACAACUAGGUCGAUUGACGAAUCUACAAUCAUUGCCUCUUUUUGUGGUGAGCAAAGGUAGUGAUCAACCAGGGGUAAGAGAGAUAGGGCCCCUAUUGCAUCUCCGAGGGACACUGUGCCUCUCAAGAUUGGAGAAUGUGACUGAUGUCGAGGAUGCCAGGAGGGCCAACUUGAUAUGCAAGGAGAGGCUUGAUUCGUUGGUCCUAAAAUGGUCUCAUUCAAGCGACACGAGAAAAACAGAAACCGUUGUGCUUGACAUGUUACAGCCUCAUACAAAGCUCAAGGAGUUCACUCUCAAGAGUUAUGCCGGAAAGGAAUUUUCAUCAUGGGUUGGAGGUUCUUUCUUCUCUAAUAUGGUGCUUGUGCGCUUAGAGGAAUGUAACAAUUGUUUAUCGUUGCCACCUCUCGGACAAUUGCCUCGUCUCAAAGAGCUUUAUAUUAGAGAAAUGAAUGCAGUCGAAAGUGUUGGUGCUGAGUUUUAUGGUGAGUGUGUCUUGCCCUUUCCGCUGUUAGAGAUUCUGGAGUUUGUGGAUAUGCGGCAUUGGAAGGUGUGGCUUCCUUUCCAACUGGAUCAAGGAAGUAGUGUUUUCCCUUGCCUGAAAAGGCUUUCAAUCAAAGGAUGUUCUAAGUUGGAAGGCAAGCUGCCAGAGAAGCUCGAUUUGUUAGCCGAACUUGAAAUUGUUAAAUGUGAGGAAUUGGUGGUUUCGAUUGCCAAUUGCAAACAACUUCGUCAAAUAAACAUUGACAGUUGUAAAGUGUUGGUACAUACAGAUGCUAAGGUUGAGUUUGAGUUGUUAGAGUCCUUGUGCCUUUCAAACAUUUCGGAGGUGAUGUCUCUGCAAACAGGGGAAUUGUUCAGGAAGGGAUUAAGCAAGGCUAGAGAUUUGAAGAUUAAUGGAUGUGAGAAGCUGACGUCGUCAUUGAAGAAUGAGGGUAGAUUAUUGCAGCAGUUGACUUGUCUUGGCCGUUUGGAAAUUGAAGACAACUCUCCUCUAGUUGAAGAAUUGGGAGAAGAAGCAGAGGAGUUGCUGCAAUUGCAAAUAUUGGAGUUAAAAAAGUGCGAAAAUCUUUUGAAGCUACCAAAAGGAUUAAAUGAGCUGUCGUCUCUUCAAGAGCUUCGCAUACACAAAUGUUCACGUCUAGUUUCUUUUCCAGAAGUUGGUCUGCCACCGUCUCUUAAAAACAUCGAGAUUAGAGAGUGCCAUUCGUUGAUAUAUUUUGCAAAAUUCCAGAUUCCCCAAUUUCUCAGAAGAAUAGAGAUAAGUAAUUGCAGAAGUUUGAAAUCACUAGUAGAACCGAACGGGUUAUUCAGCGACAACACCAAUCACUGCCUUGAAUAUAUUAGGAUCUGGAAUUGCCAAAAUCUGGAAUCCUUACCGGAUGGCUUAUGCCACCUUAGCAAUCUUCAAACUCUAAUUAUUGGGAACUGUGGAAGUCUUGUUUCCAUCCCGAGACUGAGUGCGGAGAGAAGACCCUCCAACCUGAGAGAUAUCAUGAUCAACGAAUGCGAGAAAUUGGAGGCGUUUCCCGAAGACAUGCACAAUCUCAACUCUCUUGAGGGAUUGAAGAUCGACUACCGUAAAGGUUUGACUUUUCCUCCCAACCUAACAUCACUUGAAAUUUGGAAGGUCAAGAGCUGUAAGUCAUUGUGGGAGUUGGAGUGGGGGUUGCACAGACUCACCUCUCUUAGAAAGUUGGGGAUCAGUGGAAAAAACACACGUACGGUGUCGUUUCCACCUGACAUAGUCCGGAUGGAGCCGCUCCUCCCCAAAUCUCUCACUGAACUCAGAAUAGAAGGCUUCCCGAAUCUGAAGAGACUGAGCAGCAAGGGCUUUCAAUUCCUCAACUCCCUUCAAUCUCUGCAACUCUCUAGAUGUCCAAAGCUAGCAUUCAUUCCAGAGGAGGGUCUGCCUCCUUCACUUGGUCAGCUUAUCAUCUAUAAGUGUCCUGUGCUAAAAGUGAGAUGCCAACCAGGAAAAGGACUCUACUGGCACAAAAUAUCCAACAUCCCUAAAAUAGAGAUACAUGAAGCUAAUGGUCCAGGUAUCAUCUCUCGAGGAAUGUUUUAAUAUUAAUAUUAUUAUUAUUAUUAUUAUUAUUAAUCAUGUUUAUUCUUGUAAAGUAAUCCACAAUAUUUGGUUUGGGUCAAGGUUUUGGGGGUUGAGGAGUGGCUGCUUUAGGAGGCCUUCAAUUGGCGACAACCUGGAUACUUCUCGGCCAACGUUUCUUCUCCCGGAUUCCUAUGUUUGCUGAUAGCACUACCCUUUCAAAUUUUAUUAGGUCGAGCUUUUUUCAAUUUUCAAAUUUAAACAUUUUUUUGGGUCAACAGUCCAAUAAUUCGAACUUGUUUUAUCUUUCAUUAAGAUAAUUCUACCAAAAACCUGACCUCAUUUUGUAUCAAGCUUGAGCUUUUAUGAAAUCAUUUGAGUCAAACUUGAGCACAUAUUUACGAGCUUUAUUUGGGACUGACCGAAUUUGAAUCUUGAGCAAUGUUUGUUAAACCAAGGUCAUUUAAUUACGAUCUGAGUUAUUAAUAAGUUGUGUUGUUUUGUGUUGGGUUAGUGGGUCUUGCAAGACAUUGCUUGAUGUUUAAAUUUGACAAACAAUAUUUUAUCAAGUUCUUGAUUCUACAAGUAUCCAACUCGUUAAAAGGUUCUUAAUGAGCAGCUUGAUAACGAAUCGACUUGUUAACAUAUUAACUCGAAACCUGCUAUUUUUAUGUUGUUUUAUAUCGAAUUAACGGGUCGUGUAAAAAAUUAUCAAACCUAACCGGAUCAUGCCAAACUAUUGAUGGUCAAUGACUUAUUUGAAAGUGAUUUUAAAGUGACUGAAAUUGAUUUCAGAUUCCAAAAACACUUUUUAAGUGCUUUUUGGAAUAAUCUUGGGCGUCUCCACCCAUUGCCAAUUGGUUUCGGGUUGGAUGCUCAAUUUGUAAUUAGAAUAACAGGUAUUGUUGUUUUUUUUUAUUAUCUUUCAUUGUUUGAGUGGGGGAUAUAAUCUUUAUACAAAUUGCUUCCUCAUGGUUUUUAUGACUGGUUUCUGUAUCUACUUUUAAUGCUUAGUACAUUAAGGGCAUCGGGUACUUCCUAAGUUCUCAUGGUCAAGUGUUUGUAUGGUUCUGUAUGUAUGUUUGUGAUCUUCAUCCCGACUUUGAAUGCGUAAACUAGAUGGAUGAAGAGGUUUUGUUGUUAUUGCCUUGCCCAACACAAGGAUUUCUUUAAGGGCUAAAUAGAUUUCUUUUAACUGGGUUCUUAUGUCUUCGACGAAGGUUAGAGUUCUUUAUCCUUUUUGGUAUUUCAGUCAAUUGGUGUAUCUUUCGACAUCUGUGCUAAGUGCUUCGUGAAAAUUGAUAUAUGUUGUCUAAAUGGUUGUGUUUCAGUUGCCUUUUCUGAGCUUCUUCCUUCCUGUCUGAUAUCUAUUUUCUAUCCUUCGUCAUAGGAUAUUAGCUCCAUGGUGUGCUGGUUGCUUUAUGUUUGUAUAUUCUCGUGUUUUUUCAUUACAGUGUUGAACUCAGUGAAAUGCUAGUAUGAAUUGGAGUGGUUCCCAUUGUCUUUGAGUGAUUCCUAUCACAACAAUCAGGGAGGAAAUCCCUCUCUUUUUUUCACUCUAGGACUAUCCAAAAGAUGCAGCACUGAAGAAGAGUUAGGACUUUAACUCAGUGUCGCAAAAACCUACUACCAAGAGAAAGUUUGUAAGCACUUAUGUUCCGACUCAGAUCCUUACCAAAGUUUUUUUGAAAGUUGAAAUGAUAUAGCACUAGGCCCAAGGUUGAGAGCAGGUUAGAAUUGUUAGAUUGGUGUUUGGCAUGUAAAGACUAGUGGUAUGAUAUUGGGGUACGUUUUUAGGUAUAUGGGGCCAGUACCUGUAAGCUUGAAGACAACCUAAAUAUGCCCGGGAUGUAACAGAGUGCUUGCCUAUACUUCUGUUUUUGUAGUUAAGAGAACGUAAUUGCUUAGCAAUCAUUAAAUUUGUAUACUUAUUACUUGGGUGCCCUCUGCCUUGCUAUGCUGCAUAACAAUGAGAAUAUAUUACGGAAUUCUAACAGGAAAAAGGCAGGGGACUCCCAAAAUUUGGUGAAUGGGACGUCAAUGAUCCUGCUUCGGCUGAGGGGUUUACUGUGAUCUUUAACAAGGCUAGGGAUGAGAAGAAGACAGGUGGAAAACCCGAGUCACCAGGAAAGGUUGAUCCUAAUAUCAGGCAUGGAGGAGGAGUGGAUCCUGGCACUAGCAGGCCUUCGUCUGUAAGAUUUUUUCUCAUAACUGUUGUCGUUUCUUUCUCUAAUGAUUUGAUAUAUACAUGGGUCAGCCAAUAGAAAUACAUUCUUUGCGGUUUUCUUAGUUGCAAGUUAUUGCUUUUCAAGUGACGUUGGUAGUACAAAAUACAACUAUAUGUAACACUGACUUAUCGAUCAAACUCAGCAUACCAUUUGAUGUGAAAAUCAAUGCAACUGACUUAUAUAGAACUCUAGUAAGGAAAUGUGGCAAAAGACAUAUCUAAUGUUAGGGCCAAGAUAUUUGAAAAAUAAAAGAGCACAAGAUGAUUCGGCUGUUUUAUCUGGAUUAUUCCAUGCAAGUGGAAUUGGCAUACAUUAACUCGGGUUCUGUCUCCUUUUAGACAGAUGUAGCCUAAUAGGAAUAUUUGUUUGUUUUAUUGUGAAUAAUUGAAAGAACCAAUGGCCCUGGAAAUAUUUGCUUUUGUCAAUUGAUCAUUGUGUGACCUUUUCGUUUUUUCUAUGCGUUUUCUGUACCUGCUGCGUUUCCAAUAGUAGACUAAUAGAAUGAAUAACUGGAGGUGAUUAUUUCUGCUGCCAAAAUCUAAUAUGCUUAAAUUCCUCACUCUUUGCGGAUGAUUUGAUUUGGUUUGAUUUCCUGAUGCACAGAAAAAAUGGUUUUGCUGCAUUCAUCAACCACCGGCAGAGUUUUGACAAUGUUGUUCUCCUAAGUGCUUCGAUGGAGGAGCACGAUGUUCUGUAACUGGCUCCACUAUAUUUCCUCACUUAAUCUAUGUCUAUGAAAUUGGCAGCUAGGGAAGUGAAGUUUGAAGCAAUGGUUAGCAGUUUGCCUAAGGAAAUCGUACAUGAUAUCCUUUUGAGACUACCUCCUAAAGCUUUGAUCAGAUGCACCUCGGUGUCCAAGCCUUGGAACUCCAUGAUAAAAAGUCCAAGCUUUAUUCGCACCCACCUCAGCCUUACCAUCGAUUUUAACCAGUUUGGCACCCACCAACUCCUUCUGCAUUGUGUUCGUGGAGACAAUCCAGUGGAGCAGAAUUACUAUUUGCAUUAUGAUAACCAUGCUUUUGAUGAGUACUGCAAGCUAGAGUAUCCAAGUGUUCCCAAGCGCAAUAGAUUUCUUCGUGUGGUCGGAAUGCGAGGAUCCGAAUGCUUUUUAUGAGGCUUAUUCACUUGCUAGAGGCUUGUGGAGUAGUCCUCGUUCUUUUGAUCCCGUUUGUAAAGUUUUAUUCUUGCAAAUUUCAGGCUUUUGUGAACGGGGCAGUUCAUUGGCUGGCAUGGCGCUGCUUGAACGAUGGUCGUUAUCAAAAUUUCAUUUUAGCAAUUGAUGUGGACGGUGAGUUAUUUUGCGAGAUAAGGGUGCUAAAGAGUUUCAGACAGGAUGAACCAUUAGAUUAUCACUUGUCUGUUUCAGGUGAUGGAAACUCCAUUGCUAUGUUCACGACGACGCGUGGUCGUAAUUGUCCUGAGGAUUUUCUUGACAUAUGGGUGAUGAAAGAGUAUGGCAUCGAGGAUUCAUGGGCCAAACUGAUAACUCUCCACCGUAUCCGGAAACAAGGGUGCCCUACAAGCCCUUAUGUUUUAGGAACAGUGGUGAAGUGGUGUCCUGACUUUAUCACUUGUUCUAGAAAAAAACGUCGCAUGUACUGGGAUUUUCUCCGGGAUGCCUUGUGAUAUUCUGACAUUGCUGGAUUCUUGUUAGAGAUGAACAUUUUUCCUUCUGUUUGUCUGUUAAUUUACAGACCUAGAAGAAGUUGCUUAUCACAUGUUGCCAAUGUUCAUGGAUAUAUACAGUUAUAUUAAUUUCCUUGAAAUUUCUUGUGACAUUUUUUUAGCUCUAAUAAGAUUUAUCUCUCGUCACAAGACUUUUACAAUAACUUGUGCUCCUAUGGUCUACCAAAAUAAUAAUAUUGCAGUAGAGACUAGUAGUCUAUUAUUAAUUGUGUGUUCAACUUAAAGCAGCGAGAAAAAUGUGUACCUUUUUCUUUUCUUUUUUUUCAAAGAAUUUUUUAUCUUUUUCCUCUGGGAGGAGGAUUGUCUGCCCUCCUAGUUUCAGUGCCCUUCCAUGCCAUCUUGAUUGUGUGGUCAUGGUUAAGCCACGUUAAUAUUUUAUAUUACUAUUUAUUUUUGUCUUAUUAUAUCUAUAAAAAAACAAUAUAAAAUAAUGAUGUGGCUUAACCGUGACCACACAAAACAGGAGGGCAUGGAAGAGCAUUGAAACUAGGAGGGCAGACAAUCCUCCUCCCUUCCUCUGACCCUUGCAUGCAGGUUUGGCAGUAAAGUAAGAGUUUCCACGCAAUUAAAAUAAUGGCAAACUAGUCUUUCGGUUUUGCACGAAGAUAGGAUAAUUUAUACUAAAUUAUUUUUUUGUCUUUUAUUAAAGAAUCAUUUAAAAAAAAAAGUUUUUAAGUGUUUGGGAUCUUUUAAAUACCAAUUUCAAUACAGCUAUUAGUUCAAGUAACAUAAUUUUUAGUUUAGGUACCAAUGAAAAAAUCAACUAAAAUAAUUCUAUAAAUACUAUUAUAAUUCAAAAUAAUUAUAUGAUUGCCGUGUUUUCCGACCAGCCAACUGUAUUCGCAACCACCUCACCCUUACAAUCAAUCUUAAUAACCAGGUUUCGACUAACCUCCUUGUACUGCAUUGUAAACGCAUACAUGAGCCAAGGGAGGAGCAUUACUAUUUUUGCAUUAUGAUAAAUAACCAUGAUUUUGAUGGGUAAUGUAGACUAGAAUUUCCAAUCAUUCCGAAGGGAGAAUGGUUCAAUAUGACCUAUAGACUACAAGAACUCAAAUUCCUUAUUUGUUAUCUUCUGUAAACCAUUCAUCAGAGCUCUUGACAGGCAGUGACCAUAUUUGAGGAAUGACUAGACGCAUGUUGGGGCGCCAUCAUGACUUCAUGGGUGAACAAUAGAAUUUCGUGUGUAAGUUUCUCUCCACAUACAUCGUGUUAACUUUGUUUUUCUAGUUUCCUAGCAUGUUCCAGUUCGUGCAUUUUCAGUUUUUGGAUAGUGGAAAGGUCAAGUUGGUAGCAAAUUGACACGGCGAAGACGUAAGUCUAAAAUUCAUUGUCACUAAUUCAAUUUACCAAGCUUAAUUGGCCUCUCUUAACCUACAAAAUUGUCAUAAUAAACUAGUAAUUUCACUUCAUGAAAAUCUUGCUCAAUGUUGUUUGACUUGUUUCCCUUCCUAAACAUCGAGAUGUUCGUUAAUUAUAUGCUAAUAAGUUCAUCUUCAAAUGGAUCAUAAAUUAAUAUAGCUAUGUGACUAAUUAAGUAGUAUAACUCCAAAAUGGUAAAGCAUAAUCCAUGAUAAUUUUGGUAAAUCUGGUGUCGGCAGGAUCAUGUUCAUCUUCUUCGUGUUGUGUGGCUCAGGUUGUUUAAGAGUUUUUUACUAUUUUAAAUUGAUUCUCUAUAUUAUCUACAAUGGCCUACAAAAAACUGAACCAAACACCCCCACAAAGGAAAGGGGUCCUUUUCAGAUCCUUUCGACCUAAUUAUCUUCAUCAAAUAAUCCGUGUUCUUAAAAUUUGAUUCAACAACUAAAAACACGGAUCUAUUUUAAAAAUUAUAAUAACUUUAGUUGUUGAAUCAGAUUUCAAGAACCUUAAUAAAGAAGAUUAGGUAAAAGGAAUCAAGAAAUGAUCCCUUUCGAUCACAAAAUAAUAUAAUCGGUGUUGAAAGGAAUGUAGCUCAGUUGUUUACCAGCAGUCACUCAUAACGUUUGGUUCCCCCCCAAAAUCGGUGUUGAAAUGAUCCCUUUCUCUCACACUCUUUUUUUUUUACUUCUCACAUACCUCUUGUUAACUUCUGUCAUUUGAUCUACUUCCAUUUAUCCGAUCCAACGGUCAAAAAUUAAAAGGGUGUGUGAGAGGUAAAAAUUGGUGUAUAGAUAUCACACCCUUUUACUAAAUCCUAAAUUGUACAACUCCUUCAAAUAUAUCAAGGACGAAUAUGGUAUCUUCUACAAACCAUCCAGUAGAGCUCUCAGCAUGCAAUGACCAUAUUUAGGGAAUGGACUAGACACAUGUUGGGGCAUUAUCAUGACAUCAUGGGUUAACAAUACAAUUUGUGUUUAGUCUCUCUUCACAUACAUUACGUUAACUUAGUUUUUCUACUUUCUUAGCAUGUUCGGGUUCGUGCAUUUUCACCUUUUGGGUAGUGGAAAGGUCAAGUUGUUGGGAGACUUAUUAGUAAAAAGCAAAUUCACACGGCAAGACAUAAAUCUAAAAUUACUUGUCACUAAUUCAAUUCCACUGAAUUUAAUUCUUCUCUCUUAAUCUUCAAAAUUAACAUAAUAAGCUAGUAAAUUUCACUUCAUGAAAAUCUUGCUCAAUGUUGUUUGACUUGUUUCCUUUCUUUAACAGCUAGAUGUCCAUUAAUUAUAUGCUAAUAAAACUUGCUCUUCAUCUUCAAUUGAUCUAAUAUAGCUUUGUGACUAAUUAAGUAGUAUAACUACAAGAUGGUAAACAAUAAUCCAUGGUAACUUUUUGCAGGAUUAUUUUCUACUUCUUUGUGUUGUGUGGCUCAGGCUGUUUGAGAGUCUCAACAUUAUCUACCAUGGCCUAUAAAAUUGAACCAAUCACCAUCUCAAAAUAAAAUAAUCGGUAUUGCAAGGAAAUGCAACUCGGUUGUUUACGAGCAAUCACUCUUCCACCCUGAGUUGCGUGUUUGGUUCCUCAUCUCCCAAAAUCGUUCGUAUAAAGGAAAAGAAAAGUAUAACCGUGUGGGACAUAGGAGAUAAGAAAGCAAUUAAAAAGAUAAAACAGCAUGAUCAUGACCCCACAAAAAAAUAAAGAGAAAGUAAAAAGAGGAAGACUUGCUGUGGUCUUUCAACACCUAAUCCUCAUUGCAAAUUGAAGAGCUCUAAAGUGGUCUGGAUCUGUUGAUUUUCAUAAUCUAUGGAAAACAAGUCCCUUCAUCUUCAUCAUCAUCUGAAAACUUGAACGCAGUAAGUUCCUCUUGCAACUAUAUAUGCGGAAUCCAUUAUUUAUAAAUUAAUUAUUUCAUUUUUCUUCAAGAUUGUAUGCUUAAUUAAUUAUUUCAUCGAUAACCAGCUAUAUAAUUUGUUCAGUUUUCAGCCUUAAUUAUUCCAUCAUUCAGUUUGGAUUUAUUGAUCAUCAGUGCAAACAAGCGCCCUCAUGACCUGACAGACUUCCAUGAAACUGCUUCUUGCUACAGAUCUUGUCCAAUAUCCGUGCAGAUUUCGAGUCUUGAAACGUAGGAUUGCAAGGUAAUCCCAAAACUGCCCCAUUUUAUUUGUUCAACAUGUUAAAAUUUAAGAAAAAUGAUGCAUUGCUUACUAGCAUGAUUUUUUCAAUCUUGAGUUUUUAUGGUGUGUUUUAUUGUGCCUUAUCAUUGAGUAAUAUUAUGGUGUACGUGUUUUUCUUUUGACAAACGAUAACGUUAGUAGGUUAAAUUGUUAGUCCCGUACUGGAACACCAACCAGGUUACCCAAAAAAUGAUUCACACACCCAUCUUUAUUCUAUAACUUAAUUCCAUGCUUGUCCCUCGAUACUCGUGAGCGAAAGGGAGGGUCCAAGCGGAUAUGAAAAUGAUCUAUUACUCCAAAGUCUACUUCAUAUGGCCAAUUAUUAGGUGUGUGAUCCUCAUCAUCAACUAUACUUUUUAUAAGGAAUAUCAUUCAUAACCCAGCUAUAAGCAUGCCGAUAUCGUUGAAAGCAUUAAAACAAUGAAAAAUAUGAAGUCUUACCCAGUGGCAGAUCGAAGAUUUUAAUAUCGGUGGUCCUAAUAUAAAGGCCCUAAAAAAUAUUAAGCGAAAAAUAAUAUUGAAAAUUAAAUGCUAGACUACAAUUUUUCAUUCAUAAUUUUUGUACAAACAACAUUACAAGCUACAAAGUACAAAGACUUAUUUGUCAACGAUGAGGUAUGCGUAAUAUCGUUCCAUACUUCUAAUUUCUACACAUAUCAAUUACUCAAAACAAAAAAAAAACAUAUUAAUUGAUGAAGCUAAAAGAAAAAAAAUACCUAUAACUAUUAUGAAUUUAACAUUCUACAACAACAACAACAACAACAACAAAGCCUUUUCCCACUAAGUGGGGUCGGCUAUAUGAAUCCUAGAACGCCAUUGCGCUCGGUUUUGUGUCAUGUCCUCCGUUAGAUCCAAGUACUCUAAGUCUUUUCUUAGAGUCUCUUCCAAAGUUGUCCUAGGUCUUCCUCUACCCCUUCGGCCCUGAACCUCUGUCCCGUAGUCACAUCUUCGAACCGGAGCGUCAGUCGGCCUUCUUUGCACAUGUUCAAAAUCACCGGAGCCGAUUUUCUCUCAUCUUUCCUACAAUUUCGGCUACUCCUACUUUACCUCGGAUAUCCUCAUUCCCAAUCUUAUCCUUUCUCGUGUGCCCACACAUCCCACGAAGCAUCCUCAUCUCCGCUACACCCAUUUUGUGUACGUGUUGAUGCUUCACCACCCAACAUUCUAUGCCAUACAACAUCGCUAGCCUUAUUGCCGUCCUAUAAAAUUUUCCCUUGAGCUUCAGUGGCCUACGACGGUCACACAACACGCCGGAUGCACUCUUUCCAUCCAGCUCGUAUUCUAUGGUUGAGAUCUCCAUCUAAUUCUCCGUUCUCUUGCAAGAUAGAUCCUAGGUAGCGAAAAACGAUCGCUUUUUGUGAUCUUCGCUAGAUUGCUCCGGUCAUUAGUGUGGAUAAGUAUAUAAAUGGAUAGAGAUAGGAAAGCAAACACAAGAUGUACGUGGUUCACCCAGAUUGGCUACGUCCACGGAAUAGAAGAGUUCUCAUUAAUUGUGAAGGGUUUACACAAGUACAUAGGUUCAAGCUCUCAUUUAGUGAGUACAAGUGAAUGAUUUAGUACAAAUGACAUUAGGAAAUAUUGUGGGAGAAUGAUCUCGUAAUCACGAAACUUCUAAGUAUCGGAGUGUGGUGUCGUCUUGACUUGCCUUAUCUAUCUCAUAGGUAGAUGUGGCAUCUUCUCUGGAAGUACUCUUCCUCCAUCCAGGGGUGGUAUCUUUAACUGGUGGAGAUGCACAAGGUAAUGUAUCAAUUUCACUUGAAGCUUACUUGUAGUUUCAGGCUUGGUCAAGCGCGAUACAAACCAUGUAGUAGGAGUCCCCCAAGUCGCCGAGCUAGGGGGUCUGCUGAAAGAGGUGACAGACAAGGUAAGCAAUCAGAGCUCCGACUGAUUGUUCACCUUCUCCCCAUCUUGCAGCAGCAUGAAGGAUAAAGAGAAGAAAAAUGAGAAGAGAUGAUAUGAGAUACUUUUGCUUUUGAAGAAGUAACUUUCCACAGGCUUAUUCUUGAACUGAGCUGGAGGGUUUUCUGGUUUCCUCCAGAGUAUAAGGCCGACUGAAGAAUUUGAGGGUCAAAACAAGUCCAUCAAAUCUAGAGUACGUUCCACCCUGCUGAUAUGGGAUACUUUUGCUUUUGACAGAGUAAUGAAUGUAUCGACCCGUGUGCUGUUACGCUUGUCUCCACAUGCUUCCUUGUAUCCUUCGCACUUGCCCUAUCUGUUCCUCAAGCAGAUGCGGAAUCUUCCCUGGAAACAUAAGAUGUUGAAGAUGAGUACUCGAGAGCAAUGCCAGGUAAGUAAUCAGGUAAGGGGUUCCAGGCAGUCAGUUCCUGGCUGGAAGCUUGAUUCCAAGUGCUGACUGAUUGCUCUCUUUCUCCUUGUCUUGCAGGUAAAAAACAAGGCCAAAAGAAAAGACAGGGAAAAAGCAUGAUAUGGGAUACUCUUGCUUUUAACCCUGAUGAUAUGAGAUAUUCUUGCUCUAGUAUAGCUUGUUUGCAGAGGUAUUAUCGGGGGGAAAGAAAGCUGAAAUAUUUCGAAAGGCUUCGUUGGGAGUGCCCUCUCAAAUAUGAUGAAGGGUUGAGCAUUUUUGCAGGUCUGCCUGUCCGUUGGGGAUGGAGGUCGACAUAUAUAGGAGUCUCCCUAACAACAAGUAGUAAUGCUAUUCCUUUACCCUGCUUGGUCAUAGCACGGUAGUGGGAGCUGCCAGUUUCACAUGUUUUAACUCUGUCAGAGCACUUUGAAAAAGUGGUCUGUGGUAUCUGGCUCUCGAGAUUUGGAGAACGAUGCCUCUUCGAUUUUUGAGAAAGCAAUCAUGCUGGGGGUAUGACUCUCGAGAUUCGGAGAGCAGUGUCUCUUCGAUUUUUGAGGAAGUAAUCAUGUUGGGAGUCUGGCUCUCGAGAUUCGGAGGGCGGUGCCUCUUCGAUUUUGGAGCAAACAAUCUUGUUGGGAGUGUUGUCUCGAAUGUGAGUAAAGGUUGGGCAUGUUUGCUAGUCUACCUUGCCACGAAGCACAAAGGUUGACACACAGGGACUUUCCAAUUAUCCAGCAAUGGUACUGUUCCUUUACCUCUCUCUUCGAUUUUGAGAAAGUAGUCAUGUUGGGAGUCUGGCUCUCGAGAUUCGGAGGAUGGUGCCUCUUCGAUUUUGGAGCAAGCAAUCUUAUUGGGAGUGUUUUUCUCGAAUGUGAGUAAAGGUUGGGCAUGUUUGCUAGUCUACCUUGCCACGAAGCACAGAGGUUGACACACAGGGACUUUCCAAUUAUCCAGCAGUGGUACUGUUCCUUUACAGUUGUGGGUAAUAAUAUGGUAGCUAGACCUUCAAAAUUUAUGUGUCUAAACUUUUGUUAGUGCUGUUUCUUUGCUAUUCUUUUACCUUUCUUGGUCAGAGCGAUGUAGUGGGAGCUGCAAGCUUCACGUGCUCAACUUUGGCAGAGAACUUUGGCAAAGUUAUUUGUGGUACCCAUGAGCUAUUGUUGCGUGUGGGAAGUGGGUGUGAUUGAACAGUAAGAUUCAUGUGCUUUCUACUUCACCAGAAGUCUUCGACAGAAUGCCCAUAAUUUCUGCAAAGCUGAGUGUGCGUGUGACAGGUGCUGACAAGGCUAGAAAAGUAGGUGCCUCUUCGAUUUCUGAGAUCGGCCCUCGUGGUCUCUGAGCAGCCCAGCUUUUGAGAAAGCGAGCGCCUCUUCGAUUGAUUCGGAGAACGAUGCCUCAUCGAUUUUUGAGAAAGCAAUCAUGCUGGGGGUCUGGCUCUCGAGAUUCGGGGAGCAGUGUCUCUUCGAUUUUUGAGAAAGUAAUCAUGUUGGGAGUCUGGCUCUCGAGAUUCGGAGGGCGGUGCCUCUUCGAUUUUGGAGCAAGCAAUCUUGUUGGGAGUGUUUUCUCGAAUGUGAGUAAAGGUUGGGCAUGUUUGCUAGUCUACCUUGCCACGAAGCACAGAGGUUGACACACAGGGAGUUUCCAAUUAUCCAGCAAUGGUACUGUUCCUUUACCCUCUCUUCGAUUUUUAAGAAAGUAGUCAUGUUGGGAGUCUGGCUCUCGAGAUUCGGAGGACGGUGCCUCUUCGAUUUUGGAGCAAGCAAUCUUAUUGGGAGUGUUUUCUCGAAUGUGAGUAAAGGUUGGGCAUGUUUGCUAGUCUACCUUGCCACGAAGCACAGAGGUUGACACACAGGGACUUUCCAAUUAUCCAGCAGUGGUACUGUUCCUUUACCCUUGUGGGUAAUAAUAUGGUAGUUAGACCUUCAAAAUUUAUGGGUCUAAACUUUGUUAGUGCUGUUUCUUUGCUAUUCUUUUACCCUUCUUGGUCAGAGCGAUGUAGUGGGAGCUGCAAGCUUCACGUGCUCAACUUUGGCAGAGAACUUUGGCAAAGUUAUCUGUGGUACCCAUGAGCUAUUGUUGCGUGUGGGAAGUGGGUGAUUGAACAGUAAGAUUCAUGUGUUUUCUACUUCCCCAGAAGUCUUUGACAGAAUGCCCAUAAUUUCCGCAAAACUGAGUGUGCGUGUGACAGGUGCUGACAAGGCUGGAAAAGGCUGGAAAAAGUAGGUGCCUCUUCGAUUUCUGAUAUCGGCCCUCGUGGUCUCUGGGGAGCCCAGCUUUUGAGAAAGCGAGCGCCUCUUCGAUUUUUGAGAUCGGCCUUCGUGGUCUUUGAGCAGCCCAACUUUUGAGAAAGCAAACGCCUCUUCGAUUUCUGAGAUCAACCCUCGUGAUCUCUAAGCAGCCCAGCUUUUGAGAAAGCAAACGCCUCUUCGAUUUCUGAGCAGGCGCCUCUUCGAUUUCUGAAGCUUCGUCGAGUGCAGAUUUUUAUAGGGGCUGGCAUUAAGUUCCAAAGCACACUUGAAUCUCCACCAGUAGAAGCUUCAUUCUUGCACUUCUAAGAUCUUGAUUUGUCCGACCUCUUCUCUCUUCAACACCUUUGAAAAUGUCUGGCCCCUCCGACCGUCGUUUUGACUUGAACCUUGUUGAAGAGGCAGCCCCGCCUUCUCCAGACAACAUAUGGCGCCCAUCCUUCGUCUCCCCUACUGGUCCUCUUACCGUUGGGGAUUCCGUGAUGAAGAAUGAUAUGACCGCUGCGGUGGUGGCCAGGAACCUUCUCACUCCCAAAGAUAACAGACUACUUUCCAAACGGUCUGAUGAGUUAGCUGUUAAGGAUUCGCUGGCUCUCAGUGUUCAGUGUGCAGGUUCUGUGUCUAAUAUGGCCCAACGCCUAUUUGCUCGAACCCGCCAAGUUGAAUCAUUGGCGGCUGAAGUGAUGAGUCUCAAACAGGAGAUUAGAGGGCUCAAGCAUGAGAAUAAACAGUUGCACCGGCUCGCACAUGACUAUGCUACAAACAUGAAGAGGAAGCUUGACCAGAUGAAGGAAACUGAUGGUCAGGUUUUACUUGAUCAUCAGAGAUUUGUGGGUUUGUUCCAAAGGCAUUUAUUGCCUUCGUCUUCUGGGGCUGUACCGCGUAAUGAAGCUCCAAAUGAUCAACCUCUGAUGCCUCCUCCUUCUAGGGUUCUGUCCAGUACUGAGGCUCCAAAUGAUCCCCCUCCGGUGCCUUCUCUUUCUGGGGCUCUACCGACUGCUGAGACUUCUCCUAAGCAACCUUUGUGAAGGCUCCCUCUUGUGUGCUUAUUUUGACUCAUGUAUAUGUACAUAUUUGUAGCUUAUCGGGGAUAUCAAUAAAUAAGCUUUCCUUGUACAUAUUUGUAGCUUAUCGGGGAUAUCAAAAAAUCAUAAUAGUUAAAACAAUACCUAUAAUUAUUAUGAAUUUAACAUUCUACAUGAUUAAUUUAGACUAAAAUAAAAAUCUCAGUUAAAUUUAGAAACGAGGGGAUUAAGUGGUGGUGAAGAAAGGACAGCAGAAUGGUAGGUUAUGUCGGUGGUGUGGACCGUGUGAUCAAUCUGAUCGUGGUUUGUGGAGACUGGAGAGGAGACUGGUAUUGUGCUGAUGGUCUUCGGUUGGGACAAGGAUUGUCUGCCCUUCCACUUCCGGUGUCCUUCCGUGUCCUCCUGUUUUGUGUGGUCACAGUUAAGCCAAGUUAACAUUUUAUAUUGUUUUUUUAUAGAGAUAAUAAGACAAAAAUGAAUAGUAAUAUAAAAUGUUGACGUGACUUAACCGUGACCAUACAAAUAAGAGGGCACGAGAGGGCAUUGGAAGUGGGAGGGUAGACAAUCCUUGUCCCUUCGGUUGAGUGGGGUGGGGUUUUCAAGCUACGCAUCAAAACACACCGUUUUACUUAAAUGACUUGACUCCUUUAAAAAGAAAAAAAAGAAAAAAAAGAAAAAAAAAAAACUUCUUCUCUCCAUCUCGGUUGCAGAAUACCAGAAGACCCACCAGAAGUCAGAACACGGUGCGGCCCCACUCUUCUUCUCCUCCACCACACUUGGUGGUCCACGGAGGUCCUUGCAGCCACUUGUUCGGGCUUCCGGAUGGUCCCAAGACCACCCAAGUCUCUUAGUAGAUGGUAUUACCUCAUGUGAAGCUUCCGAAACAACUUUGAUAUAUUUUUCUCAAAUUAUUAUGAUUGGUUGAAAUUUUUUUUUUAAUUUCCAGCCACGUUAAUUAAGGAUGAAUCAUUUUAUCUCUUAUUUAAGAAUAUUUGUUAAAAACAAAUGUAAAAAUAUUUGUUCCUUGAUCCUAACUUAUUUUGUAUAUAUUAGGAAAAAGAACAUUUCCAUAAAACGUAACAGGACUGCAUACCUGACGGGACGGUUAUGGUGUAGGCAAUCCCUAGCCAUUCCCAAAUUGUCACCUCUAGAUAUGCUUUGCUAGGAGUCCAUUAAUUGAUUACUUCACUGUUACUAUAAAUUUGUAUGUGAUUGCGCAGGCAUCAAUAAUUACUUCUCAUCAUUUUAAUUUGUGCAGUUGUGACUAUUUCUGAGCCUCAACAGAUCAAGCUUCCAAAUUUCCAAGGAACUAGUCUUUGGCUGUUACUCUUCCCUUCGUUGAGUUCUGCACCUCAAUAUUGCUCAAGAACGUUUCACUAUUUCUUUGAUUUCUUGGAGUGCCCUUCACUCUUAACAUGGCACUGGGAGAGGGUUUUCUUGCGGCGUUUCUAAAGGUGCUGCUCAACAGGUUGACCUCCCGCGAGAUUCUCAACUACAUUGGAAACUUCCGGGGCGUCAGAAAGAAGCUGGACAAGUGGAGGGCCGUGUUAACUGCAAUAGGAGCGGUGCUCAGCGAUGCCGAGGAAAAACAACUCACUGAGGAUGCUGUGAAACUGUGGCUCGAUGAUCUCAGAGACUUGGCUUAUGAUGUCGAAGACAUGUUGGACAAAUUUGACACCCAAAUGUUGAAGCGCAUGAUAGAGGGACGUGAUCAAGCCCGCACAAGCAACAAGGUGCGGACCUCACUUUUCAAAAUUAAAUUCAAUAGGGAUAUGAACUCCGAAAUGAAGAAGAUUACGGAGCGGUUGCAAGACAUAUCUGAACGGAAAGAGAAGUUUGGCUUGAAAGAUACUGGGACGUCUGCUAAGGAAUCGCGAAGUCUACCAAGUUCAGAUGUGUUAGAUGAAAAGCUAGUUGUUGGAAGGGAUGGUGACAAAGGGGAGAUUAUUGAAUUGUUGUCAAGAAAAUACGAGCAUGAAGGUGCUGUCAAUUUUGGUGUAGUUGCUAUAGUUGGCAUGCCCGGAGUUGGGAAGAUGACACUUGCUCAACUUGUAUUCAACCACAAAGAUGAUGCCAUGAAGGAGUUUGAGCCUAAGGUGUGGGUAUCUGUGUCUGAUGACUUCAAUGUGGUGCGAGUGACAAAGGCAAUUCUUGAAUCCAUCACAUCCCGACCCGUUCAAAUGGAGGAGUUUAGUAAAAUUCAGCAUGAUUUGUGUGAGCAAUUAAGAGGAAAAAAGUUUUUAAUCGUGUUAGAUGAUAUCUGGAACAAAGGCGACUAUGAUCUACACGAUCUCUGGACAAGACUUAAAUCCCCUUUUGGCGUCGGAGCAGGAGGAAGUAAGAUUAUUGUGACAACCCGUGAUGUGCAUGUUGCAAGGACUAUGGGAGCCACGGGAGUUCAUAAUUUGGAAUGUAUGGCAGAUGAUGAUUGUUUGGAAAUAUUUGAGCGACAUGCAUUUGGGGAAGUUAAUAGUGUAAAACCAGUAAAUUAUGAGUUGAUUCGGACAAAAAUUGUUGAAAAAUGUUGUGGCUUACCAUUAGCUGCGAGGACUCUCGGUGGUCUCUUACUUUGCAAAGAAAAAGAUGAGUGGGGAGAAAUAUUGGACAACAAACUAUGGAAUCUUGCAGAUAACAGUAGCCUUCUCCCCGUACUAAAGUUGAGCUAUCACUAUCUUCCAUCACAUUUGAAGAGGUGUUUUGCCUACUGCUCAAUACUUCCAAAUGACUACGAAUUUUGGGAGAAGCGGCUCGUCCUUUUGUGGAUGGCAGAGGGUUUGAUUCAACAAAAACCUGAUGACAAUAAACAAAUGGAGGAUUUGGGCCGCGACUACUUUCGAGAGCUAUUAGCAAGGUCGCUGUUUCAAGAAUCAAGCAAAACCAAUUCAAGAUAUGUAAUGCAUGACCUCGUUAAUGAUUUAGCACAUUGGGCAGCAGGAGAAAUAUGUUUUAGGUUGGAAGAUAAGCAAGGUGAUAACUUGCAAAGCACUUGCUUUCAAAGGGCUCGCCAUUCGUCUUUCAUUGCUGGUGAAUUUGAUGGAGUUACGAGAUUUGAGGACUUCCCAAAAGCUGAACGCUUGCGAACAUUCCUGCCACUUUCACUUUCAGAUUCUGGUGGAUGGUACAAAUGUUUGUCUCGUAAGGUUACUUUUGAGCUAUUACCACAGUUGCAAUACUUACGAGUGCUCUCGUUCAAUUGCUACACAAUAACUGAGCUGCCAAAGUCAAUCGGUGAUUUGAGGUUGUUACAGUAUCUUGACCUUUCCUACACAGAUAUAACCUGUUUGCCUAAGUCAACAAGCACUCUUUACCACUUGCAAACAUUGAUAUUGGAAGGUUGUUCUAAAUUGAAGUCAUUGCCCACAAACAUGAGUAAUCUAAUUAAUUUGCGCCAUCUCAACAACUCAGGUGCAUAUUCGUUGGAAGGAAUGCCUUGGCAACUAGGUCGAUUGACGAAUCUACAAUCAUUGCCUCUUUUUGUGGUGAGCAAAGGUAGUGAUCAAUCAGGGAUAAGAGAGAUAGGGCCCCUAUUGCAUCUUCGAGGGACACUGUGCCUCUCAAGAUUGGAGAAUGUGACUGAUGUCAAGGAUGCCAGGAGGGCCAACUUGAAAUGCAAGGAGAGGCUUGAUUCGUUGGUCCUAAAAUGGUCUCAUUCAAGCGACACGAGAGAAACGGAAUCCGUUGUGCUUGACAUGUUAGAGCCUCAUACAAAGCUCAAGGAGCUCACCAUCAAGAGUUAUGCCGUAGAGGAAUUUUCAUCAUGGGUUGGAGGUCAUUUGUUCUCUAAUAUGGUGCUUGUGCGGUUAGAGGAAUGUAACAAUUGUUUAUCGGUGCCACCUCUCGGACAAUUGCCUCAUCUCAAAGAACUUUAUAUUAGAGGAAUGAAUGCAGUGGAAAGUGUUGGUGCUGAGUUUUAUGGCGAGUGUAUCUUGCCUUUUCCGCUGUUAGAGAUUCUUGAGUUUGUGGAUAUGUAGCAUUGGAAGGUGUGGCUUCCUUUCCAACUGGAUCACGAAAGUGCUUUUUUCCCUUGCCUGAAAAGGCUUUCAAUCAAACGAUGUUCAAAGUUGGAAGGUGAGCUGCCAGAGAAGCUCGAUUUGUUAGCCGAACUUGAAAUUGUUAAAUGUGAGGAAUUGGUGGUUUCGAUUGCCAACUACAAACAACUUCGUCAAAUAAAAAUUGACGGUUGUAAAGUGUUGGUACAUACAGAUGCUAAGGUUGAGUUUGAGUUAUUAGAGUCCUUGUGGCUUUCAAACAUUUCGGAGGUGACGUCUCUGCAAACAGGGGAAUUGUUCAGGAAGGGAUUAAGCAAGGUUAGAGAUUUGAAGAUCCAUGGAUGUGAGAAGCUGACGUCUUUAUGGAAGAAUGAGGAUGCUAAGGUUGAGUUUGAGUUAUUAGAGUCCUUGUGGCUUUCAAACAUUUCGGAGGUGACGUCUCUGCUAACAGGGGAAUUGUUCAGGAAGGGAUUAAGCAAGGUUAGAGAUUUGAAGAUCCAUGGAUGUGAGAAGUUGACGUCUUUAUGGAAGAAUGAGGCUAGAUUAUUGCAGCGGUUGACUUGUCUUGGCCGUUUGGAAAUUGAAGACAACUCUUGUCUAGUUGAAGAAUUGGGAAAAGAAGCAGAGGAGUUGAUGCAAUUGCAAAUAUUGGAGUGCAAGCUUGAAUUUCUGGAGUUAAACAAGUGCGAAAAUCUUUGGACGCUACCAAAAGGAUUAAAUCAGCUGUCGUCUCUUAAAGAGCUUCGCAUUCACGAAUGUUCACGUCUAGUUUCUUUCCCAGAUGUUGGUCUGCCACCUUCUCUUAAAGACAUUGAGAUUAUAUCGUGCGCUUCGUUGAUAUAUUUUGCAAAAUUCCAGAUUCCCCAAAAUCUAAGAAGAAUAGAUAUAAGAGAUUGCAAAAGUUUGAAAUCACUAGUAGAUGAGGAGGAAUGUGAACGACUGGGUUUAAUAGCACCGAACGGGUUCUUCAGCGACAACACCAAUCACUGCCUUGAAUAUAUUCUGAUCUCGAAUUGCCAAAAUCUGAAAUCCUUACCGGAUGGCUUAUGCCACCUCAGCAAUCUUCAAAAGCUAUAUAUUGAACUAUGUGGAAGUCUUGUUUCCAUCCCGAGACUGAGUGGGGGGAGAAGACCCUCCAACCUGAGAACGAUCUGGAUCAUCGGAUGCGACAAAUUGGAGGCGUUGCCCGAAAACAUGCACAAUCUCAACUCUCUUGAGGAUUUGAGCAUCGACUACCGUGAAGGUUUGACUUUUCCUCCCAACCUAACAUCACUUGAUCUUUGGAAGGUCAAGAGUUGUAAGUCAUUGUGGGAGUUGGAGUGGGGGUUGCACAGACUCACCUCUCUUAGAUACUUGUAUAUCGACAGUGAAGACCCGGAUACGGUGUCGUUUCCACCCGACAUGGUACGGAUGGAGACGCUCUUCCCCAAAUCUCUCACUAACCUCGCAAUAGGUGGCUUCCCGAAUCUAAAGAAACUGAGCAGCAAGGGCUUUCAAUUCCUCACCUCCCUUCAAUCUCUGAAACUCUUCCGUUGUCCAAAGCUAGCAUCUAUUCCAAAGGAGGGUCUGCCUCCUUCGCUAGAGGAACUUUGGAUCGAAGGGUGUCCAGUGCUAAAAGAGAGAUGUCAACCAGGAAAAGGACGCUACUGGCACAAAAUAUCCCACAUCCCUUACAUAAGGAUAGAUUAUAAGAAGAUAUGAAGCUGAUGGUCCAGGUAUCAUCUCUCGAGGAAUGUUUUAAUAUUAAUAUUAUUAUUAUUAAUAUCUCACAUCCCUUUCAUAAGCAUAGAUUGGGAGUUGAUAUGAAGCUGAUGGUCCAGGUAUCAUCUCUCAAGGAAUGUUUUAAUAUUAAUAUUAUUAUUAUUAUUAAUCAUCUUUAUUCUUGUAAAGUAAAGUAAUCCACAUAUUUUGGUUUGGGUCAAGGCUUUGGGGGUUGAGGAGUGGCUACUUUGGGAGGCCUUUCAAUUGGCGUCAACGGGGAUAUUUCUCCGCCAACGUUUCUUCUCCCAGAUUCCUAUAUUUGCUUCUUUCUUUCUUUUUUUUAUUGGUAAACGAUUGCUAUGUUUGCUUGGUCCCUUUUCAUUGAUUUGUAUUAUAACUUUAUAAAUGUGCUACUCUUUCUCCCAGCAAGAUUUUAAUCAGGCCACUUUAAUCUAAUCUUUUAUUUUAUUUUAGCAAAUUUUGACUUAUGAGCUAGUAAUGCAUUUUAUUUAAUGCAUCGAGAAUAAGCAAUCAACAAAGAAAUGGAAAUGUAAAGAGCUCGUUGCUCAAGUGGGUACAAGAGUGAUUUUACCCUUGGCCGUUUGUUAUGCACUUGCUAGAGGCUUGUGGAACGAUGACCACUAAAUGACUUCCUUUACUAUAACUUGUCUUCCUGAAAGUAGAAAAUACGUGCCAACGAAUUUUGGUCAAUCAAAUCCUUAUACCAAGCCUUCAUCACUUGUUCAAAAAAUGCAUUAUUCAUCUAAUUGAUAUGUGAUAAAUUGGUGAUGAUUAUGCAUUUUAACCGAGUUCUAAGGAAAAUUGAAGAUAGUAAUACAUCAGUACUAAAACUACAAAAUAUUACUGAAUUUGUAUACUUAUUACUUGGGUGCCCUCUGCCUUGCUGUGCUGAAUAACAAUGAGAAUAUAUUACUGAAUUCUAGCAGGAAAAAGGCAGGCCACUCUCAAAAUUUGGUGAAUGGGACGUCAAUGAUCCUGCUUCAGCUGAGGGGUUUACUGUGAUCUUUAACAAGGCUAGGGAUGAGAAGAAGACAGGUGGAAAACCGGAGUCACCAGGAAAGGUUGAUCCUAAUAUCAGGCAUGGAGGAGUGGAUACUGGCACUGGCACUGGCAGGCCUUCGUCUGUAAGAUUUUUUCUCAUAACUCUGUCUCAUUUCUUUGUCUAAUGAUUUGAUAAUAUACACAUGAGACAGCCAAUAGCAAUACAUUCUUUACGGUUUUCUUAGUUGCAAGUUAUUGCUUUUCAAGUGACGUCAGUAGUACAACACAGCAUACCAUUUGAUGUGAAAAUCAAUGCAACUGACUUAUAUAGAACUCUAGUAAGGAAAUGUGGCAAAAGACAGAUCUAAUGUUAGGGCCAAGAUAUUUGAAAAAUAAAAGAACACAAGAUGAUUCGGCUGUUUUAUCUGCAUUAUUCCAUGGGAGUGGAAUUGGCAUACGUUAACUUCACUCAGGUUCCAUCUCCUUUUAGACAGAUGUAGCCUAAUAGGAACAUUUGUUUGUUUUAUUGUGAACAAUUGAAAGAACUAUUGGCCCUUGAAAUAUUUGCUCUUGUCAAUUGAUCAUUGUGUGGCCUUUUCGUUUUCUGUGUCUGCUGCAUUUCCAAUUAGUAGAAUAAUAGAACGAAUAACUGGACGGUAAUUAUUUCUGCUGCCAAAAUCUAAUAUGCUUAAAUUCCUCACUCUUUGUGGAUGAUUUGAUUUGGUUUGAUUUCCUGGUGCACAGAAAAAAUGGUUUUGCAGCAUUCAUCAACCACCAGCAGUUUUGUUGACAAUGUUGUUCUCCUAAGUGCUCCGAUGGAGGAGCACGGUGUUCUGUAACUGGCUCCACUAUAUUUCCUCUCUCACUGUAUGUCUAUGAAAUUGGCAGCCGGGUAAGUGAAGUUUGAAGCAAUGGUUAGCAGUUUGCCUAAGGAAAUCGUACAUGAUAUCCUUUUGAGACUACCUCCUAAAGCUUUGAUGAGAUGCACCUCGGUGUCCAAGCCUUGGAACUCCAUGAUAAAAAGUCCCAGCUUUAUUCGCACCAAGGUAUAAAAUAUCAAUGAUAUCGGAAAUGUCGGUAGUCCAAAAACACGGAAAUUUCGAUGGAAAUAUCGGGAUAUUAUCGAUAUCGAUAAAAAUUGAAUAAAAACCAUGGAAAUUGUUAGAAAAACUUGGAAAUUUUUAUUGAAACUUUGCUGGAUGUUUAUUUAGUCAAUUAUCUAUUAGUUUAUUACAAAAAAUUGGAAGGAAAUGCAUUGCAUGAUAGAUAUAACUGAUUUAAAUUGAUUAUAUAGCGAGCUGGCAAACAUGGUGAGUGUAGAAAAUAUGUAGUAAUUAAUGAAAGAAGUUUAAACACACCAUAAUCAUUUAUAUAUAAUGAAUUAGUACAAUAUUUUACACUUUAUACAUUUCAUGGUAAGAUACAUGAGUGACUUAGCAAGGUCUAAAAUAUCGAUGAUAUCGGAAAUAUCGGUAGUCCAAAAAAAUAUCACUAGUCCAAAAACGCGGAAAUUUCGAUGGAAAUAUCGGGAUAUUAUGGAUAUUUUAGACCAUGAUUCGCACCCACCUCAGCCGUACCAUCGAUUUUAAGCAGUUUGGCACCCACCGACUCCUUCUGCAUUGUGUUAGUGGAGACAAUCCAGUGGAGCAGAAUUACUAUUUGCAUUAUGAUAACCAUGCUUUUGAUGAGUACUGCAAGCUAGAGUAUCCAAGUGUUCCCAAGCGCAAGAGAUUUCUUCGUGUGGUCGGAAUGCGAGGAUCCGAAUACUUUUUAUGGGCUUAUUCACUUGCUAGAGGCUUGUGGAGUAGUCCUUGUUCUUUUGAUCCCGUUUGUAAAGUUUUUUAUUCUUGCAAAUUUCAGGCUUUUGUGAACUGGGCAGUUCAUUGGCUGGCAUGGCGCUGCUUGAACGAUGGUCGUUAUCAAAAUUUCAUUUUAGCAAUUGAUGUGGACGGUGAGUUAUUUUGCGAGAUAAGGGUGCUAAAGAGUUUCAGACAGGAUGAACCAUUAGAUUAUCACUUGUCUGUUUCAGGUGAUGGAAACUCCGUUGCUAUGUUCACGACAACGCGUGGUCGUAAUUGUCCUGAGGAUUUUCUUGACAUAUGGGUGAUGAAAGAGUAUGGCAUCGAGGAUUCAUGGGCCAAACUGAUAACUCUAAGUCCACCGGAUCCGGAAAGAAGGGUGCCCUACAAGCCCUUAUGUUUUAGGAACAAUGGUGAAGUAGUGUCCUGACUUUAUCACUUGUUCUAGUAAAAAACGUCGCAUGUACUGGGAUUUUCUCAGGGAUGCCUUGUGAUAUUCUGACAUGGGUAAAUUGUAGCAAUGGUCCCUCAUUUUUUAAUCAAAUUGGAGCAAUGAUUCGUCAACUAAAAUUUCAUUACCAUUGGUCCCUCAAUUUAUGAAAAUGUGUAGCUAUAGUCAUAUUCAUCAAUUUUGUCUAAAUAAGUUAUGUUGGAAUAAUCAUUUAUAUAAUUAGGGUCCCUCAAUUCAUCAAAGUGUGUAAUUAAGGUUCUUUUCGUCAACUACGUCAAAAUUUUUGUCAAAACGAGUUAUGUUGGACGGAUCAUUGCUACAAUUAGGUUAAAGUUAAGGGACUAUUUCUCCAGUUGAAUUAAAGUUGAGGGAUCAAUGGUAAUAGAUUUUUAGUUAAGAGACCAUAGCUGCACAUUUUGAUGAGUUGAGGGACCAAUAAUAAUGAAUUUUUAGUUGAGUGACCAUUGCUCCAAUUGAGUUAAAGUUAAGAGACCAUAGCUACAAUUUACUCUUCUAACAUUGCUGGAUGUUAGCUAGAGAUGAACAUUUUUCCUUUAGUUUGUCUGUUAAUUUAGAGACCUAGAAGAAGUUGCUUAUCACAACAUGUUGCCAAUGUUCAUGGAUAUAUACAGUUAAAUUAAUUUCUUUGAAAUUGCUUGUGAUAUUUUCGUGCCAAAUAGGAAGAGAAGAAAAUUGCAUAUCUUAUUUUUUUAGCUCUAAUAAGAUUUAUCUAGUCACGAGACUUUUACAAUAACUUUUGCUCCUAUGGUCAACCAAAAUAAUAAUAUUACAGUAGAGACUAGUAGUCCAUUAGUAAUUGUGUGUUCAACUGAAAGCAGCGAGAAAAAUACGUACCUUUUUCUCUUCUCUGUUUUCAAAGAAUUUUUUAUCUUCUUCCUCUGCAACCCUUGCAUGCAGGUUUGGCAGUAAAGUAAGUUUCCGCGCAAUUAAAAUAAUGGCAAACUAAUCUUUCGGUUUCGUACGAAGAUAGGAUAAUUUAUACUAAAUUAUUUUUUUGUCUUUUAUUAAAGAAUACAUUUAUAAAAAAAUAAAAAAAGAAGUUUUAAGUGUUUGGGAUCUUUUAAAUACCAAUUUCAAUACAGCUAUUAGUUUAAGUAACAUAAUUUUUAGUUUAGGUGCCAAUGAAAAAAUCAACUAAAAUAAUUCUAUAAAAACUAUUAUAAUUCAAAAUAAUUAUACGAUUGCCGCGUUUUCCGACCUGCCAACUGUAUUCGCAACCACCUCACCCUUACAAUCAAUCUUAAUAACCACGUUUCGACUGACCUCCUUGUACUGCAUUGUAUUCGCAUACACGAGCCAAGGGAGGAGCAUUAGUAUUUGCAUUAUGAUAAAUAACCAUGAUUUUGAUGAGUACUGUAGACUAGAAUUUCCAAUCAUUCCCAAGGGAGAAUGGUUUAAUACGACCUAUAGACUACAAGAACUCAAAUUCCUUUUUUGUUAUCUUCUGUAAACCAUCCAUUAGAGCUCUCGGCAGGCAGUGACCAUUUUUGAGGAAUGACUAGACACAUGUUGGGGCAUCAUCAUGACAUCAUAGGUGAACAAUACGAUUUCGCGUUUAAGUUUCUCUCUAUAUACAUCGUGUUAACUUUGUUUUUCUACUUUCCUAGCACGUUCCGGUUCGUGUAUUUUCAGUUUUUGUAUAGUGGAAAGGUCAAGUUGGUAGUAGAUUGACAUAGCGAAAAAAUUACUUGUCACUAAUUCAGUUUACCAAGCUUAAUUGGUCUCUCUUAACUUACAAAAUUGUCAUAAUAAGCUAGUAGUUUCACUUCAUGGAAAUCUUGCUCAAUGUUGUUUGACUUGUUUCCCUUCUUAAACAUCGAUCGAGAUGUUCGUUAAUUAAAUGCUAAUAAUACUUGCUCUUCACCUUCAAAUGGAUCAUAAGUUAAUAUAGCUCUGUGAUUAAUUAAGUAGUAUGACUCCAAAAUGGUAAAAGCAUAAUCCAUGAUAAUUUUGGUAAAUCUGAUCUCGGCAAGAUCAUGUUCUUCUCUUCUUGUUGUGUGGCUCACGUUGUUUCAGAGUCUUUUACUGUUUAAAAUUAAUUACUAUUCCACCCGAAGUUUCACGUUUGGGUCCUCUUCUUAUAGCGGAAACGAAAAAGUAUAACCGUGUAGGAUAUUUGCGAUAAGAAAGCAAUCAAAAAGAAAACAAUAUGACCCCACGAAAAAUAAAGAGAGAACAAAAACAAGGAAUCUUUCUUUCUUUACGGGCAGAAAGAUGAAGACAUGUUAGUCUUUUAACACGUAUCGCAAUGGCAAAUUGAAGUAGUUAUCGUCGAAAGAGGAAGACUUGUUAUAGUCUUUCAAGUCGACACCUAAUUAUCCUAGCAAAUUGAUCUGUAAAGUAGUCUACAAAAACUCAAAUUCCAUUUAAACUACCUGUUUUAUUAAAGGAAUAUACUAUCCGCAUAUCUAUUUUUACUUAUCAGACACUCUUUUUUACUUCUCACAUCCCCUUUGUUAACUUUUGUCCUUUGAUCUACUUCAAUUCAUCCGAUCCGACACCGAAAAUUAAAAUGAUGUGUGAGAAGUAAAAAAAGGUGUGUGGAUAUCACACCAUUUUACUAAAUCCUAAAUUGUAUAACUCCUUCAAAUAUAUCAAAGGCGAAUAUGGUACCUUCUGUAAACAAUCCGGUAGAGCUCUCAGCAGGCAAUGAUAAUAUUUAGGGAAUGACUAGACACAUGUUGGGACGUUAUCGUGACAUCAUGGGUUAACAAUACAAUUUGUGUUUAAAUUUCUCUUCACUAGCUUAGUUUUUCUACUUUCCUAACAUGUUCGGGUUCGUGCAUUUUCAGCUUUUGGGUAGUGGAAAAGUCAAGUUGCUGGUAGACUAAGUAGUGAACAAGUAGAUUCACACGGCAAUACAUAAGUCAAAAAUUACUCGUCACUAAUUCAGUUCUACCGAGUUUAGUUUGUCUCUCUUAAUCUUCAAACUUACAUAAUAAGCUAGUAAUUUCACUUCAUGAAAAUCUUGCUCAAAGUUGUUUGACUUGUUUCCUUUCUUUAGCAGCUAGACGUUCAAUUAUAUGCUAAUAAAACUUGCUCUUCAUCUUCAAUUGAUCUAAAAUAUAGCUCUGCGACUAAUUAAGUAGUAUGACUACAAGAUGGUUAACAAUAAUCCAUGGUAACCUUUUGCAGGAUCAUUUUCUUCUUCUUUGUGUUGUGUGGCUUAGGCUGUUUGAGUCUUUUACUACUUUAAAUUAAUUUAAGGAAAACUAAUGAAAAUGACUUGAAAACUUUGAGUUUUAACGAAAAUGACAAAAAUGUGUUGUAAAUGAAUAGUAUCAAUAUUGACUUUUUAGAGUAAAAAUGUGAUUUUUUGUUAAAGUAACAGUACCUUGAGUUUUUCUUCGUUAAAGUUUCGUUAAAUUUAUUGUCUCAACAUUAUCUACAAUGGCCUAAAAAAUUAAUCACCCUUUCAAACUAAUAUAAUCGGUAUUGCAAGAAAUGCAACUCAGUUGUUUACCAGCAAUCACCCUUUCACCCUAAAUUGCGUGUUUGGUUCCUCAUCUCCCAAAAUCGUUCGUAUAAAUGAAAAGAAAAUGUAUAACCGUGUAGGACAUAGGAGAUAAGAAAGCAAUUAAAAAGAUAAAAGAGGAAUCUGUCUUUUUUGGCAGAAAGAGGAAGACUUGUUAUAGUCUUUCAACACCUAAUCAUCAUUGCAAUUUGAAGAGCCUCGACUAGAAGAAAAAGACGUCUUAUGUACUCGGAAUUUUCUCCGGGAUGCCUUGUGAUAUUCUGAUAUUGCUGCUAGAAAUAAACAUUUUUCCUUAAGUUUGUCUGCUAAUUUACCGUCCUAGAAAAAGUUGCUUAUCACAACAUGUUGCCAAUGUUCAUGGACAUAUACAGUUAAUGAGUUUCUAUGAAAAUGUUGUCGAUAUUUUCGUGCCAAAUGUUGAGUGCAUCAUCUAUUUGUUGUAGCCUUAAUUUCUAGUUGCCCUCCAACUUUCAACGUUGCUUUGCUUAAUUGCAAACCUUUCAUCUCUUAUUGUGCUUUCUUCUCAAUAUUCUCACACCUCUAUAAGGCGAGAAGCAAAUUACAUAUCUCGGUUUCAAAGCUUUAAUAAGAUUUAUAUCUCUCUCAUUACAAAACUUUUACAAUAAAUUUUCCUCCCAUGGUCUAUCAAAAUAAUAAUAUUUCAGCAGCGACUAUCUAUUAUCAUAAAUUUUGGUGCAUUUGAAAGCAGCGAGAACAAUACAUUUUUAUUUUAUUUUUUCUCAAAUAAAUUUUUUGGUCAUUUUCCUCUGCAACCCUUGAGUUUCAACCCACUUUAUUUAUAAGAGUGAGGAGAACAAAUUUUUAAACCAAAUUUUGUAAAUAAAAUGAUAUGUCACUAAUAAAAAAUAAGUACGUUAAUUAAUACUUGAAUAAUUUGAUCUCUCUAACAUUAUUCUUAAAAUAAUGGUAAACUAAUUUUUUUAUUUAUUUUUACGAAUGAUAGAAUAAUCUAUUAAACUAUUGUGUUUUUUUUCUUUUUGUGAACAAUAAGACAAUAAACUAUUAUUUCGCCUUUUAUUAAAGAGUACUAAAAAAACGAAGUUUUUGAGAUCUUUUAAGUACCAAUUCCAAUAAAACUUUCAGGGUAAGUAACGUGAUUUUUAGUUUACAAAUAUUAAAAAAAACUAAUGAAAAUGACUUGAAAAUUUUGAGUUUUAAUGAAAAAGACAAAAAUGUGUUGUAAGUGAAUAGUACCAGAAUUGACAUUUUAAAGUAAAAAUGUGGUUUUUUGUUAAAGUGAGCAGUACCGAAAGAGUUUCGUUAAAGCUCCCAAAUACUAAUGAAAAAGUUAACCAAAAUAAAUCUACAGAUAUUAGAGCAAGUCCAUCCCUGAAAACUUUGUGCCAGCACCCAGCGUAUUUAUAUCUCCAUCGGCACCCGGAUGCAGUGUUAAAUGAGCAAGGGGGCUAUAGAAACUUCUUUUCGAACGACUCCACUCAAAGUUGUUUGGGAGCAUAUGCUCCUAUCAACUUUACACGGGACACACAAAAGAAGUACUUUGAUCCUAUUAGACGGGGAAGGGUGAAGAAGCUAGGACAGAAGGGUAGAGUUCAAGAGAGCAAAAUGCGUUUAGGAACGUGGAAUAUAGGAACCUUGACGGGAAAAUCUAUGGAAGUAGUAGAAGUUAUGGUGAGGAGAAGGAUAAAUAUUAUGUGCCUACAAGAAACUAAGUGGGUUGGGCGUAAGGCAAAGGAUCUAGAAAACUCAGGGUUUAAACUAUGGUAUUCGGGCACAAAUAGAACGAGAAACGGUGUUGGCAUCAUCGUGGACAAGACCUUGACACAAGAUGUUGUAGAUGUCAAGAGGGUAGGAGAUAGAAUCAUGGCAAUCAAGAUUGUAAUAGGACAAGAACUUAUCAAUGUGAUUAGUGCGUACGCACCUCAAGUAGGGUUGGAUACGAGUUCGAAGGAGAAAUUUUGGGAAGACCUUGGAGACUUGGUGCAAGGAAUUGCUCAGACGGAGAAGUUAUUUAUAGGAGGAGAUUUAAAUGGACACGUGGGCAGGGAGACAGGCAACUAUGGAGGUUUUCAUGGUGGCCAUGGUUUUGGGGAGAGAAACGAGGAUGGGGAAGCUAUCUUGGAUUUUGCAAUGGCAUAUGAUCUCUUCUUAGCCAACACCUUCUUUAAGAAGCGGGAAGAACAUGUGAUCACCUACAAGAGUGGGUCGUCAAAAACACAAAUAGAUUUUCUUCUAAUGAGGAAAAGGGAUCGUAUAACUUGUAAGGAUUGCAAAGUUAUACCAGGAGAGAGCGUGGCUAAUCAACAUCGCUUGUUGGUGAUGGAUGUACAUAUCAAAAGAGUGAGAAAAAAGAACAAGACUUGGAAGUGCCCAAGGACUAGAUGGUGGAAUCUAAAAGAAGAAAAACAAGCAAUUUUCAAAGAGAAAAUAAUCACCCAGUGUGUGUGGGAUAGAGAGGGGGAAGCUAACCAAAUGUGGGAUUCCAUGGCUAGUUGUAUCCGAAAAGUAGCAAAAGAGGUAUUAGGAGAGUCCAAGGGCUUUGCCCCACACCAAAAGGAAUCUUGGUGGUGGAGUGAGGAGGUACAAACAAAGGUGAAGGCUAAGAAGGAAUGUUGUAAAGCCUUAUACAAGGAUAGGACCGAUGAAAAUGGUGAAAGGUAUAGAAAAGCGAAGCAAGAGGUGAAGAAAGCUGUGAGAGAAGCUAAGUUAGCGGCUUAUGACGAUAUGUAUAAACGACUAGAUACCAAAGAAGGAGAGUUGGAUAUCUAUAAACUAGCUAGAGCAAGGGAAAAGAAGACAAGGGACCUAAACCAAGUGAGGUGCAUCAAGGAUGAGGAUGGAAAGGUUCUUGCUACAGAGAACGCGGUUAAAGACAGAUGGAAAGGUUAUUUUCAUAAUCUUUUCAAUGAAGGACAUGAAAGGAGUGCUUCUUUAGGGGAGUUGAGUAACUCAGAAGAGUGUAGAAACUACUCUUUUUAUCGUAGAAUCCGGAAGGAAGAAGUGGUUGUAUCUUUGAAGAAGAUGAAGCAUAGAAAAGCAGUAGGCCCAGACGAUAUACCAAUCGAAGUGUGGAAAGUUUUGGGAGAGACAGGUAUAACAUGGCUCACUGACAUUUUCAAUAGGAUUUUGAAAACGAAGAAGAUGCCAAAUGAGUGGCGAACGAGCACUUUGGUGCCUAUCUACAAGAAUAAGGGCGAUGUACAAAAUUGCAUGAACUAUAGGGGUAUUAAGCUAAUGAGUCAUACAAUGAAGCUCUGGGAGAGAGUCAUUGAGCAUAGAUUGAGGCAAGAGACACGGGUUUCGGACAACCAAUUCGGGUUCAUGCCAGGGGCGCUCAACCAUGGAGGCAAUCUAUCUCUUACGAAGAUUGAUGGAAAGAUAUAGAGAUGGGAAAAAGGAUUUACACAUGGUCUUUAUAGAUUUGGAAAAAGCGUAUGAUAGGGUCCCAAGAGACAUUCUUUGGAGGAUUUUAGAGAAGAAAGGAGUACGAGUAGCAUAUAUCCAAGCUAUACAGGAUAUGUAUGAAGGAGCAAAGACUGCCGUAAGAACUCAUGAAGGACAAACCGAAAGCUUUCCCAUAACUGUAGGAUUACAUCAAGGCUCAUCCUUAAGUCCUUACCUUUUUGCGUUGGUAAUGGAUGAGUUAACAGGACAUAUUCAAGAUGAUAUUCCUUGGUGUAUGCUUUUCGCAGACGAUAUAGUGUUGAUAGAUGAAACUCAAGAAGGGGUAAAUGCAAAGAUUAACCUUUGGAGAGAAGUGUUGGAAUCUAAAGGUCUUCGCCUAAGCCGAUCAAAGACAGAAUAUAUGGAGUGCAAGUUCAGUGCAAAUGGAGGCCAAAAACGAGUUAGGGGUGAGGAUCGGAGAUCAAGAAAUACCAAAGAGCGACCGUUUUCGUUACCUAGGAUCUAUCUUGCAAAAGAACGGAGAAUUAGAUGGAGAUCUCAACCAUAGAAUACAAGCUGGAUGGAUGAAGUGGAAGAGUGCAUCCGGCGUGUUGUGUGACCGCCGUAUGCCACUGAAGCUCAAGGGAAAAUUUUAUAGGACGGCAAUAAGGCCGGCGAUGCUGUAUGGCACAGAAUGUGGGGCGGUGAAGCAUCAACACGUACACAAAAUGGGUGUAGCGGAGAUGAGGAUGCUUCGUUGGAUGUGUGGGCACACGAGAAAGGAUAAGAUUAGGAAUGAGGAUAUCCGGGGUAAAGUAGGAGUAGCCGAAAUUGAAGGAAAGAUGAGAGAAAAUCGGUUACGGUGGUUUGGACAUGUGCAAAGAAGGCCUACUGACGCUCCGAUUAGAAGAUGCGACUAUGGGACAGAGGUUCAGGGCCGAAGGGGUAGAGGAAGACCCAGGAAAACUUUGAGAGAGACCCUAAGAAAAGACGUAGAGUACUUGGAUCUAACGGAGGACAUGACACAGGACAGAACACAAUGGCGUUCUAAGAUUCAUAUAGCCGAUCCCACUCAGUGACUUGGAUUUUUCCAAGUCUCCAACCGAAAAGUUUGUCCUCGCUCGGGAAAUUAAGGGAACACUACCUCAACCUACAUGCUCCACUCACAAAGCUCCAACAUACAAGCUUCAACAAAAGAAAAUUCAAAGAACUUAGCGAAGAAGGCUUUGGUGAUUUAACACAAUACGUUGAAAUGAAGGAAAGCUUAUUUAUUGAUAUCCCCGAUAAAUUACAAAUAUGUACAUAUACUUGAGUCAAAAUAAACAAACAAGAGGAAGCCUUCACAAAGGUUGCUUAGGAGAAGUCUCGGCAGUCGGUAGAGCCCCAGAAAGAGAAGGCACCGGAGGGGGAUCAUUCGGAGCCUCAGUACUGGACAGAACCCUAGAAGGAGGAGGCAUCAGAGGUUGAUCAUUUGGAGCUUCAUUACGCGGUACAGCCCCAGAAGACGAAGGCAAUAAAUGCCUUUGGAACAAACCCACAAAUCUCUGAUGAUCAAGUAAAACCUGACCAUCAGAUUCCUUCAUCUGGUCAAGCUUCCUCUUCAUGUUUGUAGCAUAGUCAUGUGCGAGCCGGUGCAACUGUUUAUUCUCAUGCUUGAGCCCUCUAAUCUCCUGUUUGAGACUCAUCACUUCAGCCGCCAAUGAUUCAACUUGGCGGGUUCGAGCAAAUAGGUGUUGGGCCAUAUUAGACACAGAACCUGCACACUGAACACUAAGAGCCAGAGAAUCCUUAACAGCCAACUCAUCAGACCGUUUGGAAAGUAGUCUGUUAUCUUUGGGAGUGAGAAGGUUCCUGGCCACUACCGCAGCGGUCAUAUCAUUCUUCAUAACGGAAUCCCCAACGGUAAGAGGACCAGUAUGGGAGACGAAGGAUGGGCGCCAUAUGUUGUCUGGAGAAGGUGGGGCUGCCUCUUCAACAAGGUUCAAGUCAAAACGACGGUCGGAGGGGCCAGACAUUUUCAAAGGUGUAGAAGAGAGAAGAGGUCGGACAAAUCAAGAUCUUAGAAGUGCAAGAAUGGAGCUUCUACUGGUGGAUAUUCAAGUGUGCUUUGGAACUUAAUGUCAACCUCUAUAAAAAUCUGCACUCGACGAAGCUUCAGAAAUCGAAGAGGCGUUUGCUUUCUCAAAAGCUGGGCUGCUCAGAGACCACGAGGGUCGAUCUCAGAAAUCGAAGAGGCGUUUGCUUUCUCAAAAGCUGGGCUGCUCAAAGACCACGAAGGCCGAUCUCAGAAAUCGAAGAGGUUUGCUUUCUCAAAAGCUGGGCUACUCAGAGACCACGAGGGCCGAUCUCAGAAAUCGAAGAGGUUUGCUUUCUCAAAAGCUGGGCUGCUCAGAGACCACGAGGGCCGAUCUCAGAAAUCGAAGAGGUUUGCUUUCUCAAAAGCUGGGCUGCUCAGAGACCACGAGGGCCGAUCUCAGAAAUCGAAGAGGCACCUACUUUUCCAACCUUGUCAGCACCUGUCACACGCACACUCAGCUUUGCGGAAAUUAUGGGCAUUCUAUCGAAGAUUUCUGGCGAAGUAGAAAGCACAUGAAUCGUACUGUUCAAUCACCCACUUCCCACACGCAACAGUAGCUCAUGGGUACCACAUAUAACUUUGCCAAAGUUCUCUGACAAAGUUGAGACUACUUUUCCAGCCUUGUCAGCACCUGUCACACGCACACUCAGCUUUGCGGAAAUUAUGGGCAUUCUGUCGAAGAUUUCUGGCGAAGUAGAAAGCACAUGAUUCGUACUGUUCAAUCACCCACUUUCCACAUGCAACAGUAGCUCAUGGGUACCACAUAUAACUUUGCCAAAGUUCUCUGACAAAGUCGAGACAUGUGAAGCUUGCAACUCUCACUACAUCGCUCUGACCAAGAAGGGUAAAAGAAUAGCAAAGAAACAACACUAACAAAGUUUAGACACAUAAAUUUUGAAGGGCUAGCUACCAUAUUAUUACCCACAAGGGUAAAGGAACAGUACCACUGCUGGAUAAUUGGAAAGUCCCUGUGUGUCAACCUCUGUGCUUCAUGGCAAGGUAGACUAGCAAACAUGCCCAACCUUUACUCACAUUCGAAAAAACACUCCCAACAAGAUUGCUUGCCCCAAAAUCGAUGAGGCAUCGCCUCCGAAUCUCGAGAGCCAGACUCCCAACAUGAUUACUUUCUCAAAAAUCGAAGAGAGGGUAAAGGAACAGUACCACUGCUGGAUAAUUUGAAAGUCCCUGUGUAUCAACCUCUGUGCUUCGUGGCAAGGUAGACUAGCAAACAUGCCCAACCUUUACUCACAUUCGAGAAAACACCCCCAACAAGAUUGCUUGCUCCAAAAUCGAAGAGGCACCGCCCUCCGAAUCUCGAGAGCCAGACUCCUAACAUGAUUACUUUCUCAAAAAUCGAAGAGAGGGUAAAGGAACAGUACCACUGCUGGAUAAUUGGAAAGUCCCUGUGUGUCAACCUCUGUGCUUCGUGGCAAGGUAGACUAGCAAACAUGCCCAACCUUUACUCAUAUUCGAGAAAACACUCCCAACAAGAUUGCUUGCUCCAAAAUCGAAGAGGCACAGCCCUCCGAAUCUCAAGAGCCAGACUCCCAACAUGAUUACUUUCUCAAAAAUUGAAGACACCGCUCUCCGAAUCUCGAGAGCCAGACCCCCAGCAUGAUUGCUUUCUCAAAAAUCGAAGAGGCAUCGUUCUCCGAAUCUCGAGAGCCAGAUCCCCGACAGGAUUGCUUGUUCGAAAACCGAAGAGGCACCACUUUCCCAACUUCAAGAGCCGGAUCUCCUUGGAUAAAGCUUGUCUGUAAUCUUCACACGCAACAUCAGCUUUCCAGAUACCACAGACCACUUUUUCAAAGUGCUCUAACAGAGUUAAAACUUGUGAAGCUGGCAGCUCCCACUACCGUGCUAUGACCAAGGAGGGUAAAGGAAUAGCAUUAUUACUUGAUGUUAGGGAGACUCCUAUAUAUGUCGACCUCCAUCCCCAACGAACAGGCAGACCUGCAAAAAUGCUCAACCCUUCCUCUUAUCUGAGAGGGCACUCCCAACGAAGCCUUUCGAAAUAUUCAGCUUUCUUUCCCCCCGAUAAUACCUCUGUAAACAAGCUAUACUAGAGCAAGAAUAUCUCAUAUCAUCAGGGUUAAAAGCAAGAGUAUCCCAUAUCAUGCUUUUUCCCUGUCUUUUCCUUUGGCCUUGUUCUUACUUGCAAGACAAGGAGAAAAGAGAGCAAUCAGUCAGCACUUGGAAUCAAGCUUCCAGCCAGGAACUGACUGCCUGGAACCCCUUACCCUGGCAUUGCUCUCGAGUACUCAUCUUCAACAUCUUAUGCUUCCAGGGAAGAUACCGCAUCUGCCUGAGGAACAGAUAGGGCAAGUGAGAAGGAUACAAGGAAGCAUGUGGAGACAAGCGUAACAGCACACGUGCCGAUACAUCCACUACUCUGUCAAAAGCAAAAGUAUCCCAUAUCAGCAGGGUCGAACGUACUCUAGAUUUGAUGGACUUGUUUUGACCCUCAAAUUCUUCAGUCGGCCUUAUACUUUGGAGGAAACCAUAAAACCCUCCAGCCCAGUUCAAGAAUAAGCCUGUGGAAAGUUACUUCUUCAAAAGCAAAAGUAUCCCAUAUCAUCUCUUCUCAUUUUUCUUCUCUUUAUCCUUCAUGCUGCCUGCAAGAUAGGGAGAAUGUGAACAAUCAGCCGGAGCUCUGAUUGUUUACCUUGUCUGUUACCUCUUUCAGCAGAUCCCCUAGCUCGGCGACUUGGGGGACUCCUACUACAUGGUUUGUAUCGCGCUUGACCAAGCCUGAAACUACAAGUAAGCUUCAAGUGACAUUGAUACAUUACCUUGUGCAUCUCCACCAGUUACAGAUACCACCCCUGGAUGGAGGAAGAGUACUUCCAGAGAAGAUUCCACAUCUACCUAUGAGACAGAUAAGGAAAGUCAAGACGAUACCACACUCCGGUACUUAGAAGUUUCGUGGUUACGAGAUCAUUCUCCCACAAUAUUUCCUAAUGUCAUUUGUACUAAAUCAUUCACUUGUACUCCCUAAAGGAGAGCUUGAACCUAUGUACUUGUGUAAACCCUUCACAAUUAAUGAGAACUCCUCUAUUCCGUGGACGUAGCCAAUCUGGGUGAACCACGUACAUCUUGUGUUUGCUUUCCUAUCUCUAUCCAUUUAUAUACUUAUCCACACUAAUGACCGGACCAAUCUAGCGAAGAUCACAAAAAGUGACCGUUUUCGCUACCUAGGAUCUAUCUUGCAAGAGAACGGAGAAUUAGAUGGAGAUCUCAACCAUAAAAUACAAGCUGGAUGGAUGAAGUGUAAGAGUGUAUCCGGCGUGUUGUGUGAUCGUCGUAGGCCACUGAAGCUCAAGGGAAAAUUUUAUAGGACGGCAAUAAGGCCAACGAUGUUGUAUGGCACAGAAUGUUGGGCGGUGAAGCAUCAACACGUACACAAAAUGGGUGUAGCGGAGAUGAGGAUGCUUCGUGGGAUGUAUGGGCACACGAGAAAGGAUAAGAAUGGGAAUGAGGAUAUCCAAGGUAAAGUAGGAGUAGCCAAAAUUGAAGGAAAUAUGAGAGAAAAUCGGUUCCGGUGGUUUGGACAUGUGCAAAGAAGGCCUACUGACGCUCCGGUUCGAAAAUGUGACUACGGGACAGAAGUUCAGGGCCGAAGGGGUAGAGGAAGACCUAGGAAAACUUUGGAAGAGACCCUAAGAAAAGACUUGAUUACUUGGAUCUAACGGAGGACAUGACACAAAACCGAGCGCAAUGGCGUUCUAAGAUUCAUAUAGCCGACCCCACUUAGUGGGAAAAGGCUUUGUUGUUGUUGCUUCCUUUCCCUUUCCGGUCCUUUCUUUAUCAUUUAUUUUUUCUGCUUUCUUCUUUCUUCCUUUCCCUCACCAUGUCGGUACCCAGGCUUCAACCUUCACUGCACGAUCGCACGACCUCGACACCCAGGGCUUCAACCUUCACCGCACGAUCGCACGACCUCCGACCAAGACCUCGACACCCAGGGCUUCAACCUUCACCGCACGAUCGCGGAGCUCAACCUGGACCACCUCAACAAGGUGUUCAUGGCCGUCGGGUUUCUGAAGACAUGAAGACGAAGUGGCCGGUGGCGUUCACGAUCGUGCGAUCGCGGAGCUCAACACGGACUCGCUACUGUGAAUGGAGUACAUGAAGACGAACCGGCCGGUGGCGUUCACAAGGUCGACGGGAGACGGCCUCCAGUUCAAACUUCCUUCGGACGCCAUGCUGGCGUCACCAUGGCAUCAGAUAGGCCGGUCCCAAGGUCUGUCGAUUUUAGGCCGGCCUGUGGACUGGCAUGGGCUGGGUGCCAGUCAAUUGGGUCGGCUAGAGCAAAUUCACUGGGUCCUGGCCUAUUUUUUCGGCUGGGUGCUGGGCAAAAAGUCCUCCAGUGGACUUGCUCUUACUAUAUAGAAUUCAAAAUAAUUAUACGAUUGCCAUUUUUUGUUUACCGGUCAACUGUAUUCCCAACGACCUUACCCGCACAAUCAAUCUUGAUAACCAGGUUUCCACUAACCUCCUUGUACUCGAUUGUGUUCGCAUGCAUGAGCCAAGGUAGGUGCAUUACUAUUUGCAUUCUGAUAAACAACAAUGAUUUUUUAUGAAUAUUGCAGACUAGAAUUUCCAAUCAUUCCCAAGGGAGAACGGUUCAAUCAUAACAUCAUGGGCUAAGAAUACAAUUUCAUGUUUAAGUUUUUCUCCACAUACAUCACGUUAACUUGGUGUUUUUUACUUUCCUAGCAUGUUCCCUUCUGUGCAUUUUCAGCUUUUAAAUAGUGACUUAUUAGUGAAAAAGCAGAUUCACAUGACGAAGACAUAAGUAUAAAAUUACUUGUCACUAAUUCAGUCAUCAAGCUUAAGUCAUCUAUUUUAAUCUUCAAAAUUAACACAAUAAGCUAGAAAAUUCAGUUCAUGAAAAUCUUGCUCAAUGUUGUUUGACUUGUUUCCUUUCUUAAACGUUUAGAUGCUCAUUAAUUAUAUGCUAAUAAAACUUGCUCUUCAUCUUCAAAUGGAUCAUAAUCCAAUAUAGCUCUGUUACCAAUUAACUAGCAUAACUACAAGUCUACAAGACAACUUUGGUAAAUCCGGUGCCGGCAGGAUCAUUUUCUUCUUCUUUGUGUUGUGUGGCUCAGGUUUUUUUUCAGUCUUUUACAAUUUUAAAUUGAUUGUCUCUACAUUAUCUACCAUGACCUACGAACAAUUGAAACAAUCACCCUCCCAAAAUAAUAUGAUCGGUGUUGCAAGGGAUUGUAGCUUAGUUGUUUACAAGCAGAUAUUUUUUUAUUUUUUUUAGUACAUCUUCUUUAUGUUAAGGAAGAGAAGAAGUUUGGCUAAGCCACACAAUGAAUAGCCUAAUUUGAUAUCAAAUUCGUCAUCUACAAUAUUCGAACCUAAGGCCUCUACUUAUAAGUGAGGAGGAAUAUCAUUAGAUCGUAGUACUAGGUGUUGCAAUUAGUCAUUUUUUUGUUGAGAAUAAAUCUCAUAUUAAUGAAAUGAGAGACUUUGUAUGUGCUUAUAAUAAGUAGUUGAGGUACUCUCCCUAUUGUCAAAUUUUUUUUGGUGGAACUUCAACAUUUUUCAUGCUAUCAAAACAAGUUGUCUCAUGUAUGACACAUAAUGGCUUUACGUGAUCCAUAUCUUUCGAGUUGUAUUAUUCACAUGUUAAACUUAAAAUUCGUCAUACGUAACGGAACAUAUUAAGAAUGAAUCUCAUAUUAAAAAAAAAAAAAAGACUUUGAAAUCUCAAGUUUAUUCUAUUUCCAUCCAAAGUUCUAUAUUUGAUUUCCCAUCUCCAAAAUCGUUCCUAUAAAGAAAAAGAAAAAGUAUAACGUACGUGUAGGGCUUUGGAGAUAAGAAAUCAAAUAAAAAGACAACAAUAUGACCCCACGAAAAGUACAGAGGGAAAAGAGGAGUCCUUCUUUGUGGGCAGAAAGGUGCAGACUUGUUAUAAGUCUUUCAACACCUAAUUAUCAAAAGCAAAUUGCAGAGUUCGAGAGUAGUCUGGAUCUGUUGAUUUUUAUAAUCUAUGGAAACAAGUCCCUUCAUCUGAAAACUUGUACGCAGUAAGUUCCUCUUGCAACUAUAUAUGCGAAAUUCAUUAUUUAUUAAUGAAUUAUUUCAUUUUUCUUGAAGUUUGUAUAUUUAAUUAAAGAUUUCAUCAAUAACCAGCUAUAUAAUUUGUGCUGUUUUCAGCCUUGAUUAUUCCAUCAUUCGGUCUGGAUUUGUUGACGAUAAGUGCAAACAAGUGCCCUCAUGACCUGACAGGCUUCCAUGUAACUGCUGCUUGCUUCAGAUCAUGCCCAAUAUUUGUGCAACGGUGCAAGUUUCGAGUCUUGAAGCGUAGGGUUGCAAGAAUUCCCCCCUGCAGUUACGGGUAAUCCCAAAACUGCCCAUUUUUUGUCCAGUUCAAAUUUAAGAAAAAUAAUGUUUACUAGUAUAUGAUUUUUGCAAGCUUGAGUUUUUCUUUUUGCUCGUCUUUUAAAUUUAUAUGGUGUGUUUUAUUGUGCUUUAUUAUUUAUUGUGUUUUAUGUCAUCUCAAAUGACAAGUGAAUCAAAUGUACACAAUUAACAAUUAAUGGGAUAAAUUUAUUAAUUGAUGUGACAUAUCACAUCAAAUUGUACAUAAAUAUGGUACAAACAUAUGUGAUUCCCUUAACAUUUUCGGAUUUUCCUAGUAAUAUUAUAUGGCGUGUUAUUGUGCUUUAUACAUACAAUAUCAAGUUUUUUUUUUUUUUUUUUUUUUGCUUUUUAUUGGAACAUACAAUAUCAAGUUAUUAGGGACUGUAUACCUGGUGGUGGGAAGGUUAUGAUGUAGGCAACCUUGAUCUGAAUCCGGCCCGUUGCCAUCCUUUGCUAUUCCCAAAUUGUUAUCUCUAGAUAUGCUUACUAGGAGUCUCCAUUAAUUGAAUAUUAUUUCAAUUUUACUAUAAAUUUAUAUAGGUAAAUGCUAGGGACAUUAAAUUACUUUAGUCUAAAGUAAGGUUUGAAAUUGGCACUAUUUAAAUGAACAGUGUUUCAAUCCGAAUUUCAGAUUAAUUACAACCAUGCCAUUGGUCUUUGUGUUGGUUUUGGGUCAGCAGCCAGGCCCUCAGCCAUGCCCAAAUGUGUUGGUUUUAGCUGGGAAGCCCCGCCCUCAGUGAGGCCCAAAUUGUUAAUUACAAUUUUGCCCAUCUAAGAUUACAAUCCAAUGGUGGAGAUGGUGUAUUAAGAAGGGCAAUUUUGUCCUCUCCGUUUUGGGCGAGAUAGGGGGUCAUCGGGUAGGUAUCAUUUGCUGUCGUUCAAUUAGGGUUUCAGGGAGGGUCUGAGAGAGAGAGAGAGAGACAGAGAGAGAUGGCGAUGGGAGGAGAGCGAGGGGGAGGGGUAGGGCUCUCGGCACUGUUGUUGCGGAUGGGAGGGUCGGUAUGGUCAGAGAAGACCAUAUGGGUCGUCGGGAUUUCAGGGAGACGGGGUAGGGGUCAUCAACAAACCCUAUUGAGAGUGGGGUGUGCUGGAUCUUGCGCUGCAUGCCUCGAAUCCAAAGAUAAGUUCUUUUUAAAAUUGUAUUCUUUAAUGGUGCCUUAGAUUUUCUAAUUGUUUAGUAUGUUAGGUCCGGUUUUGGGGGAUUUGUGAUUUUACAGAGAGAGAUGGAUAGGGAGAUAGAGAUAGAGAGAGAGAGGAGAUAGCAUGGGUGUGUGCAUUUUUUUGAGUUAAUUAAUGGGUUAGUGCGCAUGUCAGUGAGGAGAGUGACAGAGGGGUGAAUGGCAUUGGCAGGGUAUGGGUUUUCAGUUUUUCCCUCUGAUUCAAUAGGUUAUGCACUGUUUGAAAAUAAAUUGUUUAUUGUUUUGUUUUCCGUUUGCUUUGUUAAAACCAUCAUUCGAAUUUUUCGGUUUCACUGUGCUCAUUUCUGUGCUUCUUCAAAAUUUUCUGGUGUUUGCUUUUCAUUCCUAUGUUGGUUGAUUUUUUUUUUUUCCCAUUUCUUGGUUCCUUAUGUAUUUCUUGGUUCUGUCUAAUUUUUUGCUGUGGGAUGAUGCUUGCAGGUGAACCUGAAAACAGCAUACAAGAUAGAGAACUGGUAUGCUAUUUUGUCUUUCUGUUGGAUUUUGAUGUUUAUGUUCUGCUACUAAGAGGAUUUUAUAGUGUUCUAAAUCUGUUUUGUAAAUGUGCUUAAAGAUUGGACAUGUUCUUGAAUGUUAGCCAUGUUGUUUGAAUUGGAUAUGUGAUUGAAUAUUAGGUAUUUAGUUUGAAUUGAUCUGGAUAUGUGGUUUAUUGAACUAGAAUUUGGAUAUGUGCUGAUUUGAAUUGAGUAUGUUGAAUUAGAGAUGUGCUACUUUGAAUUAAGUUGAAAAAUGGCAAGCCAUGGUAUAUUGAAUGUUUUUUUUUGCCCCAAAUUUACAUAAGUCCCAAAGGGUGAAUGUCGUCCCAAAACUUUACAACAACAACAACAACAAAGCCUUUUCCCACUAAGUGGGGUCGGCUAUAUGAAUCCUAGAACGCCAUUGCGCUCGGUUUUGUAUCAUGUCCUCCGUUAGAUCCAAGUACUCUAAGUCUUUUCUUAGAGUCUCUUCCAAAGUUGUCCUAGGUCUUCCUCUACCCCUUCGGCCUUGAACCUCUGUCCCGUAGUUACAUCUUCGAACCGGAGCGUCAGUCGGCCUUCUUUGCACAUGUUCAAAAUCACCGGAGCCGAUUUUCUCUCAUAUUUCCUACAAUUUCGGCUACUCCUACUUUACCUCAGAUAUCCUAAUUCCCAAUCUUAUCCUUUCUCGUGUGCCCACACAUCCCACGAAGCAUCCUCAUCUCCGCUACACCCAUUUUGUGUACGUGUUGAUGCUUCACCACCCAACAUUCUGUGCCAUACAACAUCGCUAGCCUUAUUGCCGUCCUAUAAAAUUUUCCCUUGAGCUUCAGUGGCCUACGACGGUCACACAACACGCCGGAUGCACUCUUUCCAUCCAGCUCGUAUUCUAUGGUUGAGAUCUCCAUCUAAUUCUCCGUUCUCUUGCAAGAUAGAUCCUAGGUAGCGAAAACGAUCGCUUUUUGUGAUCUUCGCUAGAUUGCUCCGGUCAUUAGUGUGGAUAAGUAUAUAAAUGGAUAGAGAUAGGAAAGCAAAUACAAGAUGUACGUGGUUCACCCAGAUUGGCUACGUCCACGGAAUAGAAGAGUUCUCAUUAAUUGUGAAGGGUUUACACAAGUACAUAGGUUCAAGCUCUCAUUUAGUGAGUACAAGUGAAUGAUUUAGUACAAAUGACAUUAGGAAAUAUUGUGGGAGAAUGAUCUCGUAAUCACGAAACUUCUAAGUAUCGGAGUGUGGUGUCGUCUUGCCUUACCUUAUCUGUCUCAUAGGUAGAUGUGGCAUCUUCUCUGGAAGUACUCUUCCUCCAUCCAGGGGUGGUAUCUUUAACUGGUGGAGAUGCACAAGGUAAUGUAUCAAUUUCACUUGAAGCUUACUUGUAGUUUCAGGCUUGGUCAAGCGCGAUACAAACCAUGUAGUAGGAGUCCCCCAAGUCGCCGAGCUAGGGGGUCUGCUGAAAGAGGUGACAAACAAGGUAAGCAAUCAGAGCUCCGACUGAUUGUUCACCUUCUCCCCAUCUUGCAGCAGCAUGAAGGAUAAAGAGAAGAAAAAUGAGAAGAGAUGAUAUGAGAUACUUUUGCUUUUGAAGAAGUAACUUUCCACAGGCUUAUUCUUGAACUGAGCUGGAGGGUUUUCUGGUUUCCUCCAGAGUAUAAGGCCGACUGAAGAAUUUGAGGGUCAAAACAAGUCCAUCAAAUCUAGAGUACGUUCCACCCUGCUGAUAUGGGAUACUUUUGCUUUUGACAGAGUAAUGAAUGUAUCGGCACGUGUGCUGUUACGCUUGUCUCCACAUGCUUCCUUGUAUCCUUCGCACUUGCCCUAUCUGUUCCUCAAGCAGAUGCGGAAUCUUCCCUGGAAACAUAAGAUGUCGAAGAUGAGUACUCGAGAGCAAUGCCAGGUAAGUAAUCAGGUAAGGGGUUCCAGGCAGUCAGUUCCUGGCUGGAAGCUUGAUUCCAAGUGCUGACUGAUUGCUCUCUUUCUCCUUGUCUUGCAGGUAAAAACAAGGCCAAAAGAAAAGACAGGGAAAAAGCAUGAUAUGGGAUACUCUUGCUUUUAACCCUGAUGAUAUGAGAUAUUCUUGCUCUAGUAUAGCUUGUUUGCAGAGGUAUUAUCGGGGGGAAAGAAAGCUGAAUAUUUCGAAAUGCUUCGUUGGGAGUGCCUUCUCAGAUAUGAUGAAGGGUUGAGCAUUUUUGCAGGUCUGCCUGUCCGUUGGGGAUGGAGGUCGACAUAUAUAGGAGUCUCCCUAAAAACAAGUAGUAAUGCUAUUCCUUUACCCUGCUUGGUCAUAGCACGGUAGUGGGAGCUGCCAGUUUCACAUGUUUUAACUCUGUCAGAGCACUUUGAAAAAGUGGUCUGUGGUAUCUGGCUCUCGAGAUUCGGAGAACGAUGCCUCUUCGAUUUUUGAGAAAGCAAUCAUGCUGGGGGUAUGACUCUCGAGAUUCGGAGAGCAGUGUCUCUUCGAUUUUUGAGGAAGUAAUCAUGUUGGGAGUCUGGCUCUCGAGAUUCGGAGGGCGAUGCCUCUUCGAUUUUGGAGCAAGCAAUCUUGUUGGGAGUGUUGUCUCGAAUGUGAGUAAAGGUUGGGCAUGUUUGCUAGUCUACCUUGCCACGAAGCACAAAGGUUGACACACAGGGACUUUCCAAUUAUCCAGCAAUGGUACUGUUCCUUUACCCUCUCUUCGAUUUUGAGAAAGUAGUCAUGUUGGGAGUCUGGCUCUCGAGAUUCGGAGGACGGUGCCUCUUCGAUUUUGGAGCAAGCAAUCUUAUUGGGAGUGUUUUCUCGAAUGUGAGUAAAGGUUGGGCAUGUUUGCUAGUCUACCUUGCCACGAAGCACAGAGGUUGACACACAGGGACUUUCCAAUUAUCCAGCAGUGGUACUGUUCCUUUACAGUUGUGGGUAAUAAUAUGGUAGCUAGACCUUCAAAAUUUAUGUGUCUAAACUUUUGUUAGUGCUGUUUCUUUGCUAUUCUUUUACCUUUCUUGGUCAGAGCGAUGUAGUGGGAGCUGCAAGCUUCACGUGCUCAACUUUGGCAGAGAACUUUGGCAAAGUUAUUUGUGGUACCCAUGAGCUAUUGUUGCGUGUGGGAAGUGGAUGAUUGAACAGUAAGAUUCAUGUGCUUUCUACUUCACCAGAAGUCUUCGACAGAAUGCCCAUAAUUUCUGCAAAGCUGAGUGUGCGUGUGACAGGUGCUGACAAGGGUAGAAAAGUAGGUGCCUCUUCGAUUUCUGAGAUUGGCCCUCGUGGUCUCUGAGCAGCCCAGCUUUUGAGAAAGCGAGCGCCUCUUCGAUUGAUUCGGAGAACGAUGCCUCAUCGAUUUUUGAGAAAGCAAUCAUGCUGGGGGUCUGGCUCUCGAGAUUCGGGGAGCAGUGUCUCUUCGAUUUUUGAGAAAGUAAUCAUGUUGGGAGUCUGGCUCUCGAGAUUCGGAGGGCGGUGUCUCUUCGAUUUUGGAGCAAGCAAUCUUGUUGGGAGUGUUUUCUCGAAUGUGAGUAAAGGUUGGGCAUGUUUGCUAGUCUACCUUGCCACGAAGCACAGAGGUUGACACACAGGGACUUUCCAAUUAUCCAGCAAUGGUACUGUUCCUUUACCCUCUCUUCGAUUUUUAAGAAAGUAGUCAUGUUGGGAGUCUGGCUCUCGAGAUUCGGAGGACGGUGCCUCUUCGAUUUUGGAGCAAGCAAUCUUAUUGGGAGUGUUUUCUCGAAUGUGAGUAAAGGUUGGGCAUGUUUGAUAGUCUACCUUGCCACGAAGCACAGAGGUUGACACACAGGGACUUUCCAAUUAUCCAGCAGUGGUACUGUUCCUUUACCCUUGUGGGUAAUAAUAUGGUAGCUAGACCUUCAAAAUUUAUGGGUCUAAACUUUGUUAGUGCUGUUUCUUUGCUAUUCUUUUACCCUUCUUGGUCAGAGCGAUGUAGUGGGAGCUGCAAGCUUCACGUGCUCAACUUUGGCAGAGAACUUUGGCAAAGUUAUCUGUGGUACCCAUGAGCUAUUGUUGCGUGUGGGAAGUGGGUGAUUGAACAGUAAGAUUCAUGUGUUUUCUACUUCCCCAGAAGUCUUUGACAGAAUGCCUAUAAUUUCCGCAAAACUGAGUGUGCGUGUGACAGGUGCUGACAAGGCUGGAAAAGGCUGGAAAAGUAGGUGCCUCUUCGAUUUCUGAGAUCGGCCCUCGUGGUCUCUGGGGAGCCCAGCUUUUAAGAAAGCGAGCGUAUCUUCGAUUUUUGAGAUCGGCCAUCGUGGUCUUUGAGCAGCCCAACUUUUGAGAAAGCAAACGCCUCUUCGAUUUCUGAGAUCAACCCUCGUGAUCUCUAAGCAGCCCAGCUUUUGAGAAAGCAAACGCCUCUUCGAUUUCUGAGCAGGCGCCUCUUCGAUUUCUGAAGCUUCGUCGAGUGCAGAUUUUUAUAGGGGCUGGCAUUAAGUUCCAAAGCACACUUGAAUCUCCACCAGUAGAAGCUUCAUUCUUGCACUUCUAAGAUCUUGAUUUUUCCGACCUCUUCUCUCUUCAACACCUUUGAAAAUGUCUGGCCCCUCCGACCGUCGUUUUGACUUGAACCUUGUUGAAGAGGCAGCCCCGCCUUCUCCAGACAACAUAUGGCGCCCAUCCUUCGUUUCCCCUACUGGUCCUCUUACCGUUGGGGAUUCCGUGAUGAAGAAUGAUAUGACCGCUGCGGUGGUGGCCAGGAACCUUCUCACUCCCAAAGAUAACAGACUACUUUCCAAACGGUCUGAUGAGUUAGCUGUUAAGGAUUCGCUGGCUCUCAGUGUUCAGUGUGCAGGUUCUGUGUCUAAUAUGGCCCAACACCUAUUUGCUCGAACCCGCCAAGUUGAAUCAUUGGCGGCUGAAGUGAUGAGUCUCAAACAGGAGAUUAGAGGGCUCAAGCAUGAGAAUAAACAGUUGCACCGGCUCGCACAUGACUAUGCUACAAACAUGAAGAGGAAGCUUGACCAGAUGAAGGAAACUGAUGGUCAGGUUUUACUUGAUCAUCAGAGAUUUGUGGGUUUGUUCCAAAGGCAUUUAUUGCCUUCGUCUUCUGGGGCUGUACCGCGUAAUGAAGCUCCAAAUGAUCAACCUCUGAUGCCUCCUCCUUCUAGGGUUCUGUCCAGUACUGAGGCUCCAAAUGAUCCCCCCCUCCGGUGCCUUCUCUUUCUGGGGCUCUACCUGACUGCUGAGACUUCUCCUAAGCAACCUUUGUGAAGGCUCCCUCUUGUGUGCUUAUUUUGACUCAUGUAUAUGUACAUAUUUGUAGCUUAUCGGGGAUAUCAAUAAAUAAGCUUUCCUUCAUUUCAACGUAUUGUGUUAAAUACACACCAAAGCCUUCUUCGCUAAGUUCUUUGAAUUUUCUUUUGUUAAAGCUUGUAUGUUGAAGCUUUCUGAGUGGAGCAUGUAGGUUGGGGUAGUGUUCCCUUAAUUUCCCGAGUGAGGAAAACUUCUCGGUUGGAGACUUGGAAAAUCCAAGUCACUGAGUGGGAUCGGCUAUAUGAAUCUUAGAACGCCAUUGUGCUCGAUCCUGUGUCAUGUCCUUCGUUAGAUCCAAGUACUCUAAGUCUUUUCUUAGAGUCUCUUCCAAAGUUUUCCUAGGUCUUCCUCUACCCCUUCGGCCCUGAACCUCUGUCCCAUAGUCGCAUCUUCUAAUCGGAACGUCAGUAGGCCUUCUUUGCACAUGUCCAAACCACCGUAACCGAUUUUCUCUCAUCUUUCCUUCAAUUUCGGCUACUCCUACUUUACCCCGGAUAUCCUCAUUCCUAAUCUUAUCCUUUCUCGUGUGCCCACACAUCCAACGAAGCAUCCUCAUCUCCGCUACACCCAUUUUGUGUACGUGUUGAUGUUUCACCGCCCAACAUUCUGUGCCAUACAGCAUCGCCGGCCUUAUUGCCGUCCUAUAAAAUUUUCCCUUGAGCUUCAAUGGCAUACGGCGGUCACACAACACGCCGGAUGCACUCUUCCACUUCAUCCAUCCAGCUUGUAUUCUAUGGUUAAGAUCUCCAUCUAAUUCUCCGUUCUUUUGCAAGAUAGAUCCUAGGUAACGAAAACGGUCACUCUUUGGUAUUUCUUGAUCUCCGAUCCUCACCCCUAACUCGUUUUGGCCUCCAUUUGCACUGAACUUGCACUCCAUAUAUUCUGUCUUUGAUCGGCUUAGGCGAAGACCUUUAGAUUCCAACACUUCUCUCCAAAGGUUAAGCUUUGCAUUUACCCCUUCCUGAGUUUCAUCUAUCAACACUAUAUCGUCUGCGAAAAGCAUACACCAAGGAAUAUCAUCUUGAAUAUGUCCUGUUAACUUAUCCAUUACCAACGCAAAAAGGUAAGGACUUAAGGAUGAGCCUUGAUGUAAUCCUACAGUUAUGGGAAAGCUUUCGGUUUGUCCUUCAUGAGUUCUUACGGCAGUCUUUGCUCCUUCAUACAUAUCCUUUAUAGCUUGGAUAUAUGCUACUCGUACUCCUUUCUUCUCUAAAAUCCUCCAAAGAAUGUCUCUUGGGACCCUAUCAUACGCUUUUUCCAAAUCUAUAAAGACCAUGUGUAAAUCCUUUUUCCCAUCUCUAUAUCUUUCCAUCAAUCUUCGUAAGAGAUAGAUUACCUCCAUGGUUGAGCGCCCUGGCAUGAACCCGAAUUGGUUGUCCGAAACCCGUGUCUCUUGCCUCAAUCUAUGCUCAAUGACUCUCUCCCAGAGCUUCAUUGUAUGACUCAUUAGCUUAAAUACCCCUAUAGUUCAUGCAAUUUUGUACGUCGCCCUUAUUCUUGUAGAUAGGCACCAAAGUGCUCAUUCGCCACUCAUUUGGCAUCUUCUUCGUUUUCAAAAUCCUAUUGAAAAGGUCAGUGAGCCAUGUUUAUACCUGUCUCUCCCAAAAGUUUCCACACUUCGAUUGGUAUAUCGUCUGGGCCUAUUGCUUUUUUAUGCUUCAUCUUCUUCAAAGCUACAACCACUUCUUCCUUUCGGAUUCGACGAUAAAAAGAGUAGUUUCUACACUCUUCUGAGUUACUCAACUCCCCUAAAGAAGCACUCAUUUCAUGUCCUUCAUUGAAAAGAUUAUGAAAAUAACCUCUCCAUCUGUCUUUAACCGCGUUCUCUGUAGCAAGAACAUUUCCAUCCUCAUCCUUGAUGCACCUCACUUGGUUUAGGUCCCUUGUCUUCUUUUCCCUUGCUCUAGAUAGUUUAUAGAUAUCCAACUCUCCUUCUUUGGUAUCUAGUCGUUUAUACAUAUCGUCGUAAGCUGCUAACUUAGCUUCUCUGACAGCUUUCUUCGCCUCUUGCUUCGCUUUUCUAUACCUUUCACCAUUUUCAUCAGUCCUCUCCUUGUAUAAGGCUUUACAACAUUCCUUCUUAGCCUUCACCUUUGUUUGUACCUCCUCAUUCCACCACCAAGAUUCCUUUUGGUGUGGGGCAAAGCCCUUGGACUCUCCUAAUACCUCUUUUGCUACUUUUCGGAUACAACUAGCCAUGGAAUCCCACAUUUGGCUAGCUUCCCCCUCUCUAUCCCACACACAUUGGGUGAUUACCUUCUCUUUGAAAAUGGCUUGUUUUUCUUCUUUUAGAUUCCACCAUCUAGUCCUUGGGCACUUCCAAGUCUUGUUCUUUUGUCUUACUCUUUUGAUAUGUACAUCCCAUCACCAACAAGCGAUGUUGAUUAGCCACGCUCUCUCCUGGUAUAACUUUGCAAUCCUUACAAGUUAUACGAUCCCCUUUCCUCAUUAGAAGAAAAUCUAUUUGUGUUUUUGACGACCCACUCUUGUAGGUGAUCACAUGUUCUUCUCUCUUCUUAAAGAAGGUGUUGGCUAAGAAGAGAUCAUAUGCCAUUGCAAAAUCCAAGAUAGCUUCCCCAUCCUCGUUUCUCUCCCCAAAACCAUGGCCACCAUGAAAACCUCCAUAGUUGCCUGUCUCCCUGCCCACGUGUCCAUUUAAAUCUCCUCCUAUAAAUAACUUCUCCGUCUGAGCAAUUCCUUGCACCAAGUCUCCAAGAUCUUCCCAAAAUUUCUCCUUCGAACUCGUAUCCAACCCUACUUGAGGUGCGUACGCACUAAUCACAUUGAUAAGUUCUUGUCCUAUUACAAUCUUGAUUGCCAUGAUUCUAUCUCCUACCCUCUUGACAUCUACAACAUCUUGUACCAAGGUCUUGUCCACGAUGAUGCCAACACCGUUUCUCGUUCUAUUUGUGCCCGAAUACCAAAGUUUAAACCCUGAGUUUUCUAGAUCCUUUGCCUUACUACCAACCCACUUAGUUUCUUGUAGGCACAUAAUAUUUAUCCUUCUCCUCACCAUAACUUCCACUACUUCCAUAGAUUUUCCCGUUAAGGUUCCUAUAUUCCACGUUCCUAAACGCAUUUUGCUCUCUUGAACUCUACCCUUCUGUCCUAGCUUCUUCACCCUCCCCCGUCUAAUAGGAUCAAAGUACUUCUUUUGUGUGUCCCGGGUAAAGUUGAUAGGAGCAUAUGCUCCCAAACAACUUUGAGUGGAGUCGUUCGAAAAGAAGUUUCUAUAGCCCCCUUGCUCAUUUAACACUGCAUCCGGGUGCCGAUGGAGAUACAGCGACCCUUGCUCACUUAUCACUGUGCUCAGGCCACACAGCGCGCCACUUACGGGUGACGCCCUAGCUUUAGCGCGAUUUUGUUCUGGAUUCAUUUUCAUAAGGAUUCGACGUGAUCAUGGAGUGCCGGCUGUCGACUACCUGACGCCCUCCCCCUCCUCCUUUAUCCGGGCUUGGGACCGGCCAUGUAAGACAUAGGCGGAGUUAUCAACCAAAACUUUAAAAGAAAAUAAUUAGAAAACAUGAUUCAGGAGAGAAAUAACAAGUCCAUCACGUAUUAGAAAAUCAGUUUUGCCCAGUGAUCGAAAUCAUUACAGGAUUAAAAACUAGAAUCCGACUUUGGAAGAACUUCCAUUCUCUUCUAAAACAGCUUCCACCAACGACAAACGUUCUUGCAGAUGUUUAACUGCACAUAGCAAUGGAAAAAGAUAAUAGGUCAGAAGUUAAUAGUUUACACCCAUUUUUCAAACACGGUGGUUGUUUGUUUUGAACCUACACCAGGUUCACCCUGUAUCAGCGGUUUCCCAGUCACACUAGUAUGAACAUUAGAUAUGAGUUUGAUAACACAAAAAACUAGUAGAUUUGUGUAUGCCCCCUUGGGAACUAAUUCUGUGUGGAAUUUUGUUGUAUGGGCUAUGGAGUAAAUACAUGUUGCAUGACGUGACUUGUUCGAGUUCAUUAGAGGGUCGUGGCGAUGCCCAUGGAAAGACAAGCUCAGGUCCUUUCCAUGUUCUUUUGUGAUCUUUGUUUCACAGUUGGAACGGGGGAGGUUUUGAUUCUGUGAUGAUAUUUGGGUUGGGAUUCCUAUUUCAGUGUCAUUUUCUGCCAUCUGUAUAGGAUCUCUUUGCCAUAAUUAAUCACCCCAAAAAAAUUAUUUGCAUUUGAUUCUUUGCAUAAACUUAUCUUAUGAAUAGUUGAGUAUGCUUUAAUGUCAAUACUAAUUUGUCCGUGACUAUGUCUUUGGUUCUCUAUGUUGUGUAUGGACCAGGGAAUUUAAAUUUUAAAGUGCUAUAUAACUUAUGCUAAAAUAUGUUUGGAAUACCCUAGAAAAAUUAGAUAGAGGCUUGAAAGGACUAGAUCCAGUACAUUUGAAAGAGCUCUCAGUACAAGACAACUUUGUUAAGUGUUUUUGUAGUGGUGUUCUAAUAGCAGCUUCGUAGUUUUAGUCUAAUGUUUUUGUUGUACAUUUUUAACAACCGAAUCUAAAAUCCCUCCGUACUUUAAAGUCCCUCCUCCAGACAUCACAUUAGAGAAUUAUAACUAUUCAACAUCCUUGGUGCAUUGGCAGAUUAAUGAUUGUAUCACGGAAUUUUGGCUAAGUUCCUUGAAUUAUUGAACCGUUAAUGCUUUCCAAAUGUUUUACUUUGAUUCAUUGUCUCACAUUUUCCAUGGUACAAGUUUACAUGAUUGCAAGCCGAUAGAAAGAGAUAGAUGUAGGGAGAAGUGGGAAUUGGGGGAGAGAGAGAGUGAGUGAGGGGUGCGGUUGCUUUUUAAAGAUUUCCUUGAAAUUGUUUCUGCAGUUUUUUUUUUUGGGUGGAUUUUCUCGAGUUCUUUCUAUUUGUUUGGAAUUGUUUCAUUUUUACUGAGAUUCUUUUGGUCCCUGUCACUAAACUCUGAUUUCUACUAUUAAUUGCUGCUGAAAUGUGACUUUUGCUAUUAAUUUUGUAAAUUAAUUAAGAUGCUUAAUGUUCCCUUAAUUGUGAUUAAGAUGGUCACAAUCCUACCAUCCUCUGUAUGCUCUGCCAUGUCCGCCGCCAAUGUUUUAUGUUCCGAUUUUUACUUUUUAAUCCUUUCUUACAACAUUUAAAUAAUCAGGUUGAAAUAGUAAUUCUAUUUUUCGACAAACGAUAGGUUAAAUUGUUAGUUGUUAUGAGAGAAGGAGAUCGUUUUAGAGAUCAAACCCGCAUCAAAAUAUAUGAUGAUUUCUGCAAAUGCGAUCAGCAGUUGCAUUUUACAAUAUACAACUUCAGUUAGCAUCAGUUUCUUAAUGAGUGGCAUGUGAAUUCUUAAUUUAAUUUCGGAAAAAAAUGCAUUUAAAUUUGGUGGUAUGUGAUGAACUUAGCAUUCUGUCUUUUAUUAUAUACUGGUGAUGGACAUUUUUAGCAUAUUGGAUUUAUCAUUUUCUAUAAAAUGAAGCUUCAUUCUCGCUAUGUUGUUGAUGUUUUUUUGUGAUUUCAGUUUAUAGUGCUUCUAAAUGCUGUUUUAAUUUAGGAAUUUGAAUAAUUGUUUAAAUGGGAUUGGAGGGUGAUAAAUAUUUCUAGCUAGGGAAAGGUCGCAUCCAUGUGUUGGUCGAAUUGAUGGAUGUAAAAAAUGAAUAUGGCAAGGUGUAAAAAAUGAAUAUGGAUGAACGUUUAGCUACUGCAUGUAGAUUCAGCUUUCCUUUGCAUUUGAGUGAGUUGGAAACCGAGUGGAACAGUUUGAGAGAGGGAGGGACGGAGGGAGAGAGAGAGAGAGGACGAUGUUGGGAUUUUGGUAAAGAUUUGAGCUUUAGUGGUAAGCAUGCUGAUUUGAGCUCACAGAAAAACCCAACAGUAUGUAGAUUGAAUUGAGUUGGGAACUGAGUGGAAAAAUGUUAGAGAGAGGAUUGUGUAUAGUUCUCAAAGCUUCUUACGUUGUUUUCUGAUGCAUCUUUGAGCCACUGGCCUUAGGUGGAGUCUUAUACUGCAAUAUUAUGUGCUAAUCUAAUAAACCCUGCAACUUAUUCGUCUUUGUCAUGAGUAAGUUUUGGUUUUUUUCAUUGGAAUAGGGAUUUAGUGGAUGAUUGUUUUUAACGCAUAUUAGUUAAAAUGAGUUGAGUAUUGGGUGCCAAUCCCAUGUCUGCAAAUCACAGUAGCCUAAGGAAGAAACACUGUCUGCACGAUCUAUAAUACCUAUUCACGCAAGAAUCUUUUCCCAAACUAAAAAGCUUACAUUUCCAAACGUGUAAAGGAUGGGCCACUAUCAUCUUACUUUUUCAAUACCUAAACCAUGCAGUGAUGCAUGGGCUGGAUAUUGCUCCUUUCAAGUUUCAAACCAUUAAAUGCUAAAGAUUUCUGGAUAAAUCAUCGUAGAAGUCGAUUCUACAGAUUCCUUCUUAGUUACACUCAGAUGAUAAUGUAUUUAUUGUCCUUGACAUGUUUUUAAAGUUUGCAUUUUCAAUGUAUAUUUCAUUAACUAAGCUUUAUCAGCGGAAUAUCAUCGCAAAUUUGUUACGGAAAAUGCUAUUGCUAGAUUCUGAUAUAUCUACUUUAGUUUUAAGGAUUACACAUUGUUUUACGAUAUAAAAUAGAUGUUCUGCCUUGAUUUGAUGCGGGGGUAUGCAUUAGCUAACAUUAAUUCUGCUUAGUAUUUCUCAAAUUCAUUUUGGGUUAAAAAGUUGGAGCUUUGGAUCGGGUUUUUUCUUUAUUCAUGUUGGAAGAAUACAUGCAAGUCAUAUCUUGUGUUAAAAUGCAUGCAUGAAAUAAACUUGUUGGAUGACUAGUGAAGUUAGGCUAGUCAACAUUCUUUGUGUAAAAUGCAUGCAUGAAAUAAACAUGUUGGAUGACUAGUGAAGUUAGGCUAGUCAACAUUCUUUGUGUAAGUUAAGCAAGUUAGGCAAGUUAGGCUUAUGUCUACUUUCUUUUCCUAUAUAUAUGUUUCAUUUGUAAUUGUUUCUUCAUGAAAUACACAUAAAAAAUUCUACAUGGUAUCAGAGCAGGUUCAUUUGUAACCUGUCUCUGCCAUUCUUGCUGCUGCAAUUUUUUCUUUCUUUCAAAGUCUAAGUCAUGACUGAAGAAAGUUCUGUGAACCAUGAUGAGGAAACCCGGCACAAUCUCUCUCCAAACUUCUCAGACGUUGAGGUUAACACCAAUCAACGUUUGUGUUCAGUUCUCUUGAACGAGUUCAAUUAUCUUCCUUGGUCCCGAGCUGUUUCACUAGCUCUCGGAGGCAAAGGGAAGUUAGGGUUUGUAAAUGGAAGCGUGGAAGCUCCAGACAGUUCUUCCUCUACAUACAAUGCAUGGCUCUGCAAAGAUCAACUUGUCAUGUCCUUGCUGCUCAAACACCAUGGAGAAACAUGUUGCUGAAAUUUUUAGCUACUCCAAUUCCGCACAUGAUCUUUGGAAAGCUUUGCAGGAUAUGUAUGGAAAUCAAAACAACUAUGCACGGGUCUUCCAAUUAAAGAAGGACAUUGACAGUGCUCAACAAGAAGGGAAAGCAUUUGUUCAACACCUUGGGAGCCUCAAAGCCAUGUGGAAUGAGUUGGAUGUAUAUCUCCCUCAUACCACAGAUCCUACCAUUCUCCUAAAACGAGCUGAGGAAGACAAAAUUUAUCAGCUGUUAGGGAGUUUGAGCUCUGAGUACGAGGACCUAAGGAGUCACAUCUUGAUGAGUCAAGACCUGCCUACCUUCAACAAUGUUUGUGCAACUAUCCAACGAGAAGAAGUAAGGAAGAAGGUUAUGAAUGUUGAUCACAAUCCUAGAUUAACGGAGACUCGGGCAUAUGCAUCAAAGUACAAGAACUCAUAAGCCAAGGUAUACAAGGGAAGAAACACACAUCUAAAAUGCAAAUAUUGCAAUGGUGUUGGUCAUGAGGAAGACAAGUGUUGGGAACUUCAUCCUGAACUCAAGCCUAAGUUCAGCAAAGAUGGAAGGAUGAUACCAAGGUCCUCACAACAAUUUCAAACCUCAUUUCAAGGCACAACUUGCUAAUGCUCACGCUCCUACUAUCUCACAAGGAUCCAUGGAGUUCACUGCCAAUCCAUUGUCAUUAAUCAAUGAAUUUGCAGCUUACCUACAAAGUAAGGGGCACGGAGGAGGCUCAUAUGGUCAAGGCAAUGAAGAGGGUAGUCACACACACAGCUAUGUUGGGACAAUUUGCCGGAUUUCUUGCUGGAAAUGAGAAAGUUCCAAAGGGAGAAGCAUCAGGUAUACUCAAAGCCUUUACUACUGCCCUAUUAACUAGUACUGAAAUUGAUUGUUGGAUAAUUGAUUCAGGCGCCACAGAUCAUAUGACAAACAAAGUUACAAAUUUACAUCAUUUUAAAAAAAUUUCAAGCCCCUCACAUGUGUCUAUUGCAAAUGGAAAAAAUGUCUUAGUUUUGGGAAAAGGAGAAAUAAACUUACUCUCUCAAAAAACACCUUCCACUGCCCUCUAUGUACCAACCUUUCCCUUCCAACUUUUGUCAAUUGGAAAGAUCACCAACACCCCUAAACUGCCGUGCUAUUUUCUCACCAAAUAAAGUAAUGUUUCAGGAUGUUCUCACCAUGAAGAUGAUUGGUGAAGGGGUCUUCAUAAAUGGACUUUACUACCUGUGCAAGAAUGCAUGUUUCACUCAGGCUCUUCAAGCUCAAUCGAAGUCCAUAGAUGAAAACCAACUUUGGCAUAGGAGAUUAGCUCACCCCUCUGAACUUGUCUUGUCGAAACUGUUUCCAAAUUUUUGUAACCCCUAUCCUACUUGUGAUACUUGUCAAUUUUCUAAGUUUACUAGGCUACCUUUUGGUAAUUCAAUGUCUAGGACAAGUAAACCUUUUGAAAUGGUACACACCGAUGUAUGGGGACCUGCAACUGAAUCAAUGGAAGGUUUUAAAUAUUUUGUUCUAUUUGUUGAUGAUUUCUCUCGAACAAGUUUUCUAUAUCUUAUGAAAUCAAAAAGUGAAGUCCCUACCAUUUUCAAAGACUUUCACAUGCAUGUUAAAACGCAAUUUCAAUCAAACAUUAAGGUUUUAAGGUCAGAUAAUGGCACUGAAUUUCUAUCCAACAACAUGCUUCAAUACAUAAGUUCUCAGGGUAUCAUACAUCAAACCAGCUGUGUGGGGACUCCCCAACAAAAUGGAGUAGCCGAGAGGAAAAAUAGAGAUCUCUUGGAAAAAACUCGUGCUCUCAUGAUUCACAUGCACGUUCCAAAGAAAUUUUGGUCGUUUGCCAUCCUUACUGCCACUUAUCUCAUCAAUCGACUUCCAAGUCGUGUGCUAGGGUUUAAAUCUCCUUAUGAAGUUCUCAAGGGGAGGAAAAUAGAUUUGACACAUCUCAAGGUGUUUGGUUGUGUGUGUUUUGUUCACAUCCAAACCUUGAACCGUGACAAAACUAGAUGCCAGGGCAACCAAGUGUGUGUUUAUGGGAUACUCGACCACUCAAAAGGGAUACAAGUGCUUCAAUCCAGUCACUAAGAAGUGCACAGUUUCAAGAGAUGUGAAGUUCGAAGAAGACUAUCCCUAUUUUACAAGUCAGGGGGAGGAUUUAGUUGACAUGUUCCCACUCCCUCAAAACUUUAAUUAUCCGAUGUUGGAAAAGAGAUCAGUCAUUGUAAGUCCAGAUUGUGAAGAAGUUCAAACUGACCAAAUUACUGCCAGUGAAAGUGAAGACGAGCCCUACUCUGAUCCUUCUCCGCCCUCUACAGAGUCUCAGGUGAUUAAAAGAAAUCCUCCUCGAAUCAGAAAACCUCCAGCUAGGUUGCAGGACUAUGUUACAUAUGCCUCACGACAUCCAAUCAAUGAAUGUAUCAGCUUUAGUAAGUUCUCAACAUCUCAUGCUGCAUUUCUCAGUGAAAUUGAUAAGCACUAUGAACCAAGAAGCUUUCAAGAAGCUUCUCUUCUCCCACAAUGGAACCAAGCCAUGAAAGAAGAGAUUCGUGCACUGGAAGAGAAUUGCACCUGGAGCCUAGUUCAACUACCACCAGGAAAAAAGGCUGUUGGAAGUCGUUGGAUUUACAAGACUAAAUUCAAAGCUGAUGGAUCUAUCGAGAGACACAAGGCUAGACUUGUUGCUCGAGGUUUCACCCAAACCUUUGGUGUAGAUUAUAAGGAAACAUUCGCACCGGUGGCCAAGAUGAACUCAGUCAGGGUUUUACUGUCAGUUGCAAUCAAUUGUGGAUGGUCACUCUACCAAAUGGACGUGAAGAAUGUUUCCUUCACGGCGAGCUGCAGGAAGAAGUGUAUAUGCAACCUCCUCCAGGCUAUGAUGGUAUUAAAGGCAACAUGGUUUGUAAAUUGCACAAGGCAAUAUACGGAUUGAAACAAUCACCAAGAGCUUGGUAUGCCAAGCUCAGUUCUGUUCUGGAAAAGGCUGGAUUCAUGCGAAGUAAUGCUGAUUCUUCGUUAUUUGUAAGAACUGGCACCAGGGGGAAGUUGGUGGUCCUCGUCUAUGUUGAUGAUCUUAUCAUCACUGUAGAUAAUACCGUGGAGAUUGAGGCACUAAAACUCUCACUACAUCAAGCUUUCGCUAUCAAAGAUUUGGGGAGGUUAAAGUAUUUUUUGGGGAUCGAAAUGGCAACAUCUUCAAAAGGACUGUUUCUACAUCAACGGAAAUAUGUAUUGGACCUCCUUCAAGAAGCAAAAAUGCUUGACUGCAAGCCUGUUAUCACUCCCGUUGAUUGUAAACUGAAGCUCAGCAUAGAUGGAGAAGCCAUGCAUGAUGUAAGCUACUAUCAACGAUUAGUAGGCAAGCUCAUAUACCUCACUAUCACUCGUCCAGAUAUCACAUAUGCAGUGAGCUUGGCUAGUCAGUUCAUGCACUCUCCCACUGUUGAUCACCUUAACCUUGUUAAGAGAAUCCUUCGUUAUCUUAAGGGUUCAAUUGGGCAAGGAAUUACAAUGCAUAACAAUCAGUCCACUGUCAUUAGUGGCUACACAGAUGCAGACUGGGCAGGUAAUGCAAUUGAUAGGAAAUCAAUCACAGGCUAUUGUACAUUUGUUGGUGGAAACCUUGUCACAUGGAAGAGUAAGAAGCAACAGGUAAUUGCUCGUUCCAGCGCAGAGGCUGAGUAUCGAGCCAUGGCAGCCACUGCGUGUGAACUCAUUUGGCUUAAAGGGCUUCUUUCAGACUUAGGGUUUCCUAGUUCUACUCCUAUGAUGCUUAUGUGUGAUAAUCAGGCAGCCAUGCAUAUUGCUGCCAAUCCUGUGUUCCAUGAAAGAACCAAACAUAUUGAAGUGGAUUGUCAUUUCAUCAGAGCUCAAGUUCAAACGCAAAUCAUCCGGACCAUGUUCACACGAAGCCAUGAUCAACUAGCAGAUCUUUUUACAAAGGCACUAGCAUCAUCUCAGUUUCAUCGGUUAUUGGGCAAGCUUGGCUCAGUGAAUCCCCUCGAUCCAGCUUGAGGGGGAGUGUUGGAAGAAUACAUGCAAGUCAUAUCUUGUGUUAAAAUGCAUGCAUGAAAUAAACAUGUUGGAUGACUAGUGAAGUUAGGCUAGUCAACAUUCUUUGUGUAAAAUGCAUGCAUGAAAUAAACAUGUUGGAUGACUAGUGAAGUUAGGCUAGUCAACAUUCUUUGUGUAAGUUAAGCAAGUUAGGCAAGUUAGGCAAGUUAGGCUUAUGUCUACUUUCUUUUCCUAUAUAUAUGUUUCAUUUGUAAUUGUUUCUUCAUGAAAUACACAUCAAAAAUUCUACAAUUCAGCUAUCAUUUUCUGCUUAGGAGACUCUCUUAAACUGUGUGAAACUGUGCUCAUUAGGCUGGGCAGAGCAAUGACAAGCUAAAAACAAAACAAAAACAAGCAGAAUUAUCACAUGUAGUGCAGGAUAAAUUCUAAACGACCCAAAUCUGGAUGGUAAAAUACUUGGAGUUGGAAUUAAUAGGAUCGAUUGAAACAUGGAUUUUUUUUUUAUUAGAUUGGUAUAUCUGACUUAAUUAAGAAGUUGUUUAAGACACAGUCAUUAGGGAAUUUCUGUAAUUGAACGUAGUUGUUUUCAUGAGGUUAAAUACAAUAAGGUGAUUCUAUGCCAAGAAGUGAUUUUAUAUGGACACAUUGUAUGAUGUAAAAUGGUAAAAGGAGUACCUGUUCCUGUCCAGCCUUAUGUUUUCUGAGUCUUGCUUAUUUUUCAUUAGUCAUAUGAAAGAUGCUGCAAUAUCGUGGGAUCAAAAUAGCUAAGAAACUGGACGUGGACAUCUUUAUUCUAUAGAGCGUAUGUAAAAGUAAUUUAGACUUUAUUAGUUUAUAUUAAUCCUUCACUUCUGUUCAUAUAUUGUAAUUUCUAUAUGGUUUGUCCACAUUUGUCUUAGGAGACUCUGGGGCUGCUUAAAUUUUAUAUAUUCAGUUGCAUAGAGUCGGCAUGACAUGCACAGCGAUUGUCAGAUUGCCACCCUUAGUUGGUGAUAUUUUCUUUACAACACAUUCAAAUUGAGGAUUUAGAAAAUCUAAUAAUAAAACUCAAACAUAUGUUCGAUGCUUUUUGUUUUCAUUUUCGGUUAAAAGGUUUCAGCUUUGGAUUGGGAUUUACCUUUAUUAAUCUAUAAUUUUGUGCUCAGGACACCAUCUUGGGGGUCUUAACAUGAUUGUUCUUCUAUUUCAUAGACUCAAAACGUGUCUAGUGUUUCAUUGAAUUGGUAUACCUUUGCUCAUUUAACUCAAAUUUAAUACGGUUUGGUCCUCCAAUUUCUCUAAAUUGCCAACGGAUUUAUUUUCUUUGGAAAUUUCAGGAACUCUGGUUGUGGUAGGAACAAGCCGGCUCCUUGCUAUUUUUAGGUAUAUGAUUAUGUGCCCUGAUUGCAUGUUCAAAGUCUAAUUAGUUAUAUAAACUUUUAAUUUAUCUUUGCAAAGCUUUUGUACUUGGAUUUUAGUUUAGAUAUGCGAUUUGUUUGUGAAAAAUUAACGAGAAGACUAAUCAUGGGGACAUUCUUAUUUCUGAAAUUUUCUCUUCAGCAUUGUUUCUUGAAUAAAUUUGGAUUGGUAGAUGUAGGGGUAGAGUAACCCCCGUGGUGUAAAUAAAAGGUAUAGGCGUAAUGAUUUCUAGGUUUAGAAUUCAUUGAAAAAUAUGAUAUAAUGCUGCGUUCUCUAAUAUUUUUUUUUUUUUUGGCUGUUUGCUGUUCUAAACUUUUGAACUCCUUUUUGGAUUGAUCUUUGUUAUUUUUGUUUUUGGGGGUAUCUGAUUGGUCAAGGUUGCCCAAUCUUGGUUGUACUUUUUCCCAAGACAGGGCACAUUUGAAACUUUGAAUUCUUGAGUUUAUAUUUUAAUUCUCAUUAGUUAAUGCUUAAUAUUUGGCCUUUUAUUUUGAGAUUAGAAUGAAUACGUUUGGCCUGAAAGACAGUAAACUGAAUUAAAAGCUGGCUUAUUUUCCAUUGGCCAUCAAUUAGGGUGAGAAAACAUUGAAUUGAGAUCAUUAAACAGCACUUAUAUAGGGCACUAUACCAAAUGAGCUCGAAGAGGACUCAGCAAUUGAAGAACAAUUGAUGGCAUACACCUUGGACAUGAUUAAGUUAGUUGAACAUUAUACUAUAACAAGUACAUAUUUCUGGAGUCAGUUUCACACGCAGACACGCACACACACAUCUGACGUAAAGUUAGUCUAUUAGAUGGUUUCCAGAUUGACCCCCCCUUGCCAAAUCUAUUUCAAGGCUGGAAGGAGAGUUAAAACAUAUGUUAUUGUCUUAUAUGUUUGUAUUUGAAUGGUAACGAUGUUGUUCUUCUGGUGGAAAAUUUUUCCUUUGAAUCCAUUUCAGCUUAGGCUCUACUUUUUUUUUUUUCAUUUCAGCUUCAUUUUCAUGUUCAUCAUGUCCUGUUGGUAUGUGUUUUGUGUUGGCAUUGGAGGGUGGUGGGUUGUCGUUUUGUUUUUCUUUUCUCUGAUUGUAAGACCUUCUAACGAUUGAAUUUAUUUUAUGCUGAAACACUCAUUUUGAUCCCCUAGUUUGAGUUUUUCAGUUACGUAUCAAUACUUAACUGCUGGAUUUUUCUUAAGGAAAUUGGAUAUAGGCUAUAUACUAUGUGUAAAAGUCAUGGAGAUCAAGUUUUGUGCUUUCAUUUGUCACAAUGCAGUUUUUUGUUUUCAUAAAUCAAGUUUUGUGCUUUCAUUUUUCUUUUAAAUUUUAAUUUGUCUUUCAAUCAGUUUUUUGUUUGAGAGAACUCUUAAUUUUCAUGGAAAUAUAGUUAUUUGUGAAUAUGGAAACUUGAAUCUGUGUAGACAUCAGAGUUCUUAUGGUUGUGAUAUGAAAUUUAAAUACAAACUUCCCAAUUUGUUUUUGGAAUUUUAACUAAACUUGCGUUGUAGGUAGAUCAUGCUAUUAAGAUAACAAAAAAAUAGGUAGAUUUGUGUAUGCAAUGAGUUGUAGUGAACAUUUGGCAGUAAUAGAAAUGGUUUAGGUGUGCACAGUUUUGGCCUAAAUGGUUAUCACACGAGCGUAAAUGUUUGUUUCAUUUGUGAUUGAACUCGAAUUUGUUGGAAAGCUUUUCAAUUUAUGAAUAUGGAAAGCUUUUCGUCUUUACUUCUAAACUUAUUUUCUGCUUGGUUGUUGAGAAGGUGAUGGAAAUAUAGUUAUCUGUUAAUAUGGAAACUUGAAUCUGUGUAGACUCCUUGGGUUGUCUGUUGUGUUCAGUGGAGGUUUAGUGUUUUAAUUUUGAAUGAUUUGUUUUUCGUUUCAUGGAAAUGACCUAUUAUUUGAUUUAAUUGAGUAAUUUAAUGGAAGUAUAUUCUCUUUUUUUUCUUUUCCAUAUUUCGUUUUGUCUGCAACCAAACAGGGUAAGGAACUGUAAUCUUUUUAAUUACUCUGCUAUCUCCGUGAGUUAUGAAAAUCAGACCUUUUGUUUUAUUUCUGUAUAUGUAGUUCCGAAGGAAUCAAGUGCCAAAAUUAGAAUAAACAUCCUUUAGUCAAGUUACGCACUUUUCCAUAGAAUGUUUGGUUUAGGGAUCCCUUAUACAAGCACAAUAUUCUUAUGUAUUUAAAUCGUAGUUGACCGUCAUGGUUUAAUAAGUGUGAAAACUGUCUUUAAGUCUUAACUAUACCAUUGGAGCGAUACAGUUUUAGUUAUUUUAUUGGAUCCGUUUGUUAGCGCUUUGAAUUCUUACUCUGAAUCUCACUCAUUUUUUGCAGUUUAGAUUGGACUCUCAUCACGGCAUUGUAAUCUGCUCUUGCUGCUGCGAUUAAUCUAACGGUUCUGAGGCGUUGCAUUUGAAUCAAGACUUCGGUAUGCUAGCUGAACUUAAAUGCAUUCUUUUCCCAUUCUUUCCGUUUGAGGCAGCGCAACUUUAUGAUCUUUUAUAUUGAUUGUUUGGUUUGAUCACCUUUUGUUAUUCGUUUGCUUUAUGCUUUGUUUUUCAUUCUUGGUUGUCUCUGUGAUUGUCUCAUUGUCCAGAGGUCGGAUGGUUAGUUUUUUAUUUUUUUUGUUCUAAUUUUGUUUGUGCAAUUCCGUUAUUGUUUGAAGGCCCGUUGCUAUCUCUGUGAUUCUGGUUUAACCCGGUGCUCUUAAUUCUUUAUCGGAUGUUGUUGGUCAUUUUAUCUCUUUUAUUUUGUAUUGGUUGGUUGGUGUUUUCGUUUGGUUUUCUGAUGGUGAACUAUCUCAUCCUCCCCGAAGUGUUUUAACAUGUUUUGUUGAUAAUUGCGCUCUCUAAACGAACUCGACAUUUUUUUAGAAAAAUCACAACUUCCAUAUUUAAGAAAAUGUGUGGCUUUUUAGCAAUGCAUGAAUGCAGCUAAGAUGUUCUGAAAAAUUCAUGGAUAUUUUACAUUCAAACCACAAGUAUCAUUAACUUAUAAAUAAUUAAGUUAUGUAUUUUCUUUAUCGGCUAUCACUUCAAAAUUUGAACUAAAACACUGUCAAAAAGCUUUUUGGUUGUGUUUUCCUUAUUCAUUAUGUAAGUUUCGCAAAUCUUCUACAUGCUGCAUAUUUUUUUGUUUGAACAUCUAUGGUUGACGAGUUACCUGCUCAAACGCCACUUUUUCUGUGUUUUGCUAACUGCUAAGUGAGUUAUGUAGGUUGCAAAGCAUAUAUUUGGCCGUCUUAACUGCAGGGGCAAAAUAUGUGUGAAUUGCAGCUUCCUUCUGUUUCUACAGUUUCAUAUAUGGAAACAGGCCUUCUGUUUUUUUUUUUUUUUUUGCCUUUGAACAAUUAUGGUUCCAAAAUUAGCUACUUGAACAAGUCCUCAACACUUUCUGCUUUAAAUUACCUGUUGAACUAGCUGCCUACACUGCAGGACACAUGUUAUGUGUGAACUAAAUGUUUCUUCUUUUUCUUAAGCAAACGGAAAUUGUUUGGAAACCAUCUCUUUCUAAUCAAACACGUACAGUUUCUUCCCACUCAUUGUGCAUUGUGUUUAUAUGCCAACUCACUUAAAUAUGUAUAACAGCACAAUUGCUUAUCUUAUUGGGCUCAUUCACUCAUGUAUCCCUCUGUUUGUUUGUAAUUGUGUUGAAUUUAUUCAACUUAAAUGUGUUUUAUCCAUCCGAUUACGUCUGAAACAGUGGUUCCCGCAGCAGCGUGCGGGCGUAUUUUCUAGUUUUUAACAAAAUUUUGCAAACUAAAUGACACGAUUGUUGAUGAGUGGAUUAUUAUUUUAGUGUUGAUUAACAUGCUUAUUUUAUUGUGGUGACACAUCAUUUAGUUUGCAAAUUUAGUCUCCUUGUCAUUACCUAUUUGUGUAUGAUGGCGGAGGCAUCAAUAAUUAGUUCUCACCAUUUGAAUUUGUGCAAUUGUGACAACAGAUCAAGCUUCCAAAUCUCCAAGGAACUAGUCUUUGACUGUUGAUCUUCCCUUCGUCGAGUCUGUAUUUGUUGAUCAUAAGCGGAGUCAGAUUUGAACUUCCCUGUAAGUUCUUAUUAUUCACUGAAUAAUACAUUAGUUGUUUCUCAUUUUAUUUGAACUACUUUUUAUUCAUUUGUUUCUUCACUUAAUUUGUGCAGCUCUUCACCUCAAUAUUGCUCAAGAACGCUUCCUUAUUUCUUUGGUUGCUUGGAGUUCUCAGCGCUCCUAAGAUGCCACUUGGAGAGGUUUUUCUUGCGGCGUUUCUACAGUUGCUGCUUGACAGGUUGACCCCUCGCGACAUUCUCAACUACUUUGGAAACUUCCGGGGUGUUGGAAAGAAGCUGGAGAAGUGGAGGGCCACGUUAACUACAAUCGCAGCAGUGCUGAGCGACGCCGAUGAAAGACAACGGACUGACGAUGCUGUAAAACUAUGGCUCAAUAAUCUCAGAGACCUUGCUUAUGAUGUCGAAGACAUGUUGGACAAAUUUGCGACUCAAAUGUUGAAGCGCACGAUAGAGGGACGUGAUCAAGCCAGCACGAGCAACAAGGUGCGAAACUCACUUUUCAAAAUUAAAUUGAAUUGGAAUAUGAACUCCGAAAUGAAGAAGAUUACGGAGCGGUUACAAGACAUAUCUGACCGAAAAGUUAAGUUUAGCUUGAAAGAUACUGGGACGUCUGCUAAGGAAUCGCGAAGUCUACCAUGUUCAGGCGUGUUAGAUGAAAAGCUUCUUGUUGGAAGAGAUGGUGACAAAGGGAAGAUUAUUGAAUUGUUGAAAAAGUCUACCAAUUUUGGUGUGGUUGCUAUAGUUGGCAUGCCCGGAGUUGGGAAGACGACACUUGCUCAACUUGUAUUCAACAACAAAGAUGAUGCCAUGAAGGAGUUUGAGCUCAAGGUCUGGGUAUCUGUGUCCGAUGACUUCGAUGUUGUGCGAGUGACAAAGGCAAUUCUUGAAUCAAUGAAACCCCUACCCGUUCAAGUGGAGGAGUUUAGUAAAAUGCAGCAUGAUUUGAGUGAGCAAUUAAGAGGAAAAAAGUUUUUAAUCGUUUUAGAUGAUGUUUGGAACAAAGGUGACCGUGAUCUAAACGAUCUCUGGUUAAGACUUAAAUCCCCUUUUGGCGUCGGAGCAGGAGGAAGUAAGAUUAUUGUGACAACCCGUGAUUUAAAUGUUGCAAAGAUUAUGGGAGCCACUGGAUUUCAUAAUUUGGAAUGUAUGGCAAAUGAUGAUUGUUUGGAAAUAUUUGAGCGACAUGCAUUCGGGGAAGUUAAUAGUGGAAAACCAGUAAAUUAUGAGUUAAUUCGGACAAAAAUUGUUGAAAAAUGUUGUGGCUUACCAUUAGCUGCGAGGACUCUCGGUGGUCUUUUACGUUGCAAAGAAACAGAUGAGUGGGGAGAAAUAUUGGACAACAAACUAUGGAAUCUCGCAGAUAACUGUAACCUUCCCCGCGUACUAGAGUUGAGCUAUCACUAUCUUCCAUCACAUUUGAAGAGGUGUUUUGCCUAUUGCUCAAUACUUCCAAAUGACUACGAAUUUGGGGAGAAGCAGCUCGUCCUUUUGUGGAUGGCAGAGGGUUUGAUUCAACAAAAACCUGACAACAAUAAACAAAUGGAGGAUUUGGGCCGCGACUACUUUCGAGAGCUAUUAGCAAGGUCGCUGUUUCAAGAAUCAAGCAAAAACAAUUCACGAUAUGUAAUGCAUGACCUCGUUUCUGAGUUAACACGAUGGGCUGCAGGAGAAAUAUGUUUUAGGUUGGAAGAUAAGCAAGGUGAUAACUUGCAAAGCACUUGCUUUCGAGGGGCUCGCCAUUCGUCUUUCAUUGCUGGUGAAUUUGAUGGAGUUAAGAGAUUUGAGGACUUUCCAAAAGCUGAACGUUUGCGAACAUUCCUGCCACUUUCGCUUUCAUAUUCCACGGGAUGGUUAAAAUUUUUGUCUCGUCAGGUUACUUUUAAGCUAUUACCACAGUUGCAAUACUUACGAGUGCUCUCGUUCAAUGACUACAAAAUAACUGCGCUGCCAGAGUCAAUCGGUGAUUUGAGGUUGUUACAGUAUCUUGACCUUUCCUACACAUAUAUAACUAGUUUGCCUAAAUCGAUAAGUACUCUUUACAACUUGCAGACAUUGAUAUUGGAAC